GGGCUUUUACCUGAACUUUCAUGUAACAUCGUCUAUUUAUUAGCCCAUUGAAUCACUUGGAAUACUAACGAUACUCGAGUCUCCUGUCUGAAUAUAACAUGCCAAAGCUAUGUCCCAAACAUAGUCUUACAUGAGAUGUUUCUUGUACUGCCAAUGUCAUAUACCAGAUAUGGUCUUACAUGGGAGUUCUCAUAUAGGUGCCCAUGCCAUGUCCCAGACAUGGUCUUACGAGGGACCUCUCAUCUCGGUGCCAACGCCAUGUCCCAGACAUGGUCUUACAUGGGACCUCUCAUAAUCUCAAUGAUGCCAAUGCCAUGUCCCAAACAUGGUCUUACAUGGGAUCUCUUUACCCAAAUGUCAUGACAUUUGUAUCCAAUACAUUCCUCAUGUUUCAACGGGGUCUUUUAACACUAAUUCUCUAUCAUCUCAUACUUGAGUUAACAUUAGAUAUUUUCAUUAAAUAAAUACAUAAUUGCUGAAAAAUAACAGCAUUAAUAAUAAUUAUCAAAAUAUUUCAUUUAUUUACUAUAAACUUACAUCGGUACAAAAUAUGAUCAAAUCUAGCACUUUAGUCCUUAACCUUUUUCUUUCCCCGGUCUAACUCUGGAUUUUGUUCUUCUUGAUCUAUAAUAGAAAAUUUAGCUUAUUUAAUACUCACAUUCAUCAAAAUAGUCCUUAACUCGAACUUUGACAAAAUUACAUUUUUGCCCCUAAAAUUUUGCAUAUUUACACUUUUGUCCCAAAACUCAGAAAUUAAACUUCAUCCCUUAUUCUUAUGCUUUAUGACAUGCUGAACAUUGUUUCCUUCUAUGGAAACAUCAAAUUCCCACUCUAACACUUACUUAUGACCAUUAGGUUUUUUUACCAAUUAUGUCGUUUUACUCAUUUUCACUUAAAAUCACUUAGCAAAAGUUGUUUAACAUAAUUUCAAGCUUCAUAUUCUACCAUAAAACAUCAAAAUAAACACAUUUCACCUAUGGAUAUUUUUCCAAAUAUGAACUCCAGGUUAAAUUAUUGCUAGAAUAAGCUAAAUCAAGAUAUCAGGACUCUAAAAACGUAAAGAACAUUAAAAACGGGGCUAGAACAGACUUACAAUCGAGCUUGGAAGCUUGAAAAACCCUAGCCAUGGUUUCCCCUUGUGAAAUUCGGCUGUGGGGUUGAAGAUGGACAAAAAUUGGCUUUGAAUUUUGUUUUUAAUUCAUUUUAAUAACUAAAUGACCAAAAUUCCCUUAAUGAAAAACUUUGGAAACAUGCCUAACCAUGUCCAUUUUUGUCUACCAAUUUAACCAAUGGUCUAAUUACCAUAUAAGGACCUCCAAUUUAAAAUUUCAUAACAAUUGGACAGCUCUAACAUGUAGAACUCAACUUUUGCACUUUUUACAAUUUAGUCCUUUUGGCUAAAUUGAGUGCCCAAACGUCGAAAUUUUCGAACGAAAUUUUAACGAGAUCAUUUUGUGAAAUUGUAGACCAUAAAAAUAUAAUAAAAUAAUUUUUUUCCUCAUCAAAUUUGUGAUCCCGAAACCACUGUUCCGACUAGGUCCAAAAUCAAGAUGUUACAUUGAUUCUUAACGCGACUGUUUGAGACCUCCGCACACUGAGUCCAGCUACAGAAACAGAAAAUAAGAGUACGUGAAAAAGGGAAACUAAAAGGGGUGAGCUACACGAGCUCGGUGUGAGAUCGAAUCGACAGGAAAAUAAAAAUUAAAUGUCACAAUAAAAUAAAAAUUAUUUAUAACAAUGCCAAUCCGAUCUCCAAAUAAUCAUCACAACCAAAACAGAAUAAUCAUCACAACCAAAACACACACAUCAGUAUUGUACACAUCGACCUAUAUACCGUUAAUUUUGCAAUCAGAUAGACAAACAAAAUGAGGAACAAAAGUAUCAACAUGAAACCCACCCAUCUAGCCAAACACCUCUUUAUCCCCAUUUACACCACAAAUAAGCUAUAAGAAGCUCAACAAACCCUGCACACCACAUAGGACCUUGAAAGGCCCAUCCAACCCUGCACUCCACGCAUGUGGAACAAAGCCACGUAAAUAUCAGUAUGUAGCUGAGCUGCCAGAAGUAUCGUACUGUGCAGUAAACCGCUAUACAAACGUUUUGCAGUUGAAACUGCCAAAUUAGAUCAGACUUCCUUCGCUUCAUAUCCCAAAUCCGAAAUCAUAAUGCAAAUGUAGGAAUGCACACCAAACACUGUCAACUACACAGACACAGAAGCUCGUAAUUAGUCAAUCAAUUACAGAAUCGAUGCACACAGUUUCCAGACAGUCACACACAUCACUUAACCACUGAAGCAGAUACUCAUUUAUUAGGCAUUAUCACAUUAACGAGUCGCUUAACUAAUGCAACGAUUGCAUUUAACAGAUAUGUCCGAGUCAAAAUAGAGUCCCGACUACCCUUACUAAGACCUAGCCAAGGGUCGGAACACACAGAACCACAAACAGGUCAUAAAUCAACACAGUACAAAAAUUUGGCAAGGUAGGACCACAUAGUUGUAUGCCCCAGCCGUGUGGGGGUCUACGCGCCCUUGUAAAGGCCACACACACCCAUGUAGAGCCUACACAUGCCCGUGUGAGCAGCCCAUGCAACUCACUGUCCAAAAGUGCUAAAAAUUAAUAGCAAAGGAGACACGGUCGUAUAGAGAGGCCAUGUGAGGACACAUGCCCGUGUGGCCAGGCUGUGUGGUACCAAAAAUCAUCGAAUGCCCUAAAUUCUCAAUUGCACAUGCUCGUGUACCCAAGGGACAUGGUCGUGUGAAAAUUGACUAAUUUCCCCAAAUCAGCCACAAGGCCGUGCAACACCCAAAUUAGCCCAGAAACCCUAAUUUCCAAUUACACACGGUAAUGUGAACAACCCGUAUGGGGGCACACACCCGUGUGGCCACGAAACCACAUCAAAAUAAGCUAAAAAUUAUUGUUUUGGCAUCAAAACGGCCCCCAACACUUGUUAACUCAAAACUAAACCGAAAUUUACAGAAUAUCAUGCAAUCCAAUACCCAAAAUCAACAAUUUCAGAACACACACAGUCGAAACUAUCAAUUAAUACAAAAUUGAUUUAACAAAUUUAAAAUAGAGGAAAAGAGGUUCGGAACCCACACCUUAAUUCGCGAUAGUAACCACCAGAAUCAUUCGAUUCGCUCCUCCAAACCAACUUUGAGACCUCAAUUACAAGCACAACUAAACUAUGAAAAUUUAAUUAGUAACACAACGAAAUUGAAGCAAUCCCCCCAUUAAAAUAAAAGACAAAACUUACCCAAUUUCAAACCAAUCCAACAGAACACUCGAGCCCAACCAAUCAACGAUGACGAUGACAAAACUGAGACUAAUUUGAGGAACAGAAAAGAAAAAAAAUAAAAUAAAAUCUUGAACUUAAAAAAUAAAAGGAGAAGGUAGAAACGUCCAGAGAGGGAGAGGAAAAGAACGUGUUCCCUUUUUAUUUUUAUUUCUUAUGAAAUUUCUUAUAACCCCAUUAAAAUAAAAAUAAAAAUAAAUAAAUAAACAAAUAAAUAAAUACUAAAACUUAAAAGCAACCAAAACAAAACAAAUUCCUCAAUAUGCACAUAAGGAAUCGAACUCGGGACCCCAAACUAAACUAACCCACAACCAACCACCAGACAAACAGACCCAUUCUAACAUUAAGACACAACAACAAACCCAAUGGUUCGAUCUAGCCACUGACCUUACCUAUAAAUCUCAAAACAUCUAACCUAAAAAAUCGGGGUGUUGCACACCAUGUUACCGAAUCAGGUAGAACUUUUAAAUAAGAAAAAUAAUGGUUUAUGUGUUUCUACGCAGGUACAUCCGGUGAUGCGGUGCGAUACGAAUGGAGGAAGAAUGAAUAGUCCAGAAUAUUUACCCUACGAUUCUAGCACAGAGAACGAACAAAUAAACUAUAUGGGUAAUAAUUCUAGGCCUCAAAAUAAUCCUUACAGUAACAUCUAUAAUGCAGGUUGGAGGAACCAUCCCAAUGUCUCUUUGGUGGUCAAGGAAAUCAAAGAGCACAACCCCCUCUAGGCUCCCAACAACAACCUUACCAACAAGAUAAGAAGCCAAACCUUGAGGAGAUGUUGACGAAGUUUAUUUCAAUGUUCAAAACCUACUUUCAAAACACUAAAUAGGUCUCGAGAACUAAAUAGGUCAGCUUGCUAAGCUAAUCUCAGAAAUACCACAAUGUAGCUUACCUAGCAAUACCGAAACUAACCCAAGCGAGCAGCUUCAUGCAAUUACUGUUCAAGAUGAAGAAGGGUUAGCUGAAUCUGAAUCAGAACCAAGGCAAGAAACUGUAGUAAGUAACGGUAAGGUCGAGGUAAGCCAAAAUGAACAAAAACCAGUCGGUAAGGAAUAUAAACCUCUAGUGUCAAUUCCUAAUGCGGCGAAGAAAGACUACACGAACGAACAAUUUGGUAAAUUUCUUAAACUUCUAAAAAAAUUACAUAUUAACUUACCGUUUAUUGAAGCUCUUUCACAGAUACCCGAUUCCGUUAAAUUUUUAAAAGAGCUUUUGGCGAACAAGAGGAAGUUAGAUGAUUCGUCGCAUGUGGAGCUAAAUGCAGUUUGCUCAACUAUUUUGCAAAAUAAACUACCCAACAAAUUGAAAGAUCCAGAGAUUUUUACUAUUCCUUGUUUAAUUGGUAGUUUGAAUAUUAAUAAUGCUUUGGCUGAUUUAGGGACAAGUAUUAAUGUCAUGCACUAUAAAAUGUUUAAACAAUUAGGUCUUGGGAAACCCAAACAAACUAAGAUGAGUAUUCAAUUAGCAGAUAAAACCAUUAGAUUUCCUAGUGUAUUAUUGAAGAUGUUCUAGUAAAAUUUGAUACAUUCAUAUUGCCAGUUGAUUUUUUUGUUUUAGACAUGGAUGAGGGUAAUGAAGUACCUUUAAUUUUAGGAAAACCCUUUUUAGCAACUGCUAGAACUAUUAUUGGUAUUGGUACAGGUGAGUUAGUACUUCAUGUAGGUGACGAAACGAUUACUCUCCAAGCUUGUUAUUCUGUUAAAACAUCUAAUGAUCGAGAUAAUUUUACAAGUUCUGUUAAUAUGAGUAACCAUGUGGCUCAAACUUCUUUGCAGGAAAACCCUUUAGAAAAAUGUGAUUGAGCCACGUUCUAGUCCAUGCGAUAGAAACAAAACGACUCAUAGUGAACGAAUGUUGCAAAUCGAUGAACAAGAUGAAUGGCGAACACAUGUUAAGGAGAAACCAAAAAAGCACGAUGAAGAGUUAAGGAGACACCAUGAUAAGUAUGUGGAUGCAACGAAACAAUUUAAGGUUGGAGACAAUGCACUUCUAGAUAAAACGGAUCCUCGAAUUGCCACUUCGGAGCUUGAUACAAACGGAUCAAAUCCCUUUACGGUACUAAAUGUCUUCCCAUACGGUACAGUCAAGGUAACUCAUUCUGAAUUUGGCACAUUUAAGGUAAAUAGUACUCGAUUCAAACCCUAUGUUGAUAAUAGAAUUGAUAACGAGAAAGAGGAGUUUCAACUCUGCAAACCACCAUGACCGUACGAAUGCGAGGUAAGUCUAGCUUAAACUUUAAAUAAGCGCUUCUCGGGAGGCAACCCAAGUGCUAACACUGCUAAUUCUUUUAAUUUUAUUUCAUGUUAUUUUUAAAAAUAAUUAAUUUUCAAAAAUAAAAAAAAUGUUUUUGACCCACACAGCCUAGACACACGGGUGUGUCCCAGGUCGUGUGCACUAUAAGGGGUUCAACUGUGAGUUACACAGCCUGGCGAUAUGGCCGUGUGACCCACACGGCCUGGACACACGGGCAUGUCCUUGGCCGUGUGGAUACUGGGACCUAAAUUUUCAAAAACUCGACGGUUACACGGCCUAAAAUAACACACACAGCCUGACGACAUGGCGAUGUGACCCAUACGGCCUAGACACACAGGCAUGUCUUAGGCCGUGUGAAACCUAGAGCUAUUUUUUUCAAAGUUAGAGAGUUACAUGGGUAGGAUACACGGCCAUAAGAGAGACACGACCAAGCCACACAGGCGUGUGAGAUCUCAAAUGGGCAUGGGAGAAGCUAAGGAAAACACACAUGGCCGUAUGAAAACUAAGUUAAUUUUUAAUUACACACGGGCUAAAAAUACUCCACACGGCCGUGUCCCACGGCCCUAUGGCCUAAACCCUAGAAUUCCUUUCUCAAUUUGUAUUUUUCUUCUUCCCCAACCAAGUUACCCCUUUUAUUUUAUUUUAUUUUAUUUAUUAUUUUUGUUAUAUGAUUUAUUUUUAUUUUCCUAUUUUAUUUAUUUAUUUUAUUUAUUUAUUAUUCUUCUAUUUAAAUUUUAAAUUUAUUUUAAUUUUUCUGUUAUUUUUAUUAUUUUUAGUUUUUUUACUAUUAUUAUUACAAUUACCUUUAAGUUUAUUAGUAUCAUUGAGUUUAUUAUUUUUUUCUUUUUUUUCUUUUUUUUUCGUUUUAUUUUUUAUUAUUUUCUUUUUAAUUUUGUUUUAGUUGCUUUAUUUUUUUAUUUUCUUAAACUUGUUUUAAUUAUUAUUUUGAAAUAUAUUUUUAUGGUUGUUUCUAAUCGAGUUAUAACCACUUAAUCUUCACUAUUUGUGUUUAUUUUCUUAUUAUUUUGAAAUAUAUUUUUAUGGUUGUUUCUAAUCGAGUUAUAACCACUUAAUCUUCACUAUUUGUGUUUAUUUUCUUAUUAUUUUGAAAUAUAUUUUUAUGGUUGUUUCUAAUCAAGUUAUAACCACUUAAAAAUGUAGGCUUUUUAAUUUAACCCUUAGUGAACCCCGUUGAGCCUAACACACCGUUUCUUCAUUUACCCAUUAAUGUUUAUCCAAAACUCUUUUUUAUUUUAUUUGUUGAAAAUUUUCCCAUUUUAUUGACUCUAUUUUUGUCAAGAUUUGAUUUGGUUAGUUGCCUAACUAUGCUCUUUUGUUUAAUUUGCUGAAUUAUUUCUUAUUGUCAAAAAAAAAGAAAAAAAGAUACCCAAAAAAAAAAGAAAAUAUCAAAGAAAAAAAUAUUGAUUAUUAUUUAGUUCUAUGAUUGAGCUUGAAUAGUUAAAUUCAUAUUUUGAGAAGAAGCUCGUUUUCUUAUUCUUCAAUAGUUUCUAAGUUAUGCACUUGUUUUUAAUUCAGCAUUUGUUAUUUUUUCUAGUUUGGUAAUUUAUCAAUUCGAUCUCAAUUUUAACCAACUUUUUUAGGCUUUCUCCACACCCUUAACCUAAGCCCCAUUACAACCUCUUAAAAACCAUUUGAUUUGUGUAUCAUGUCAUUUUAUAGUGGUGGAGAUUUGUUUUUCAUGCAAGCCUAUGGUAAUGGCUUUUCCUGUUUGACUAUUGAGUGCUUAUUAUUGAACCUUAAACACUUUGAGUGAUUUGAGUGAAUUUUUAGUGAGGAUGUCGAUUCUUGUCGAUUUGAAUUAAAGGUAAUUGCUUGACCCGCGCGGUGACCCAACCUGGAGGGGAGGAUCCGCGCGUUGUGACGUCAGAAACUAAAAAAAUGUGCAAGAGAAAUAUAUGUAUGCAUGUAAAAAAAACUCAAAAUAUAUAUAUAUAAAUAUAUAUAUUAAAUAUGCAUAUGUGUAAAAUGCGUGAAUGUGAAUGUAUAGAAAAUAUAUAAUGAUAACUAUAAUGCAUAUUUUGAGAAGGGAAAAUACCUAUGUUUUCAUGCUUUAAAAAUGUUCGACUUAGAUUGUUUGAAUCUUUAGUGCUUUUUUAGUUGAAUUAUCAAUGUAUGGCUAUUUGUGAAUUAUGACAAAACAUCAUUGAUGAGAAUUAUAAGUUGAGAAAGAUUAAUUUUAAUUUUGAGUUGAAUAUUUUGCUUGAGGACAAGAAAAUGCUUAAGUAUGGGGAUAUUUGAUAAGCCACAAAAGUAACAUAUUUUUAAUCCCAUUCUUGAUACAUUUUAAAAUGAUUAAUUCUGUAAAUUAGUGAAUUUGAUGCUCCUAAUCCUAUAAAUUCAUAUAUUUAUACUUAAGAGAGCAUUUGGAAGCAAAAUGAGCAAAAAACGAGCCAAAAUCGAACAAAUAGAAUGGUUUCUAGGAUCCACAUGGGCUGGCCACACGCCCAUGUCCCAGCCCGUGUCGAUAUCGCACCUUGCUUCCCAAAUACGCGGAAAAAACCCAAUUUUUAGGCUUUCUGAGCAGUCUAAAGUCUAUAAAUACCAAUUAGAAGAAGACCUAAAGAGGCACUCAGAGAAGAUCGAAGAAAGCACUAGAAGAACGUCGUCGGAAUCAACUCGGAAGCGAAUCUCCCUCAAGAUCGAAGAUCUCCAUUUAAUUUCUUUCAAAUUUUUAUUCAGUUUCUUUAUGUCUGUUGUUAUCUUAACUUUGAGAUGUUUCUAUUCAGGAUUAUGAACUAAAUUUCCUAGAUACCUAGGGAGGAUGAAACCUAUGAUGAAUCUUAUUAUUUAAUUUUUAUUUUUACGCGAUAAAUACUUGAUUCUUGUUCUCAAUUAUGUAUUUUUUUCGUGUUUUAAUAUUUUUUAUGAUAUUAAUUCAUGUUUAAUGUGCUUAUUUCAGUGGAGAAAAAGUCUCUUUUUAAGAGUAGAUCUAACAUAAUUGAGUGGAGUUGCAUGCAAUCCUAGAAAUAGGGCGACAUAAAUCUACCGGAUUAGAGUCAAAUCUAUUAGGGGAAUCCAUAGAUCGAGUUAAUGCGAUGAUAAGGGUUUUAAUUAGAAAGAGAUUUCAAUUAAUCAACCUAGAGUCAGUUGUUCUUACUCUUGAAAUAGAUAUUAACAUAAUUUAGGGAUUUCUACAGAUCAAGACACAAGUGAAUAAAUCGUUUAAUUCAAAUUCAUAACAAUAGGUGAAGUCUAGGUGGAUUCUUUCCUGGGUAUUGUCUAUCUCAUUGGUUAUCUUAUAUUAUUUUCCUAUUUCAUUCUCUGUUGCAUUUUUAUUUAGAUUAGUUUAGUAAUUUUAGAUUAAAAACUAUCACUCCAAUUUGUCGGCUAAAUAAUAAAAAAUGGUAAUUACUAGUACUUUUAAUCCUCGUGGAUAUUCCCUACUCACCAUAGCUAUACUGUGGUUCAAUAGGUGCACUUGCCUUUGUACUAAUUAUAGUUAGUUUAGUGACCAUCAGUCACCGACCUUUUUCCUCUUUACACCCCCACACCCACCUACGAAAAACAACGACAAUUCGCACCGUUGUUCUUUUCUUCCCUUCUCAUCGCCAUUCACUUCUCCUCCACCAUCAACCACCAUUCAACAACCCUUUUUCACCACCACCAACAACUGCAUUUACCUAACAACAAAACAUCGCGGUCUCUCCUUUUCUCUCCACGUCGAUCGACCCUCUAUUCCUUCCCCAAACAUCACCUCUUCUACUUUUAUUUCUUUUUUCAACCAUAACCAUAGAACACCCAAAUGUCAAACCACCAUGAAACCACUAUUUAACACACCCACCACCAUCCAUUGAAAAAUCAACCCAACCCACAUCACUACUGCCGUCGACCACCACCUCCGUUCGGUAGUCGUCAACUAUCGUAAACUGUCAUCGUGAGCAAUAGUAAACAAAGUCAUUUGUUCCUCCAACCAUAGUUCAAAGUAGGAACCAAAAAGCCGAUGGGAUUUUAGCUUCGAUCAAUCGCAGAAGAAAUCAGUUUUUAGCACCUCCAGUCAUCGAUUUAGAAUAUGAUGACUCAGAACCUUCUCCACCCCUACGAGACAAACAGUCGCACCUAUUAGGAAUCUUCACUGACGAAGCCCAACUCUGAUCAAGAUAGAACACUUCCAAAGCAGUCCUGCUAUUUCUAAAAGGUCGAUUCCUAACUUGCAACCUAUUUUACCUUUACUAACAUACUAUACAGGUUGUUCGGUUGAGGUUGAAACUUCCAGCGACCAUGGCGAAGGUCCUUCGACUAGAAACGAGUAUGUUUCUCAACGUCAAACACAGUCUUCCACCACUCAAGCCCGUCAACCACCGAUAAAUAAGAUAGUGAUACCUCUACACAGCAGUACUAACGCUGCUAGAAAUUCGAGCCCACCACCCGGCUCGCCUGAAAAAAAUAUUUGACCAUCAUGAGACGGUCAACAUGAUAGGCGAGGUCGUACCUAUACUAUUCCCACCGAAAGAUGAUUAUGAUGGUCUCUAAAAUUUUGGACCUUGUAGCAUCAUGCAAGAUACGACAACAUUUGGCAACGUCCACUCCCGGUCUAUAAGCAAAUUAAUCUUUACACCAUUGAUAUGUUAAAUAUUUGUGAUGCUAUGAUGAGCUAUUUUGAUGCUAUUGGUUGGAGUCCAUUUGCAAAUAGUUCAUGUAGUGCAUAUUAUGAAUUCAUUUAUGAAUUCUACACAAUAUUUAGCUUUAAUAUUAAUGCGUUGCGAACUGUUGAAACCCCAAACGUUGUCUAUUUUCGGUUACAUGGUAAAGACUUUAUGAUGUUGAUUUCUGAUUUUAACAUUGCCAUGGGUUUCGUUGACCCUAACAACAUUCAAACCGAUUCCUACCAUACUUAUUUUUUAGAUAUUCUAAGUAAGUUUGAUGCUCAAGAUGUUUAUUGUGCUUUAACUUAUUUUAUAAAUCAACUUUAUAAUCCAAAGACCUUUAAGGACUUGUUGGUGCAUGAAUCCGCUUUGAGAUAUAUUCAUCGAUUUUUAGCCUUUAGUUUUUCAGGUCAAAACGAUUCAUCGUUUGUUUUAACAAAAAUUGAUUUUUUUAUGGUGUAUGCAUUCCGGAUUUAAAUUUAAUUUACGAUAUUGGUUUGCACGAAACUUUUAGGCUGUUUUACGCUCUAAUCGACCACUAAUACUUGGCCCUUAUAUUACAAACUUAACCUCUCAACUUUUUCCCUCUAAAGUCGAUUUCUUGUCUUUAACUUGUGCAUAUACUAUGGAUAGUCUAGAUGAAUAUUGUUUGGACUCUAUGGGUUUGCUUGUCGGUACCCCUAUUACGUAUUAUUUUGUUCCUCCAGGUACACAAAUUUCUCGGAGUAAUAAUGUCUUUCGCCAACGUCCAAAUUUCACUACUAGAGAGCAAGAGGAACAACAUCUUUCAUCUGUAGAGGCACAUUUAAGUUGGAUCGAAGCUUGACUUGAAACAAUGGAAACCCAAGUCUCCAUAAUCCUUGACAUCCUACAAAGUCAAUACUCCCAACAUCGACAACAUAGUUGAAACACAUAGGGAGUAUUCUUAACCUUUCUCUUUGCUUGUUGUUUGAGUUACUAUACUUUAUUGCAUAUAACACAUGCUUAAGGACAAGUAUAGAUUAAGUGGAGGGAUUGAAAUGGUAAGUAUGCAUGGUUGAUUGUCUUUUGUUGCAUGUUUCUCUUUUGAAUAUGUUCAAUCUUAUGCUGGAUUUAUUCGAUAAUUUUUUUGACAUUGAGCCUCUAAUUUCAUUACUUAGUCAAUUUGGACAAUUGGGUAACUUUUGAAUUAAAGUGUUCAAAUAUCUAGAUUAAUCGACAUGUGUGUUUUAAAGUUGAUAUAUGUAAUUAGAUUUUUCAUGAAAAUUGAUUGUUUGGUAAAAAUAUUGUAUUUGCUUGUAUAUAAAUAAAUGAAAAAAAUGAAAAAAAUAAUAAAUAAAUAAAGGCUCAAGUUAUUAGUAAAGGUUUUGAAAAAGUAAUCUAAUUCAGUAAUCAGGUUGAGGUGUUUAGGUUGUCAUCUCAUCUCGUGCAAAAAGGUUUGAGUGACGAACCGAAAACAUGCAACCAUUUCGCUAACCGAGCUACUAAAAAAAUGGGGACCAUUUGGAGAUGUGUUGGACUAAGUAACCAUGUUAGGGUGCUUAGGUUGUCAUCCUAGUUUGCGUAAAAAAGUUUGACUACGUCCCAAAAUUUUACUACAUGAUUAAUUGACAAGAAUACCUUGCAGAUCUUGGUUCAAACUCAAUUUACUGAAAUGAUUUAAUUUACAUAUUUCAAUUUUAUGGACACUUGUUGAUCAAACUAGGUAUUUUGAGCACUUAUUCAUUUUUUGCCUAUAUUGUUUGCAUUGAUCAUGGAUGCGGAAAAAAGGCUUGAUUUCUGAUAAGUUAUUAAUAAUUUUUAAUGUAUGAAAGUACAAUAUGCUUGAGGGCAAGCAUGAGAAAAGUAGGGGGAUUUGAUAGCUUGUCUAUUUUGCAUGAUUUACGUGUUCAACUCGACUUAUUCUCAAAUUAAUCCUUGCUAAUUGGUGCAUUUUGUGUUUAAAUAUUGUCAGGAACGAAAUUCGGGAACUUUAAAUCAAAGACAAGCAAACAAGGGGAUAAACUGAAGCAAGGGAAAGAGAAGAGGGACCGAAUUGAAAAUUUGGGACAUUUGAGGGCCUAGUCAGAUUUUAACCUUGUAAAAGCCAAAAUUAGUAAAUUAAAUCUAAAAUUAUUUUGUGUAGUUAGUGGUAGGUGGAAAAAGCCUAAAAUUAGUAUGUGGAUUUUGUAUAAAUAGGUAGGGUGGUGCACUUGAAAAAAAAUAGACCUGAUUUGAUAAGCAAUUGAAUAAAAAAAAGCAAUUUAAUUCUUUCUUAUUUUGAAUGAAAGUGUACAAGCAUUCUGCCAACUUUUUUUUCCAAUUCAACUUUUGGCAUAAUUGUUUCCCAAGCCCUUCCCCACCAUCUUUCUCCAUUAUCAUAAAAUCCACUUUCAUAAUCCACAAAGCAUGAUUAGUUUCAUGAUUCACUAAAUUCUAACUUAGGUUUAGUGUAACACCCCGAAAUUUAGGGUUACAAGUUUUGAGAUUUGCAGGUAAGGUCAGUGGCUAGAUCGGACAAUUGGGUUUGUUGCUGUGUUUUAUGUCAAAAUGGGCUUGCUGGUUUGGUGGCUUGUCGUAUGUUAAUUUGCCUCUAGGUUCUGGGUUCGAAUCCUCAUGGGUGUUUGAGGAAUUAAUUUCAUUUGAAUUUUGUUUUUUAAAGUUUUAUAUAUAUAUAUAUAUUUAUGUUAUUUAUUUUAUUGUAUUUUUAUUUUUGAAAAAAAAGAGAAGUUGUUCUAAAAUUAUUUUGCACGUUCUUUUUGGUUUCUCUCCCUCCCACGUUCUCUCCUUCUUCCUUGUUCACGUUCUUUUUCCUUCUUGUUUCUUUCUUCAAUUUUUGCUUUCUAAAUUUAGGGGUUUUGAAUCAAAAUUGGGAUUUGAGGAGUCGAUCAUUUUGGGAACUCUUAAAUCGCGUAUCAGGUGUGGGAUUCGUAACUCUUUUAGUUCUUUUUUUGUAAAUUGAGGGUUUGAUUUGGUGGUAUUCUAUAAUUUCAUUUGUGUUGGGAAUCUUUCCCCUUCAUUGUCAAAUUUUCGACCUGUUUUGUGGAAUUUGAAAUUUGUUUGUGUCUUAGGGAAUGGACCAUUUGAAAGGUCGAUUAAUAUGGUAAUGGCUGGAAAUUGGGUGUGUUUUUGGCAUACUUUUGGGUUGCUAAGGUUUGGGGUUUGUUUUGAUGUCACAAAAUCGAGUUUUUAGCCAAUUUCGAUGUGGUUUCGUGACCACACAGGUGGCCACACGGGCGUGUGCCCCCACAUGGGCGGUUCACACGGUGUGUGCAAUUGGGAAUUAGGGUUUUUGGGCUAAUUUGGGUGCCUCACGGCCUGACCACACAGUCAUGUCGUUGAUUUGGGGAAAUUAGUGAAUUUUCACACGACCAUAAUUCUUGGGUACACGAGCGUGUGCAAUUGGGAAUUUAGGGUUUUCGAUGAUUUUUGGUACCACAUGGGCUGGCCACACAGGCAGGUGUCCCCACACGUGCAUGUGAGCUCUCCACACAGUCGUGCCUCCUCUGCUCUUAAUUUUUAGCACUUUCAGACAAUAAGUUACACGGGCUGCUCACACGAGCGUGUGUGGCCUCCACACGGGUGUGUAUAGCCUCUACAUGGGCGUGUAGACCCCCACAAAGCCUGGGCACUUCCACACGGCCAGGGCACACGGCCAUGUGGCCUUAUGUCGUCAAAUUUUAUUUUGUGUCUGUUUUUGUUUUGAUUAUCAUUCUGUGUGUUCCGACCCUCAGUUAGGUCUUUGUAAAGGUGGUCAGGACUUUGUUUCGGCCUGAACUUGUGCGUUAUUUGCAAUCAUAGCUCUAAUUAAGCAUUUCGGCUCAGUGUUACUUGAUGUUAUGAUAUAUAUGAUUCUGAUUCUAGGCAAUUGAAGGUGUGCUUUUCUGAUUCCGUACUCUAUUUUUGUCUGUCUUCAAAUGGUGUGCAUUUGCAUUUGCAUUUGCAUUAAUCUUUUUGGGUUUGGUUGUGAAGAAAAAGGAGUUUGAUCUGUUCUGGCAGUUUCAACUGCAGCAUGUCUGUACAGCGGUUUACUGCAAUGCACUGUACGACAUAUACGACAGCUUUGCUACGUAGUAUUAUUAUUUGAGUGGCUUAGUCCACAUACAUGGUGUGUAGGGUUGGAUGGGUCUUUCGAGUUCCUAUGUGGUGUGUUUGGAUGGGUGAGCUUAAAAAGCUCUUAUGGGGUGUGAUAGGGGGACGAAGUGGUGUUUUGGCUGGAUGGGUGGGUUUUAAUAUUUGACUACAUUCAUACGCAUCUGGAUGUGAGUUCCUUGUCUGUUCGUUAUAAAAAUUAUGACUGAUCUUGUGUGCAUUUUGGUGUGCUUACUAUUACGUUUGUUUGGGAUGUUGGUUCUAAGUUUACCCUCUGUUUCUGUGUAUCUCUGUAAAUACAUUGUGUCGUUGAGCUGCUAUUUGGAUUUUUGUUCUAUAAGUUCGUUGUUUGUCACCUUAUGAACUCACACUGAGCUCGUGUAGCUCAUCCCUUUAGUGUUUCCCCUUGCAAGUACAUUUUUGUUUCUUGAUGCUGGACUCGGCAUGCCGGAGGUCUUGGAAGCAUCACAUUUUUAAAACUGGUUAAUAAAGUAUUUUCUGUAAAUCUGAGUUUUAUGUAAACGGUUUUGGACUGUAAGUUCUGUUUUAAAAACUGUGGUAUGAAAUUUUUGUGUUAAAUGCAGAAAGACAUUAUUUGGAUUAAACAACUGUAUUUUGAAAUAUCGGGAUUUGAUAACUAAGAAUUUUUACGUAACCUAAAUACUACUUGAUUUCUCACUUGUUGUUAAUGCUGUAAUGUUUUUCGGGUUGGUAAACUCAAAUUUCCCACGAUCAUUUCGGUGAUCAAUGUAACCUCUGGGAUUCGGUCUAAACUUCUAGGCUAGGUCUUGGGGCAUUACAUUUAGGCCGGUAUUCUUUCCGUUCAGGAAUCAUAAGAUAUGUAUUCGUACUAAAAAUCCUUCCAAACGGUAUUCACUAUCUUUUCGAAAUAUCAAGAUUGACAAAUUCAUCCCUUAAAGUUAACUCGAUUUCAAAUCAAAUAACGCGUUAGGUAGGAGUCGUGUUUGCAGACAGUUGGGAAAACAAGUCGAUCAUAUUGUAUUCGGAUCUCCGAGAACAAAUCAAGGGAGAUAGUGAUUGGGUUUAAACGUCGCACGUAAUUGAGGCCAUUAAUCCGAGUUGGGUUCUUCAAAACACAAAGUUGUCGAAAUCUUAAAUCUCGAAUGCAUGUAUCUUGGUUUGAUGAUUGGCAAAGGUUGAUUCGCAGGUCAUACCGGGGUCAACUACGAGAGGAAGAAUUGGUGGUUAGGAUGUUCUUAGCCACUAUAACCAGCUUAUUUUUUGGGGGAGAAAAUUAAUUUUUGAGGAUCAGUUCAGAGAUUAGAAUUCACCAUGUCUAGGGCUAAGGCUUAUUAUUUCUGUUAUCAAAAUUCAAAUUUUAUUUCUAAUUUAAUUUUUAAUUCUGAUUUACUCAAGUAUUUAUUAUUGAUGUCUCCAUUAUUUCAUUUCUAAACAUUUCAAAACUCCACUAAUUUAUUGUCUAUUUCUUUUUGGCAAGUCAUUGGGAGUCAUGGGCACGACUAUCGCCAAGAAAAAAAUUCUGUCCACGAGAAGAACUCAAAAGUUUAUCUUAAUCACCAAUCCCUAUGGGCUCAACCCUACUGCUCUUUACUAUUGUUUAGAGUACUUUUAUUGUAGGAAUUAUUUUCAUUUGGUGGUUUCCAAUCCCCAGCAACGACACCAAAAUUUGAUGGAAACCACCAAAUAAAAAUAAUUUUGGUAAAUAUCGGAAACCAUCAAAUUUUGGUGUCAUUCCUGGGGAUUGUAAACCACCAAAUAAAAAUAAUUCCUACAAUAUAAGUCCUCUAAACAGUAGUAGGGUUGAGUCCAAAAGGAUUGACGAUUAAGAUCAACUUUCAUGUUCUUCUCGUGGACAGAAAUUUUGUCAUGCAAUAGUCGUGCCCACGACUCCAAAUAACCUGCCAAAAAUAGAUAAAAUAAAUUAAUGGAGUUUUGAAACGUUUAGAAACGAAAUAAUGGAGACAAAAAUAAUAAAUACUUGAGUAAAUCGGAAUUAAAAAAUAAAUUAGAAAUAAAAUUUGAAUUUUGAUAACAUAAAUAAUAAGCCUUAGCCCUAUACACAGUGAAUUCCAAUCUUUGAACUGAUCCUCGAAAAUUAGUCUUCUCCUCCAAACAAUAAGUUGGUUAUAGCGACUAAGAACGUCCUAACCGCCAAUUCUUCCUCUCGUAGUUGACCCCGGUACGACCUGCAUACCAACCCUUGCCGAUUAUCUAACUGCGAUACAUGCGUUCGUGAUUCAAGGUUCUGGCAGCCUUGCGUUCUAAAGAACCCAACUCGGAUUAACGACCAUAGUCGCGCAAGACGUUUAAACCCGAUCACUAUCUCCCUUGAUUUGUUCUCGGAGAUCCGAAUACAGCACGGCCAACUCAUUUCCCUAACUAUCUGCAAACACGACUACAACCCAAAGCGCUUUUUGAGUUGAAACCGAGUUAACUUUAAAGGAUGAAUUUGUCAAUCUCGAAAUUUUGGAAAAAUAGUGAAUAUCGGUUGGAAUGAUUUUUAGUACGGAUACGUAUCUUACAAUUCCUGAAUGGAAAGAAUACCUGUCUAAAUCUAAAUUAGAAUUUAGUGAUUCAUGAAAUUAAUCAUGCUUUGUGGAUUAUGAAAGUGGAUUUUAUGAUAAUAGAGAAAGAUGGAAGGGGAAGGGGAAGGGCUUGGGAAACAAUUAUGCCAAAAGUUGAAUUGAAACAAAAGUUGGCAAAAUGCCUACACACUUUCAUGCAAAAGAAAGAAAUUGUUUUUUCUAUUCAAUUGCUUAAGCAAACCAGGUUGUUUUUUCUAUUCAAUUGCUUAAGCAAACCAGGUCUGUUUUUUUCAAGUGCAUCACCCUACCUAUUUAUACAAAAUCUAUAUACUAAUUUUAGGGUUUUUCCACCUAACACUACCUACACAAAAUAAUUUUAAAUUUAAUUUACUAAUUUUGCCUUUUACAAUGUUAAAAUCUGACUAGCCCCUCAAAGGUCCCAAAUUUAUAAUUCGGUCCCUCUUAUCUUUCCCAUGCUUCAAUUUAGCCCCUUGUUUGCAUGUCUUUGAUUUAAAGUGCUCGAAUUUCGUUCUUGACAGUAUUUAAACACAAAAUGCACCAAUUAGUAGGGAUUAAUUCGAGAAUAAGUCAAAUUGAACACGUAAAUUAUGUAAAAUGAACAAGCUAUCAAAAUCUGAUUUAGAAAAACAAAAUUAAAAUAUUUAUUGUGCCAUAUAUUUUUUAAAUUAUUUUUCUAAUAAACUUUAAUUAGAAAGGAAUGUUUUUUUUUCAGCUUAGUUGGUCAUGGGAGACUAAAUCCAGGAAGAGAUCUUGGGGUUCUCCCCAACUGAGAUAUAAUAAGGUUGUGGGCGAAUGACCAUAACCAGGGCACAGGAGAGAUGAUGGUAAUAAAGGAUAGGUUGGUGGAAGUAGCGAAGAGGAUGAACAAGGAUCAAUAGUAUAAAGAAGAGAAGCAAAAACUCUUUACAAACUCAACCAGAGAGCAAGUUACUUUAUAAACUAAACAACAUAACUUCUUUAUUGAUGUAUUGGAUUAUCUAAUUCACAUCAUUGUAAUGUUUCAGCGGUUCAACUUUUAUAUAAACUUUCAUGCUCCUAUUUUACAUCAAUUUUUUUCCUUUUAUAUCUAGAAAUCAUGACUUGAACUUUGCUAAUUUAGACCGGAAGAGUUUGAGUUGAAGAAGCCUGCUGCUUACCAUUGCCAUCGGCCUCUUCAUUUUCUCCUGUAAGUUCUUCCAACGAUUUUCCCUUAGAUUCAGGCACCAAAAGAGUGAAGAAUAUUCCAAGGCAGUUGAUUGAUCCAAGCACAAGCAAUGUAUUUUUAACCCCAAUACCAGGUGGGUAUCCCUGAUCAGUCUCCUCCGGAUUUGUGCUCUGUGCUGCAUACAAGAAUCCUAACGCCCCGACGAUGGCCCCGAGUUUUCCGGCAGCAGCUGAGAUCCCAUGGCAAGUCGACCUCAGUCUUGCUGGGAAAAUCUCAGCUGGCACGACAAAUGUGGUGGCAUUUGGUCCAAAAUUCGCAAAGAAAAAGGUCAAUGAAUACAUGAUGAGGAACCCAGCAUUGUUGGACAACCAGUGAUGGUAAGGUAUCGCAAGUGCAAACAUGAACACUGUCAUGAAAAAGAACCCCAUCAAUUGAAUUGUGAACCUGCCAAUAUAAUCGAUUAACGCCACCGUAAACCAGUAUCCAGGGAUCGUGCCACAAAGUGCGAUAAGCGAUUGCGACGCCGCGACUCGAUAAACCUCAUGAAUUGCGUUCAUGGUUUCGGCUUUUGGAAGCCAACCAAUGGCAGUGAAGAUGUCUUUUUGGAACAAAUUGUUACUGUAAUAGGCAAUGUCUAAUAAGAACCAACAUACGGAUGUUCCAAGUAAAUGUAGUCCAUGGCGUCGAGCGAAUUCCUUAGUAAAUAGACCAAAGGAGUUCGACGAUGAUGCCGUCUCUACCUUCUCUUCUUCAGCUUCAAGCUCCACUUGCAGAACCUUGGACAUGUCUGAAGCAGCCUGCUUUGCGUUCCUAGCAACAAGGGCGGUGUAACGGGCUGUUUCGGGCAUCUUCAUACGCCAGUAGUAUGUUAGAAGCGCAGGAACAGCGCCGAACAUGAGUAUAAUCCGCCAAAUAUAGUCGGCUUCAGGCGCAGUCGAAUCUUUUCGGUUAACCGAAUAUGGAGGGGCCUUAUAUGCAUGAUCGAAAGAAGCCGACACGAUAAGUGCAACGAUCCCACCUGUUAAAAUCCCAAAUCCUUGCAUUGCAAACACAGCAGCGAUAAAUGCUCCACGAGUUUUCUUGUUUGCAUAUUCGGACAUGAUGGUGGCUGACAAGGGAUAGUCACCACCGAUUCCGAAACCAAGCCAAAACCUGAAGAAACAAAGUGUUGUCAUAACACCAGCAGGAGACUUCCCAAAGGAAAGUCCAGAAGCAAUGGAACAGACCACCAUGAGCAUGAGGGUUAGUCCGUAAACCCGCUUCCGGCCUAAUUUAUCACCAAGCCAGCCAAAGAAAAGCUGACCAGCUAACGUGCCAACAAAGGCUGUCCCAUUAACAGCAGCUGCUACAUUAGGAGGCAAUGUUCCAGGCUUUGGAUGGUUUUCAUUUGUGUAGUAAAUACGACCAAGAAGUUUUGUGAUAAGAGAGAUGCCAAACAAGUCAUAAGCAUCAGUGAAAAAACCCAUUCCCGCAAUUACAAUGGCAGUGAAAUGGUACCAUUGUGUCUUUGCUGCAUCCAGAGCAUUAAGAACUCCAAGCUGGUUGUUAGCCAUGAUAAAUCUCCCUCAAAAUGGAUGAUUUGUACUGGAGUUUGUAAGAUGAUUUGGUGAGUGAAGAAUGAUGAGUAGUGAAGGUAUUUAACAUCUGAUCACUCAAAAGUCUAAGUCUCCCCAGAAUCUUAUCAAUGGCAUAUACCCUUCUUUACCUUAAAAUGUCAAUGCUUGCACAACAGUAGCCGUUGCUUAUUCUUCUAUCCAUCAAUAUAAUAUGCUUUUUUCUUACAUCAGACUCAAACUUUUCUGCCCAACACAACACGGCAACAUUCUUAAAUAAUGUUGCAAAAAAGUUGGACAUAUGGAUCAGUUCACACUGUUCUGUGUGUAUUCUUUAAGGACUAUUGAUUAAACUAUCUUUAUGUCAAUGUACCAGGGCAUAAUUAAAUCUAUUAAGAGCACGAGAAGUUUUAUAUAUAUAUAUAGUUGUAGACUAAAGACAAUAGCAUUAAACCAAAAGGAUAGGUUUGAAGUUUGAACAAUAAGAGCACCAAAACAAAUUUUAGAUUUAUGCCUCCACCAAAUCUUUUUAUAAAUGCAAUCUUGGAAUAUUUUUGUAAGUAAAAGUAGUAACACGGGUCAAGUUGCAUUUUUAUCUUCUUUUUACUUAAAAUAAAAUAAUUUAGUUUUUGUAUAUUAAAUCAAAGAAUUAAUUAAUUCAUGUAUAUCAGUAUAAGGUAUACGUGGUAUGUCACAUGUUACUGUUUGAUUAUUUUGUCAACCGCUAAUUUAAACAUGAUGAAAUUUUUAGUAGAAAUAACCAAUUUACAAUUUAAUCUAAUAUGCAGAAACUAGUUUACCCAUUUUUUGAACUCCUCUAUAAUACUUUUAAGACUUUUACUACUUAAAUUUACAAAAUUUUUGUUUGGUGUAUCUAGAAUAGGUUAUUGUUUCUAAAAGUAAAAAGUAAAGCUAAAGAAAGAAGUUUAGCAUCAAAAGUGUGGUUGAAUUAAAAAGUUUUAAUAGUAAUACUCAACUUGUAUAAAUCAGAUAUGAGAUGAGACAAGAAACUCUUAUCUUUUCACAAAUCAUGCUAACAACCUAGUUGAAUCUGGUUAACAAUUUUGAAAUUUGUUUCAUGAUGUCGUCACCUGGAGUGUGUCCUUGGAAAUCAUAAUCAUUCAUAUUUUAAAUUUUAAUAUGGGAUUAAUUAAUUCAUCUCAAUUGAUAUCGUUCUUAUAACCACAUGAAAUAUAUAAAUUUGAAUACAUUUAGUAUUAAAAAAAUUAUGAUAUGCUGCAAAAAAAAUAAUUUAGAUAUGUCAUGAACUUAAUAUACCAACAUAAUUUUUUAAAUGUACUAAUUAUAUGAGAUGAAUUGAAACAUGAUAUGAAUACAAAAUUAAAUAAAUAAUUAAAAAAUUAUAUUAACAUACAAACAUAAUAAAAUAUGCAUAAAUUAAACACACAAUUUAAUUGUAAAUUUAAGUAUACAUAUUUUUUUAUUAAAUUUAUUUUCAAUUUGUUGGGAAACAUUUAUUUUAAUACUUUUAGUAUUUUUGAUGUAUUAUAUUUUAAAAAAUAACAUGGAUUGGAUCAAGCCCAACUUUUAAAAUUUUUAUCCAGAUCGAGCUUGGACAAAAUAUUAGGCCUAUUUUUCGAGCCGAGCCAGGACCUAGCAAACAAGCCUAAAAUUUUGAUUAGGCCCAGCCCGGCCCGACCCAUGAGCAUCUCUACCUAUUACAUAAAGCUCCCCAAAUUCUUAAAUUUACCAUUUUAACUAAAAUACAAUUAUUAAUUUAUAUUACAUAAAUUUUAUUUUUUACACUCACGACCAUAUGUUAUAAUUAUUUUUUAACAAAAAAAUGCUAGAUAUUAUUAUUUUUAUCAAAAGAUAGAUACUAGAUGUUACAGUUGCGAUCUAGUCGGAACAGUGGUUUCGGGACCACAAAUUCGACAAAGAAAAUUUUAUUUUUUACUAUAUUUUUAUGGUCUAAAAUUUCACGGAAUGAUUUCAUAAAAAUUUCAUUCAAAAAUUUCAACGUUUGGGCACUCAAUUUAGCCAAAAGGACUAAAUUGUAAAAAGUGCAAAAGUUGAGUUCUAGAAGCUAGAGGUGUUAAAUUGCUAUGAAAUUUUAAAUUGGAGGUCCUUAAAUGGUAAUUAGACCAUUGGUUAACUUUUUGGACAAAAAUGGACAAGAUAUAAGUGAAAUAGGAUUUUUUUUUAAGUUGGGGGCAUUUUGGUCAUUGAGUAAUUAAAAGAAUUAAAAAGGCCAAAAUAGCCAAAAAUUUGACCAUCUUCAAGCUAAGGCCGAAUUUAGCAAGGGGAGAAGUCAUAUUUAGGGUUUUCAAGCUUCCAAGCUCCAUAGUAAGUGAUUCCAAGCCCCGUUUUUAAUGUUCUUUACGUUUUUGGAGUCCCGGUAACUUGUUUUUGCUAUUUCUAGCAAUAAUUUAACCUAGGGAUUAUAUUUGGAAAAAUACCCAUAGUUGAAAUGUGUUUAUUUUGAUGUUUUAUGGUAGAAUAUAAAGCUAGAAAUUAUGUUAAAAAACUUUUGCUAAGCGAUUUUAAGUGAAAACGAGUAAAACGACAUAAUUGGUAAAAAUACCUAAUGUUCAUAAGUAAGUGUUAGAGUGGGAAUUUGAUGUUUCCAUAGAAGGGAAAAAUGUUUAGUAUGUCAUAAAACAUAAGAAUAAGAGAUGAAGUUUAAUUUCCGAGCUUUGGGGCAAAAGUGUAAAUAUGCAAAAGUUUAGGGGCAAAAUUGUAUUUUUCCAAAGUUUGAGUUAAGGACUGUUUUGAUGAAUGUACAUGUUAAAUAAGUUAAAUGUGUUAUUAUAGUUCAAGAAAGAAGUGGAAUCGACCUUGAUCGGAGAAAAGAAAAGAUUAAAGACUAAAUUGCUAAAUUUCUAUAUUGUUGCACCAAACUAAGUUUGUAUGUGAAUUAAUGCAUUGUUUUAAUGUUAUUCAAUAUAUUGUUGAGAUUUGAGUGAAUAUAGAUUAAACAUUUGAUGUAAAUUAUAAAAAAAAUGUGGUUAAGUUAGAGAAAGGUGGUAAAAUGUUAAAAAAACAAGGUUUCCGAUUGAAGGGCAAUUUACCAAUAAAAGCACUUUUUUUCAAAAAUUACCGAAAUGGGCCCAUUAUUUAAUUAUUUGCCGGAAUGGUCCAUUUUCCGCGAAAUCGCGUCCACGUCAGCGCGAUGUCAGGGUACGCGUCAGGAAAUCGCGUCCACGUCAGCAACUCCCGCUGACGUGGACGCGAUUUCCUGGCGCCACGUAGCGCGUUCCGGGGGACGCGAUUUUGUCGUUUUUCCCACGUUAGCUUUUUUUGGCUUUUAUGGUUUAGGGUUCAGGCUUUUUAAGGUUUUUAGGUCUUGGAAGAAAUAAUUUCGAGUUGAUGUUUCUGAUCAAAUAGUAUAAAAUUGCUUCUAGCAGGAUGCUAUUUGGGAAGAAUUUGUGAAAUCGCGCCCUCGUGGACGCGCUUUUGCUACAGUAGGUCACGGAAGAAAUAAUUAUUUUUUUGACGUUUCUGAGCAAAAAGUAUAAAAUCGCUUCUAGCAGGAUGCUAUAUGAGAAGAAAUUGUGAAAUCGCGCCCUCGUGGACGCGCUUUUGCUACAGUAGGUCACAGAAGAAAUAAUUAUUUUUUUGACGUUUCUGAGCAAAUAGUAUAAAAUCGCUUCUAGUAGGAUGCUAUUUGAGAAGAAUUUGUGAAAUCGCGCCCUCGUGGACGCGCUUUUGCUACAGUAGCAUGUUUGGGUUGAGGCUAUAAAUUAGGCAGAAAAUGUUCUUAGAAUGCAUAAGUCAUAGCAGAAACAAUUUAGAGAGGCUAAGAAGGUUAGAGUUUCAAAUAUGAGUGAACGUAUUAGUGUUGUUAUUUACUACGAUGGUGAGGUUUGCCACACUGAGAAUGGUGUUGUUUUUUUGUCGGAGAAUACGGUGCGACUGGUUUUUAACCAGAACAUAGAUUUGACAGAACUUCGUAAAAGGAUUAGGCGUAAAAUUUUCGGAACGACACCAAUGAAAGUUCUGUCUAUCACGUAUUGAUUUUGUUGUUCUGUUGAUCCGGUGACAUAUGACUCGUUCGACAUAAAAGGUGCUCGUAGCUUGGAGGCAAUGGUGCAGACUCAUCUUGCUAGUGGAGCACCUUAUAUUAAGUUAUAUGUACAAUUUACAUCGCCAACUGAUGUACUUGCGACCGGUCUUCGAGAUGUAUACACCACCCCUGGCCGACACUCGGUCAGCGGGUUACAAAAUACGGAACAGCCCAUGUUCGGUAGCGGUGUCGAAUGCACAUCCCCUGCGAGACACUCUAUCGGUGGAUGGGACAUGUACGUCGGUGGCUCGAUGUUUGAUGCUGGAAAUACAUACUGGGGAGCGGCAUCAAGUUCUAGCGGGUGGCAAUCUACAUCCAAUUGGGGACGUUAUAAAAUGCCCAGAAGAAGGGAUGAUGCACUCCCUACGACGUCAACCGGUGAGGGGGCCUCAUACACUGCAGAUGAUUGUAGGUUAGAAGAUGACUCCGAUGUGGAUCCACCUCGAGAGCCCAGGCCAGAUGGUGCAGAAGUUGGCUUAUUUUCUGAACCGGAGCCUAUUCCAACAGAAGCUGAAGAUGCUGAAAGGAGUUUAGAUAAGGAAGAAAAUCCACGAUUCAGAGCAUAGUCACCUCCAGCCCACAUGCAUAAUGUCGAUCUGUCUGCAGAUGAUGCGUUAGAGUUUCCAGAUCUACCACACCGGUUGUGUGAUCAUACAAGUUCGGGGGUAGAUUUCGGUGAACUUGAAGUUGGUAAUCAGUUUACCGACAAGGAUAGUUUUAUUGGUGCUUUGAAACAACAUAGCAUCAAAAACGGUGUUAACUACCACGUCGUUAAAUCAAAAUCUGAUAAGUUUGAAGCGAAGUGUGCGGUGCAAGACGGCACAUGUUCAUGGAAAAUCUACGCCUCGUUAAGGAAAAGGACAGGGUUGUGGGAGAUAAAAAAGUACAAAGGUCCACAUACAUGUGCUGCAGGUACAAUAUUGACGGUAUCUGAAUAAUACUUUUAUUAUGCAAUGUUGCAUUAUUUAAUGUACUCCCUUUAUAGGUGUUUUACAAGAUCAUCCCAAAAUGGAUUCAGCUAUGUUAGCUAGCUUGAUACUACCCACGAUAAAAGCAGAUCCUAGGACUUCAGUGCCGGUGUUAAUUGCCAAUGUCCGUAGCCAAAUCGGGUACACGCCAUCUUACCGCAAGGCUUGGAUAGCUAAGCAAAAGGCGUUGGAGAAGAUGCAUAGUGGGUGGGACGCCUCAUAUAAUGAAAUAUGGUAGUGGUGUCAGGUGCUAGAGAGAUACGUCCCAGAUGCCAUCACAGACCUUGAAACGGAACAUGCGUACUACAACGGUCGAUUGCUACGUGGAUGCCAAGUGUUCAAACGCCUGUUUUGGACCUUUAAGCAAUGUCGAGACGCAUUUCCAUAUUGCAAGUCGUUGGUACAAAUUGACGGUACCUUCAUGUUCGGUAGGUAUACUCAUCGGCUAUUGCUUGCAGUGGCACAGGAUGGUGGUGGGAGAAUUCUUCCAAUUGCAUUUGCAAUAACACCGAGGGAGUCGUCUGAUGACUGGGAUUUCUUUCUCUCUAGGUUAAGGAGGCAUGUGUGCCCCCAACCUGAUAUCUGUGUUAUUUCAGAUCGGGGCAGCGGUAUACUAGCUGCAUUUGAUCGAGAGGGAAGCUUAUGGCAGCGCACACACCAUAGAUAUUACCUAAGACACGUUGCUUCGAACUACUACAGGCAAUAUCCAUCUAAGAGCAAACGACGACAAGUGACCAACAUGGGUAUUUAGUCUAUAUCUGUGUUGUUUCGUUUGUCAAUUUGAAUUAGUUUUAUUGGUAGAAGUGGUAUAAAUUAUUCGCUAUGAUCUUAUAUUGGCAGGGUAUGAAAUAAAUAAAGAUCGUUUUCACGAGAUGUUGGUAAUUUUAAGUUCAAUUAACGGAGAAGGGGCGGACUACCUUUGUAACAUACGUUUCGAACAGUGGGCACAAGCAUACGACGGCGACCUAAAUAUGGCCAUAUGACGUCGAACCUGGCUGAAUGCAUAAAUUCUGUUCUUAAAGGAAAGCGCCAUCUACCGAUAACAUCGGUUGUGCGAGAAACAUAUUUUUGUUUGGCGGCACUAUGUCCAAAGCGAGCAGCAAGUUAUGCAGGCCAGAUGCAUGCAGUAAGGCAGUUCAAGAAAUUAACAAGGCCAAGGCGAGGGCAAACACUAUGCACACAGUGUGUCACAAUCGAGACAAUUUAUGGUUUCGCGUGACAGAGUUUGACAGACCGCACCAAGGUGUUGUUGGCGGGCAAUAUCGUGUACACUUGCGAAAUAAGACUUGUGACUGUGGGAUGUUUGAUGCACUUCGUUAUCCAUGAGCUCAUGUUAUUGCAGCUUGUCAGAAACUCCGUCUGGAUCCGAUGAGUUAUGUGGACGAAGUGUAAAAAUUAGAAAACAUGUACAACGUCUGGAGACACGUUUUCCCACCGGUCUCAGAUGAACGUAAGUGGCCGCCCGUAUCUCUUGCUCCUUUUAAGCUAUUACCAGAUAGAGAAUUACAUCGCAAACCAAAGGGUCGACCUUGCUCGACUAGAAUACGUAACAAUAUGGAUAUCCGAGAAACAGCCAGUCAAACGAAGUUGUGCGGAUGGUGUAGGAAUCCAGGCCAUACAAGUCGAUCAUGCUCUAAUUGCAAUAGUUGAAUUUAAUUGUAAAAAAAUUAACUUUGUGCAAUUAUUAAUUGAUAAAUUGUAUUAACUCAAAAAAUUGUAUUAAUGGUUAGUAAAAUUAUCAAAUUAUAUAAAAUUAUUAAUUGUUAGUACUAGUCAAAACAUUUUUCCAAAUCUAAAAUUAUGUGAAUGUAAAAUUAUUAACUCUAAAAAUUGUAUUAAUGGUUAGUAAAAUUAUCAAAUUAUAUAAAAAUUAUUAAUUGUUAGUAGCCGUCAAAACAUUUUUCCAAAUCUAACAUUACGUGAAUGUAAAAUUAUUAACUUUGCUUAGGUUUUUUAAUUAAAUUAGGUUAGGGUUUUAAAGUUAAAGGUUAGGGUUUUUAAGUUAAGGGGUUAGNNNNNNNNNNNNNNNNNNNNNNNNNNNNNNNNNNNNNNNNNNNNNNNNNNNNNNNNNNNNNNNNNNNNNNNNNNNNNNNNNNNNNNNNNNNNNNNNNNNNNNNNNNNNNNNNNNNNNNNNNNNNNNNNNNNNNNNNNNNNNNNNNNNNNNNNNNNNNNNNNNNNNNNNNNNNNNNNNNNNNNNNNNNNNNNNNNNNNNNNNNNNNNNNNNNNNNNNNNNNNNUCAAAAUAACUCAAAAAAUUUAUAUUCUUUUACAUAAAAUAAUAUCAAAUAUUCAAAUAUUUGUACAAAUAAAUUUAAAUACGGCAAUCAAUGUCUAUGCCCGGGGGAUUCAGUGCCACAUGGAGGCCGUCGACGGUUACGCGCUGGAUUCCUCCUUUCUCUAGCUUCCGGUGGCAGUUGUUGUUCCUCCGCUGGGGAUUCCGGUUCUUCCGGUUCGGCAUCUGGUUGUCGGACUUGGGACGAUGAUCCACCUUCAAAGAAUAGUGUAUGCGGAGGUGUUUGCAUUAGGAACGGCAACGGUGUUUGAAACCCAUACGUUGGUGGGGAUUGGUAAAAAGGAGAGCUCCCGACGGCCCCUCUUGCGAUCCCUCGUACUUCGCUGGCCUAUACAUCGGCGGUCCGCUCGGCAUAACAAGAAAUGGAGUUGAACCGGGCAUUUGGCUCCAACCUGCUAUAGGACUCGGAAAAGGAUACAUAUAAGGGUUAGGGUACAUAUAAGGGCUAGGAAGCACACCUGGCAUCAUCUGAAAAGGCGGUUGCGUGGGUAUCAUCGGUUGAACUGCUGCGUCGGGUGACUCCAUCGGUGCUCUUGUUUGGCCUGGUGAUUGCAUGGCCGCUGAUGAUGAGCCGGGUGAAUAUCUGGGCCUCGUUGAGGGGCUGCAUUUUUCGUCUUGUCGUCUUGGAUUUAGAGGCCCGCGUUUUUCCCUUUCGACACGUAUUUGCCGCUGCCUCUCCUCUGGCGUCAGUAAAUAUGGCUUGCCAUGGAUCCUAAACCAUGGCAUGUAUUCUAGAACGUACGCUAACUUUGGAACGAUGAUUGGUUCCCGAGUAGGUAGAUAUUCAUACCGAUCUUCCCACAUUUCCAUGUACUAAGACCAGUAUCUCGUCUAAUCCGUAUUCAAUUACCGAAGGUCGACUUUGUGUUGAUCGUCAAACACCUCAGGAUCCACCGGAAUCGGUUGUCUACAUCCAAACUGUCGUAGCACUCUGUCUAUCUCGUACGGCUCCACGGUUGCGUAGUUGAUCAACACGACUUUCACAUGCCAAGCUUGUGGAUUUUGUAAAAACUCUUCCGGGAUUACUGCCCAAAUUGCCGAAUCCUCGUAUGGUGUCCAUUGAAACUAUAUGAACAUGAUAGAAAUAUUAGUUAAAUACAUAAUAGUAAAUACUAAAUAUCAAUCGACUAGCGAAUGUAUGGAAAAAUCUAUUUUAUUUAAAACUUACUUGUGCUUCCGACCGUUGGUCCAAUAGAAGCCGUGUAUCUUCAAGAAAGGAUGGUAAUCGAGCAUGACUUGCCGGAUGGUUCCACCUAAUUAAAUAAAUUUUUAGCAUACUUUUAUUUUUAAAAAUCUACAUAAUAAUUGUAAAAUCUAAUAUAAAAUUUACCUCGUUAUGAGUGGGAAUGUAUAUGGGUGGUCCACUCUAGGACGUAGAAAUGAAAAGCGAAACCGUGCCCACGACUGCAGUAGUGACAGGCAACCUCCGAUUUUUGCUCUUCUCGGUCGCGUCGCCCCGCACAUCUCCUGAUAUAAUGUUGCCAAGACAGCAGACCCCCAACUCAUUUCACCGCUGCUCUGAAAUCAACGAGUUUCAGCAGCCAUCUUAGAUGUACGCAGCUCCGUGACGUGUCGGGCAUCAGAUAACCUCCAAUUAAUUGAANNNNNNNNNNNNNNNNNNNNNNNNNNNNNNNNNNNNNNNNNNNNNNNNNNNNNNNNNNNNNNNNNNNNNNNNNNNNNNNNNNNNNNNNNNNNNNNNNNNNNNNNNNNNNNNNNNNNNNNNNNNNNNNNNNNNNNNNNNNNNNNNNNNNNNNNNNNNNNNNNNNNNNNNNNNNNNNNNNNNNNNNNNNNNNNNNNNNNNNNNNNNNNNNNNNNNNNNNNNNNNNNNNNNNNNNNNNNNNNNNNNNNNNNNNNNNNNNNNNNNNNNNNNNNNNNNNNNNNNNNNNNNNNNNNNNNNNNNNNNNNNNNNNNNNNNNNNNNNNNNNNNNNNNNNNNNNNNNNNNNNNNNNNNNNNNNNNNNNNNNNNNNNNNNNNNNNNNNNNNNNNNNNNNNNNNNNNNNNNNNNNNNNNNNNNNNNNNNNNNNNNNNNNACAGACUUUUAUAACAAAUAAAAAAUUAAUAAUUAUCUAAAAAUGCAUAAAUAAAAAAUUCUUAAAUAAUAUUUAAAAAUUAAAUUUAAUACUUACCAUUUUCAUUUGUUCCACCGAUAUGUGAUGCUCAUCAAGACGAGUCAAUUCUCCAGCCAUUGCUGAAAUCGUAUAAAUUUUUACGGUUAAAAAUUUAAAUUUUUUAAAAAUUUAUUUUAAAAAAUGGAGUUAAGAGAAACUUAAGAGGAACUUAAGAAAAACUUAAGAGAAUUUUUGAAGGAAAUUGAGAGGAAAUUUGAGAGAGGAUUAGUUUGUGAAAAGAAAAAGGGUGGAGGGUAUUUAUAGUUUUUUUUUUACCGUUGGGGGCGGCAACGGUCAAAUUUUCGACCGUUGGAGCACUGUUCACACGCGGGUCAAAUCGCGUCCACGUCAACGCGAGUUGCUGACGUGGCAGCAAAUCGCGUCCUUGAGGGCGAGAUUUGUUGCCACGUCAGCAACUCGCGCUGACCUGGAUGCGAUUUACUGACGCGUACCCUGACAUCGUGCUGACAUGGACGCGAUUUCGCGAAAAAUGGACCAUUACGAUAAAUAAUUAAAUAAUGGGCUCAUUUUGGUAAUUUUUUUAAAAAAGGGCUUUUAUUGGUAAAUUGCCCUCGAUUGAACACUCGGAAUAGACCGGAAUACAUUGGAUAAAAAGGGGUCGCUAAGUGCAGAUUCCCCGAGGGGUUGCUAAGUGCUGAUUCCCCGAAUUAUUGAUUCUAAAGGUGGUUGCUAAGUGUUGAUUCCACCGUAUAUUUGAUUGUAAAAGGGGUUGCUAUGUGCUGAUUCCCUGUAUCACUGAAUAUAAAUGUGGUUGCUAAGUGCUGAUUCCACCGUAUCUUUGAUUGUGAAAGGAGUUGCUAUGUGUUGAUUCCCCGUAUCACUAAAUUUAAGGUGGUUGCUAAGUGCUGAAUCCAUCGAGUAACGGAUAAUAUUCUGAGGGUUCAACAGGGAAAUUGGAAAAGUGAAUGUACAUAUGAAAUGGACAAGAUUAUGUGAGGAAUAUUGGGUUUGAUACUUAAUCGACCCAUGUGUAAGAUGGUAUGAAAUAUCAAAACUAUAAAAGAGUAAAUUUAGAAAUAAAACAGUUUUGAACAACAGUAGUUGUGCAACUUUGAAAAAUCACCAUAAAUGGUGGAAAUUGAAUUAGAGGCUGAAUAAGAUAUGAAAUUGAAUCUGAAUGAGUCUAUUUUCGCAUGAAAGAAACAGAGCAAGAAAAACAAUUAUAUAUUAUGAAAUAUUUGAAUUUUUGUGAGAUAGGGUUGAAUUGAUUUCGAAAUCCCCUGUUCCAAAUUUGGAAAAUCACCAAAUACUGUAUAAAAAUAGUUAUGGCUUGUAUUAUACAUGCUUGAACUUCUCAUUGAGUUUAUUUGCAAGAGGAACAAACAAGAACGUCGUUUGAAUUUUGCACAAAGAGUUAAGUAAAUUUUAGUGAAGAGAGGUCAGAGCUGUUGAGCAGUGAAACAGGGAAAGUUUAAAGAAUAAAAUAUACUAAUUAGCUAAUCCAAAAAUUCUGAAAAUUUAAUGGUAAGAAGAUAUGUGAGUUUAGCUUCGGGUAAAAUUAACGGAACUUAAUUUGGAGCUCUUUAGCUCCAGAUAAAAAUAAUUUAGUGACUGUAACUUGACUAGACAGCUUUAAAUUUUAAUAUAACUGGAUAGUGAAAUUAUGUAUAAUGUUAUUUAAGCAUGUUAUGUACAUAAAGGACGUGGGAUGGAGAGGAGGAGGAGGAGGACAAUAAAAUGUAUGAAUGAAUUGUGUAUAAAUGGUCAUAUGGCCGAUUAUAAUCGGUAAAUGUUAAAUUAAAUGGUAAAUACAUAUUGGUACUGAAGGAGCUAUUGCGGUGUUGAAAAGCAAAUGAUCAAAUGUUUAAGAAAUUUAGUCAUGAUAUAUAUAUGUGUGAUAAUAAUGAUGUAUGGAUGAUUAUAUUAUUGAGUUGCAUUGAUUAAUUCGGUUUAGGUGAUGGAAAUGUCAAGAACAUUUGUCUUUGAUAUGUGAUGGUCAUGUAAUGCCAUGAAAAUUUGUUUAAUUGUGUGGUUUAAAAUGUAUCUAUAUUUUGUUAUAUAACUUAUUUUGUAAUCUAUUCGACAAAUGAUAAAAAUUAAUUCGGUUACUAUGUGAGGUGAAUUAUGAUUUGUGAAGCAUAUCUAUAUUCAGCAAUAAUGGAUAAAAUACAUUUAUGUCAUGGGUGAAUGGUUAAACACUUGGGUUAGUGUAAAGUGUAUAUUUAGUAAGGUUUUUUGGAAAAGAAAUAGCAAGUUUUGGUUUAUAUCGAAUAGAGAAAAUUUGUACUAUCUUUGUGGCUAAUUUUGUUAGCUGUAUGGGAGAUGAAUGGUUAAUGUAUGUAUGUGACAAUUAGCUUACCAGAUAGUGAACUAUUGAUAUACUACAAUAGUUAAAAAUGAAAAUUUGACGAUAUGAGAAUAUGUAAUGAUACGGAUCAAUUCAAGUACUCAGGACGAAUUCAACAAGUAAGUGAAAAUUUAUAAAUUCAUACGACGAGGAAGUGAAAGAUUGUGAGUAUAUUUAGCCAAGUAAACCCUAAUUAACGACCCAAGAAUAACAAUUGGAAAGUUUUAAUUUGGAUAAAAUUUUAUAACUCAGAUUAAUAUGUCUAUAAGUGUAUUUAUUCUGGUAAUGCCUCAUACCCUAUUCCAGUGUUGAUACGGGUAAGAUGUGUUACAAUGUGACAUCACCAGAUUUGGCCCUAAUGUUUAGGUCGGGUUUGGGGUGUUACAUUUAGUGGUAUAAGAGCUACGAUUUAGUCGGUUCUCGGAUCAAACGUAGCAUAUGUGAGUCUAGCUAUACAUGCCAUGUUAUUACUCGUGAUGAUGUGAUAUCUCCGCGCUCUAACGAAAUUGUUUUGUUAAGACAGAGAUGAUUUUCAAUCGAGCUAUUUUCGAUAAUGCUAAAAAUGAUAUUGAGAUGAAUGAAAUAUGCUGAUGUUAUGUUGGAAUUUGGAAAGGUAAGAAUAAAAAUUCGUGAUAUGUACGUUUUCAUGUAUGAAAAGAGAUGAUCAUAAGUUUAAAAAAAAGUUUAUGUUGUGAUAAGCUCAUCCAAGUAUGUUGGUGAUUAUAUGGUGCUAUGUGCUCAACAUAUUUGAUUAAGUGAAUAUGAUAAGAGAAUUUACUUAAAUAGAUGGAAUGUCUGUUUAUGUACAUCUGCUUGAAUAAGUGAAAUUAGUACGUUCAUACGAUAGAAUCUUAUGUUUAAUUGUUAAAUUAAAGAUAAUAAGAUAUUUUGUUUUAUGUCUUUACUAUUAAACCAUGAAUAUUAUAAUAGCAUGAAAAUUGAAUUGGAAGAUUAAAUUAAGUAGAACGCAAGAAUGAGUACUUUUGUUCAGUGAUAUGUAAUGAAUCGAAAAAAAAGACCAUGGUUGGACCAUGGCAACAUGUGAUAUGUGAUUUCCGUAUAAGACCAUAUAUGGGAUAUGGCAUUGGUGUAAUAUGUGCUACUGUGUAAGACCAUAGCUGGGCUAUGGCAUCAAUAUGUAAAUAUGUGUAAGACCAUAGUUGGACUAUGGCAUAGAUAAAAUGAAGUACUCAAUUCUGUAAGACGUUCUCUAAUUGAAUAAAUGUCGAUAAGUAAAAUGGAAGCUAAGUAUUGGAAUUUAAUUAGAUAUUAAUAUUGAGCUCGAGUAAGUAAAUUCAUUGUGUGAAAUUGUGGGUGACAGAAAAUAUUCAUAAUACAUAGAUGUGUUAAUUUACUUGGAAUGAAUUACGUGGUUAUGAUGGUAUUACAUUGAUGAUGAAUGCAAAGUCAUAUAUAUAUAUAUAUAUAUAUAUAUAUAUAUAUAUAUGUAUUUAUGAGAGCAAGUUAAAAGCUUUAUGACCUCAACAUCACCCCCUCAUUAGUAUUGUUUUAUGAUGAAAAUUAUCUUGAUGAGACAGAUAUGUUUUUCAACUGAGUUAAUUCUGACAGCAUAGAAGUAAACACUUAAAUGUUUGAGUGAAAAUGUAUUGAUUAUGAGUUGAAACUCAUAAAGGUAUAGAUCAAAGAAUAUAACAUUUUGUUAUUGAUAAAUGUUAUAAUUAUACGAGCAUAUGAGUUAUGAUAUUUGGAUUAUUAUGCUAUAUAGAAAUUUCGAUUGUGAAUUAGUGAUUUGAGUUGGCAUAUGAAUUAUGUGUUGAGAACAAAAGUGAUUAAAAGCAAAUGUUUAUUAAAUGCUUUGAGAAUGUGAAAUUAGUAAUGACUUGGUUAUUUGUGAUAGUAUGUGUUAUGCGCAUUUAUGUGUAAGAUAAAUUUGAGGCUUUACGACACUUACCUCCCAUAUCAGUAAAAUGUUACAAUAAAAUUUGUGAGAUUUUGGUUGAAUAAGCUUACGAGUGCAGUGUUACAGAAAUUUGUGUACGGGGGAUUAAUAAUGUGGUCGGAAAAGUGAAUGAAUUAGCAAAUGAAGACAAUACAAAAAGAGAGAAAUAUUGGAUAGUUUUGAAAACUACUCAGAUUAUGUAAAGUUACUGUCACAAAAGAAGUUAAAUCCGAUUAAAUAAUUUAUUCAGAUAUGUUAUUUAAAGAAAAAAAUUAACCAGAAGUUUUUCUGGAUCGAUUUCUGUAAGUAAAGAGAUAAUGUGAAGAGAGGUCAGAGCUGUUGAGCAGUGAAACAGGGGAAAGUUUAAAGAAUAAAAUGAACUAAUUAGCUAAACCAAAAAUUCUGAAAAUUUUAUGGUAAAAAGAUAUGUGAGUCUAGUUUCGGGUAAAAUUAACGGAACUUAAUUUGGAGCUCUUUAGCUCCAGAUAAAAAUAAUUUAGUGAUUGUAACUUGACUAGACAGCUUUAAAUUUUAAUAUAACUGGAUAGUGAAAUUAUGUAUAAUGCUAUUUAAGCAUGUUAUGUACAUAAAGGACGUGGGAUGGAGAGGAGGAGGAGGAGGACAAUAAAAUGUAUGAAUGAAUUGUGUAUAAAUGGUCAUAUGGCCGAUUAUAAUCGGUAAAUGUUAAAUUGAAUGGUAAAUACGUAUUGGUACUGAAGGAGCUAUUGCGGUAUUGAAAAGCAAAUGAUCAAAUGUUUAAGAAAUUUAGUCAUGAUAUAUAUAUGUGUGAUAAUAAUGAUGUAUGGAUGAUUAUAUUAUUGAGUUGCAUUGAUUAAUUCGGUUUAGGUGAUGGAAAUGUCAAGAACAUUUGUCUUUGAUAUGUGAUGAUCAUGUAAUGCCAUGAAAAUUUGUUUAAUUGUGUGGUUUAAAAUGUAUCUAUAUUUUGUUAUAUAACUUAUUUUGUAAUCUAUUCGACAAAUGAUAAAAAUUAAUUCGGUUACUAUGUGAGGUGAAUUAUGAUUUGUGAAGCAUAUCUAUAUUCGGCAAUAAUGGAUAAAAUACAUUUAUGUCAUGGGUGAAUGGUUAAACACUUGGGUUAGUAUAAAGUGUAUAUUUAGUAAGGUUUGUUGGAAAAGAAAUAACAGGUUUUGGUUUAUAUCGAAUAGAGAAAAUCUGUACUAUCUUUGUGGCUAAUUUUGUUAGCUAUAUGGGAGAUGAAUGGUUAAUGUAUGUAUGUGAAAAUUAGCUUACCAGAUAGUAAACUAUUGAUAUACUACAAUAGUUAAAAAGGAAAAUUUGACAAUAUGAGAAUAUGUAAUGAUACGGAUCAAUUCAGGUACUCAGGACGAAUUCAACAAGUGAAAAUUUAUAAAUUCAUACGACGAGGAAGUGAAAGAUUGUGAGUAUAUUUAGCCAAGUAAACCCUAAUUAGCGACCCAAGAAUAACAAUUGGAAAGUUUUAAUUUGGAUAAAAUUUUAUAACUCUGAUUAAUAUGUCUAUAAGUGUAUUUAUUCUGGUAAUGCCUCGUGCCCUAUUCCAGCGUUGAUACGGGUAAGAGGUGUUACAAUGUGACAUCACCAGAUUCGGCCUGAAUGUUUAGGCCGGGUUUGGGGUGUUACACUAGAGGUGCUCAUGGGCCGGGCCGGGCUAGGCCCAGAAAAAAUUUCGGCUCACGUCCUAGGCCUGGCCCGGCCCGGCCCAAAAUAUGGGCCUGAAAUUUUGUCUAGGCCCGGCCUGGCCCAUUUUUUAAUAAACACCAAAAAUUUAUUUUAAAAAUAAUAAAAUAAAAAAAAGUAUUUUAAAAAUAUUUUAAAAUAAAAAAAUAAAAAAAUAUAUAUUUAUUAUAUUCGGGCCGGGCCGGGCCCGGGCCAAAAAAAUGGUGGCUGUGGCCCGGCCCGUUUUCUAAACUGGUCUCGUUUUUUUGCCCAAACUCAUAUUUCUGGCCUAUAUUUUUACCCGAACCCUCCCAUAUUUCGGGCGGGCAGUCGGGCCGGGCCGUCCGGCCCAUGAGCACCUCUAAUAGAUACUCUUUUUAUAUUAAUCGUUACAAAACGGGGAUAUUUUAUAUUUCAUAAAGUGGAGUGAUCCACUUACACAUAUGAAAAAUUAUAAUAAUUUUACACAUUUUUGUAUAUUUUUGUACGAUUAAUAUUUUAAUGAUUUGAUCAUCAUAUUUUAUAUUUUAUUUAUAUAGAUCAUGCAUGUCAAAUUUGACAUAAAUAAAAAGUUUCUAACUAUUUAUUUUAUUUAAAAAAAUUCAACUAUUCAAUAAAUAUUAAUAUAUAUAAUAUUUUAAAUCAAGAUGAUAGAGAUAUUAGACCAGUUCGAAAAUUCACAUGUAUGGCAAAUACAAUAAUAUUGAUUCAACUGUUGGGUUGUUAAAAUAUUAACCAUACAAACAUAUACAAAAACGAUGUAAAACUACUUUGCACUGAUAUAAUUGAAUCAUUCCCCGUUAUAAAUCUAGGUAUUUAUAACUACUGGCGAUUAUAGUGACUAAGCAUUUCAUUACCUCAUCAUGAGUGCUCUUCAAAUAGAUAAAUAACUAAUGAUUAAAUAUGUUUCAUUCUUAUAAAUGGAAACCGAAUCCGAAUGUGUAAUCGCAUUAUCAAUAUAUAAAAUAAAUAUCUAGAACAUUACACUUGAUGCUUACGUCAGAGCUAUUAUUUAGACGUAUAUUAUUCCUCUCUCGCAUCAGCAAGCAUGAUUUUUCUGAAUUUUGCAAUAGGGUCCAGAUGACUAUUUUUUAGGAGAAUAAUAUAUAAAGAAACAAAAGAGGGCCGUUUCGUUUUCCUCGAAAUUAUUUGUAUGUUUCUUUAAUGUCUUUGAAUAUUCAAGUCUACGUCCCUACGCUUUCUUAAUUUAAUAAUUAAUUUAUGGAUAAAUUAUCAAAAUAGUCACAUUUUCGUCACUUAUGUUUCAAAUGUUACGUUUUAGUCACUUGCGUUAUUGUGUUGUAACAUUUUAGUCAUUGAGCCGUUAAUUGCUGUUAACGGUGUAACGGUAAAUUGACAUGGCAUGUUAAAUCAUCAUUUUAAACGAAAAUUUUAGCUUAAAUUCUACAAUUGGUCCGUAUAUAUUUAUAUAUAUAUAUAUUAUUUUGAGCAAUUUAAUUAUUUUUCUUUUAUGUUCUUUUAACUUUCUUUUUUUCUUUAUUUUACAUUCUCUUCUGCUUCUUCCUGUGUUUUCCUCCUUUCUUCAUUUCUUUUAACGUAGUUUUUCUAUAUUUUUCAUUUGUUAAAACUAGUCCACAAGCUCGCCUCACUCGAAAAAAUAAAUUGUUCAAAAAAAUAAAAGUAUAGGGACUAGUUUUAACAAAUGAAAAACAUAAAAAAAAUUAUGUUAAAAGAAAUGGAGAAUGGAGGAAAACAGAGGGAGAAGCAGAAGAGAAUGGAAAAAUAAAGAAAAGAAAAAAGAAAGUUAAAAAAAUAUAAAAGAAAAAAAUUAAAUUGCUCAAAACGAAAAAAAUAUAGGAACCGAUUGUAUAAAUUAACCUAAAAUUUUUGUUUGAAAUGAUGGCUUAACGUGUCACGUCGGCUUACCGUUACACCGUUAACAGCAAUUAAUGGCUCAGUGACUAAAAUGUUACAACAUGAUAACGUAAGUGUAACCUGAGAUAAAUAAAAGCAAAGUAAAUAUUUUAGUAGUUUAUAGUAGAAUAGUUAGGCAAACAAAAUACGUUUAGUCUCAUGGUUUGAUUGAAAUAUAAAAUUAUACUCCCAAAAGUUAGUACAACUUCUUCCUUUUAGAUAUAACUCCUUUUAUAAUUAGACGCGUGUACUAUUAUUAUUAUUUUUUGUUGAGGAAAUUAUUAUUAUUAUUAUGUUUAUAGUUUUGUAUAAAAAUAUUUAUAAUAAUUAUUAUAGAUAAUUAAAAUAUAAAAAUUAUUCAAAAAUCCAAACCAUUAUUGAAGUAAUCGUACAUUUUUUUUGUUGUUUUGUCGCAUUUUCCAUCUACGACAUUUUUUUGGUUGUUCUUUGACUACGAAUACUUUUGACUAAGGUAUUGAUUAUGCAUAAAUUUAAAUCAUUUAAAUUGCAACGAAAAUGCAAUUUAAAAUCAAUUCUAUAUUUAUCAAAUUUUAUUUAAUUUUAAUAUAACAAUGUUUUAUUAUGUUUAAGUAAAAUUAAAUAAGAUGUUUUUUUAUGUAUAAAUUUGAAUAGUUUAUACUACAAUUAAAGCACAAGAAUAUAAAAUAUAAUUCAAUAUUUAUCAGAAUUUAUUUAUUCUGAAUUUUAUUUAGGUUUGUUAGAAAAGUUGUUGUUCAUUUUAUGUCUUGUUAUAAUGAAAUUUUUUUUCCUUGGGUCUUAAAUAGGUUUCGAUUCAGUUGAGUUCGGUCCAUUUGAGUAUGGCAUUUUUAGUAAAACAAAAGUAUGGGUUGACUAGGGCAUUAAGUCUACCAACCAAAUUACUUGAGGUGAUUUGAUAAACAUGAAAGUCUUAUUAUAUCUUGGUGAUUGAAGUACUAUUUUUAAGAGAUAAAUAUCAUAUUUAUUCACUUAUGAGCUGAAGUAAAAGAGGAUAUUUUGUUGUUUUUCGAGCCUAGAAAAUAGACGCCAUUCUCCCUUGGGAAAUCAUCGAUUUUGAGAUAUGAUUUACCACCGAAAGUUUGAAGCAUCUUGAUGUUUAUAUAUUUCUUCUUUCGAGUCAUUGUUGUAACACUUGGUCGAAUUAUUGUUGAAUGACUAUUGAGUGGUGUGGGCAUUAAUUCUUUAUGUACUUACUUGAAGAUGCAGUUGUGAGCUUUAGUUGAAAGAAAAAGAAGCGUACUCUUGAAAUGUUUGGUGGUUGAAUAAAGAUUUAUCUUAAGCAAGACUUCAUAGAUAUAGGAUUAUUGCAUCUGAAUUACGUAAAGAAAAAUCAGUUGUGUCAAUUCUUCUCUGUUCUUAUUUUUCUUUCUCUACCUGUUUUCGUUCUAAUUUUCGUUACAAUAAACACUAAGCAAAAUUGAUAUAUUUAGAUUUAGUUAAAAAUUAAAUGCUUGUUCUAGAAAAUAGAAAUUCAUUUUUUCUUGUUUUAAAUUUAUUAAAUUAUAUUUAUUUUUGUUAAAUAUAUUCAACUAUCUUACCUAUUUAAAAUUUGAAUUAAUUAAUAAUGGUAUAAUAAAAUAUGUAUAAUUUUUUAAAUUUAAAAAUAAAAAUACUUUAAAUAGACGUAGAAUUUAUAUUACAAAAUUCAAAUUUAAUUUUAAAUAAAUACUAAUUUCUUAAAAAAAACCCCAUUAAUCAGCAAAAAACGAAACCAAAAAUAAAUUAAAUAAUGGUGUUUUUUUUUUAAAAGUGUAAAAAUGAAAUAUUCAAAAAAGCCAAAUGGUAACUCAUUUUUAUAAAUUAACAUAAGGUAUUUAUAAAGGAAGAGUCCUAUAUAUAAUAGAAUUCAAUAACGAAGAGUGGAAUAUAGGGUUGUUCAUGGGCCGAGUGACUUGGUCCAGCUCGAAGGCUUAUUUGAAAAAUGAGUUUGAACAAAAAAAAAAUAAGACUUGUUUAGAAAAUGGGUUAAGCUUCAGUAAAGUUUUUUUGAACACAUAGCAUCAUACAUUAGAAAAUUGGUUAACAAAUUUGAGUUGGUUGUUGUCCAAAGUAGCAGCUAGAAUCAAAGCUCAAUGAGUUUUGCUGCCAAAAUUUGUCAACUUAAACAUAAAAAGUUUCUGAGUAGGCAAUGCCAAACACUAAUGGGCACUGGUCUUUGACACUACUCAAAAAUUACCUCAACAGUCUUCCUCUUUGACAAAUUUUUAAACAAAACCUUAAUAAGAGAACAUACUCACAAAAGAUACAAAUGCUCCCUUAAGUAACUCUCCCUUAAUCCAUCAUAUUCGACUAUUAACAUAAUAAAAAAAUCAAUUAUUAAUGCAUAAGUAAAGGGGAUCGCAUUAAUAACCAAAGUACUAAGAAUUCUAUUAUGGUAGGCAGAUAAGAACAGUGGUUCACAAUAUAACAAUCGAAGUAAAUGUAAUAAGAGUUCAAAGUUUCAAAAUUACAACUCCAAAAUACUUCAAAAUAAAACAGAAAGAAGAGAACUCAAAAGCAAUAAUAACAUCAAUAUUGGUGGCAAGCAAUAGUGGCAGCUCAAAAUAGACACUACUACCCCUUUUUAUUUAAGAAGUUUUCCAGCGUAUCACUCGAGUUGCUUGACCAGAAGAUCAUUCCUCAAGGCUUUGGCACGAUGGUCAUUGGCCUAAAUUGUUGAAUAGCCCUUUCCUGUGAGGCAAUCUUAGCAUCAAGGUGUUGCAACAUUCUUUGUUCAAAGGCUAAAAGUUGGUCAGGAGUGUCUACAUCAGUGCCAACUAGAAUAGGCACUACAUAAAAAGGUUGAGCUUGCUUCAAGAUUGGCAGCAGUGUGUUUCCCUUCAAGCCGCUUGUAUGAGAACUUUAACGCUGCAGGUUUCCUUUUAUAUUUUUUAGUAGUAAGCAGAAGUUUAGAAGUUUGCUUAUGCAAAAUCUGAAAAUUAAGUGAAGGAAAAGGGAGACAUAUCCUAGGGUAAAAUCCAAUUAUAAUAAUUUGAAGUAAAAAUGAGAUCAAGCUCCAAUUUGGAAAGAGUUUGAUUUCACUUUUAUUUUAAUCUUAAAAUCGACAAGUCCAAUUUACCGACUCAAUUUAGAAAGAAUUUAAGCUUACCCCGUAAUCCUGAAAAUGCACCUCUAACCUUAAUUCUAAAACCAAACUAUACUUUAACUCGAUUAUAUAAUUAGUUUAAAAGUUAAUUUUAAAGCCCUUUAAUUCAAGAAAAUCAAGGCCCAAUGAGCUCGAAAUUGACUGCCCGGAUAUAUUUAAGUGUCUACACUCAUGUUUCUCUUUAUUUAAUCAAGAUUGAUCUCAAAAGUUUCUGAAGGGAUCCAAUCAAUUCAUUAAUACACAUAGUACCAAUGCCUUUAGCUUCCUUAAUGGCUGUAACUUUGAUGUUGAAUCUUUUAAGCAGCGAUUAAAGAACCUUCCUGACCAGCUUCCAAUUCGAAUACUCAUUUCCAUGGACAAAAUCUUGAUUGGAUAAGUCGCGGAGUUUGGUAUAAAACUCUCCAAUUGUUUUAUUUUCCUUCAUUCUUAGAAUUUCAAAUUUUGUGGUGAGUGUUUGCAACUUUGAUUGUUUCAUAGUAUUUGUACCUUUUUAAGCAAUUUGAAGGAUAUCUCUAACUUCUUUGCAAUAGUGUAUUUUGAGAUGUGUUUGAACUCUUAACUAUCUACUCCACAAAAGAUUGCCUUGAGCCCCUUAAAAUUGGCAUUGGCAAGCCUUUCCUCCUCUAUAGUCCAUAUAACUUCUGAUUGUGGAGUCUUCACACCAGAGUCUUCAAUAUAAGGGUGUUCCCAACUAGUAAGAACAGAUCUCCAAGCUCUUUCAUUUGUAGCUUUGAUAAAAGCAGUUAUUUUGGCCUUUCAAUAGGCAUUGUUUGCACCAUCGAGCAUAGGGAGCAAGACACCGAUGCACCCUCCAUUGCAAGAAAAUACCAAUACCAAGAAUUCCACUAGAUUUGCCAAGUGGCAAACUUUGAUACCAAUUAGAAAUUAUAAAUCGAUACUUGCAAACAAAUUCGAGUAGUGGCAGAAGAAGUGCUAUAAACUAAUGCCAACUACUUCAGGCACUGAGCAUGAACAAGGUAGAAAAACAAAGAACACAUCAUAUGUUUAUGCAUUUUGAUUUCCCUACGUUUGCAAGGCCUUGCUCAAAGAGAUACUCCACUAUCUUAGCAACUUGUAUAACAACUGGUUACAACCUUUAACACUCAUUAGAUUAUACUCCUCAUUUUUGUACCUAAGAUCUAGACAACACUCCUCUAAGUUCCCUUAAAAACUUAGGACAAUAAUCAAGUAACACACUUGAUUUUACACUUAACGUACUCACUUAAAACGUUUCUCAAUGAACAAGAAUAAGUGCUCUCAGGUUAGUACAAUACCUAUACAAGUCUCCUCAAUUUAUAAGGAAUUGAGAUUUGUUAACAUAUUAGAUCAAUUACGAUCAAUCUCCUCAUAAAACGAACAAGAUAAUAAGCAUAAAGAAUACCUUCAAUUAGCUCAAGAUAAAUCCUAAAACUCCAGGAUAUACUUUCAAGCUUUGCCUGAUUCGGUUCAUUCCACCAAAUUUGGGAAAUAGAUUGUCGUGAUUCAAAUCCAAACUAAUCUCCAAUAUAUGUUGAUAUGUGUAGUUUGGAUAUCCAAGAUGGGCUAGUUGUCGUCCAAAGUGACAACUAGAAUCAAAGCCAAAGGAUUUUUGUUGCCAAAAUUUAUUAACUUAAACAUGGUAAGUUUCUAAACAGGUAGUGCUUGACACCAGUGGGCAAUGGUCCUUGGCAUCACUCAAAAACUGUCUCAAUAAUAUUAACUUUUGGUAUUUUUCUAAUAUUAGUUUAAUAAUAUAAUCAACAAUAAAGGGUGUAUUGAUCAGUUCAAAAGUUUUUUCCAAAAUCGUACUUAUAUAUAUAAUAGAUAUAGAUAACCAUGAGACAAAAUCAAUAGUUUUAUGUUGGAAUAGUUGGUUAACUAAAACACGAAAUUAUAAUUUUUAGCUUAAAGAAGAUCUUUAUUUUCUUUUAUAUAUAUAUAUAUAUAUAUAUAUAUAUAUAUAUAUAUAAUUUUUCGAGUAAAAUAAUUGUUAAAAGCAAAGAGCUUGGAGGAACCCAAUGUAACAUUGCCCUCUUUUAGUUUUAGAGUUUAAAAAAGAGAGAGAGAGAGAGAGAAAAUCAAUUUUGAAUAUGCUUGGUAGCAAGAAAAGUAUGGAAAACAAAACUAUGAAAGAAGAUCAUUUUUCAUCUCAUAAAUAUAACGAAGGGUAAAUUACAAGAAUAAUCACCCAACUAUUCACUCCGUUUUAUUUUGGUCACUCAACUUUAAAACUUUUCAAUUUAGUCACUAAAUUUUUCAAAAUAAAUAUCUUAAUCAUUCUCCUAUUAAUUGUCGUUAACUCAGAAACAAAAAUCUACCGUGGACUUUUUUAUCAGUCUAAUAAUGAAUUUAGCCUUAAAUCUUUACACAUUGUAUCAAUUUGAUCCUAAAAAAAUAAAUUUAGCCCUCAAUGUUUAUAAGUUUUGUCAUUUCUAGUAUAUGUUUUUUAUUUAUAAAUUUUUAUAAUUUAGAGAUUUGUAAAUAUUAUUUAUAAUUUUUUUAGAAAUAAUGGAUAUUAACGUUGAUGUUCCUAUUUGAUAAUGGUCGAUUACACUACCAUAUUUGUUGCAUUUUCUUGUGUCUUGCCUCCUUAUGUCAGUCUUUGUGAACAUAAAUCACAAUUCUAUUAUGAUAAAAGUAGAUGCACUUAAGUCCUUACAAUUACACUUAAUCACAUAACAGCCCUUGCCAUCAAAUUUUGUUAUGUUUUGAACAAAUAGAAACUAGAACAAUCAAGAGUAGUUUAAGAACUAGCAAUUCCAUAAUGCAAUAAUACGAUUAAUAUAUGAAACAAAUCAUAACUGUAGUAAAAUAUUUCUUACCAAAUCAAUCGGUCAGAUUUUUCCUCCUCAAAUAGUUUUAAUUUUUUUUUAAAUUAGAACAAAAAUGAUAAAUUUUAUAAAUAUUGAAGUUGAAUUUGUUGAAUUUUUUACAUGUGGGAUCAAAUUGAUAAAAUGUAUAAACAUUGGAGGGCUCAAUUUAUUAUUUGGCCAAUAAAAAAAAGCUCAUGUUAGAUUUCCGUUAUUAAGUUAACGACAACUAACUGACGAGAACAUGAUUAAAAUAUUUAAUUUAGAAAAGUUAAGUGAUAAAAUUUAAAAAAAAAAUUAACUGACCAAAAUAAAAUCAAAUACAUAAUUGAAUGACUAUUCUUGUAAUUUACUCUAAAAACAAACCAUUCUAAUUUAAAAUCAAAAGAGAGAAAAUAUGAAAGAUGCAAGUGUGGGUUUUUCUUAAAAGAAAAAAAAUCAUUUUCUCUCUUCACAUUUUUAACUCUAUUAUGCAUUUAAUAGAAAGAAAUUAAGGUGUGCAUGGUUUAGAAAAAUAGAUGCUAUUUUCAAAUACUAAACAAAAUAUGUUUUGUUGAAAAUAAAAAUUAAAAUAUAUGAAAAUUUAAAAAAAUUUUGUUGAUUUCCUUAAAAAUACUUUUAAAAAAUUUGUAACAAGUGAUUUUAAAUUUUAAAUUUAGUUGAUAAAAGUCUAUGUAAACUUUUUUUUUAAUUAGUUUUUAAAGAUAUUGACCUUGAUAUUAUUUUAGUUUUGUGCGCAAAUUCGUGAUUUUAUUUUAUCCUUUUUUUUUGUGAUUUUGGUUUUAAUAAACAGAUGUGAUUUUAGUUUUAGUUUUAGUUUUUAGUUUUUAGUUUUUAGUAAUGUUAUGAUAUAUAUAUAUAUAUAUAUAUAUGAUAUUUUCUAAUAUAAGAGUAUCGCUAGAUCUAUUAGGAACCGUUCUUAAAGGUCCUUAUCAUGAUAGUAUAUAAUAAUGGUGAUAAAUCUAAGGUGACGAGGAGGAGGAUAGACAAUUUGAGACUUGUCCUUUUUGUGUAUCAUAGAUGCAGUAAGUCUCUUAAGGCUUUUGGUAGUUGUUUCUUGGUUGAUCGGUGUUCAUCAUCAUAUUGAUUUGAUUAUGGCGGGAUUAUUAUGCAAAUUUCAGCGGCUUGAUCAAAUUGUUGCAUCUCUAGUCUGUUUCUAAAAUUCUUACAGUGUUGUAAUUACUGUCAUUUUAUCUUUAUCUUUUUUUAGAUUAUUCUACAGGCAUGACAUUUGUGCAUUAGUUUGUAAUAAUAUAUUUAUCAUUUCAUGAUUUUUAUUAAUAAUAGUAUUUUCUUAAAAAAAAACUAAAAUCUCAUUAAGUUCAUAAAAAUAUAAUAAUUAUUUAUUUAUCAUAUUUAUAUUAUAAGAAAAUAUAUAUCAAACAUAUUUCCAUUUUUUAUUUUGAAAAUAAUCUUUCAUAUUUCUAUUUCUUCUAAAUUUUUCAUUUUUUCUUAUUUCCAUUUCCUUUAAAUUUGUAAGGCAUUAGACUUAGUGAGUUCAAGAGCUAAAAAGAAAGAUUUUGUGAAGAGUGUUUUAAUAAACAAUUUUGAGAAUAAUUUGAUUGAAAUGUAAAAGUAUUACCACAAAUAUCAUACAAGGUAGUUGAUUGUUUGUCAAAGGCGGCAUUAAGGAGUUUAAAUCAAUUAGUUUUCUUCAAAUAACCAUGAAUUUAUGUUAUACGAUUGCUCGAAAAAGAUGCUAAUAAGUCUCUAGAGGAAGAAUUCACUGUUUCUGCUCACUUCUAAUUUUUAGGAGUAUAUUUUUAUUUAUAAAAAGAAAACUUAUUCGUUUUACACAUAAGUAUUUAUGAAGUUAAAUUUUAUUUUAUAUUAAAGAACGUCAAAAUAAACUAUAUUAUAUUUUUUUUUAUUUCAAGGUUAACUUUUCUUUUUAAAAAUUUUUUCACUUAAUAUUUUAAGCCUAUGAUGAUGUAAUAUGCAAGGGCGUAGCCAGGGGUUGGUAGGGCUCGACCCCCUAAAAUGAAAAAAUUUUCAUUUAGGUCUCUUUAAAAUUUAUGAAAUUUUAAAUUAAUAAAAGUAAAAUUAUACUUUGGCCCCUAAAAAUAAUAAAAAUUUGAUUUAAUCCUUUAAAAACUAUAAAUAUAUAGGUAUUAAAAUAGUAAAAUUACAUUUUUACUAUCGUAAAAAUAUACAAUUUAAUUUCGACCCCCUAAGAAAUUUUCUGACUUCACCCCUAAUAAUAUGAUAUAUAUAUAUCUAUAUAUAUAUAUAUAUAUAUAUAUAUUAAUGUUUUUACUAUUUGACAAAUAUUAUAUUUUUUUGUCUUCUUUAAUGUAAAUAUAUUAUCUAAUAAUACAAAAAUGUCAAUUUGUAUAUACCACGUCAUCUUAUACUUUUUAAAAAAUAAGUCACGUAAAUUAUUUAACAAAAUAAUCUUAAAACUAAACAUAAUAUAUGUUUUUUAGAAAAAAAAAUCGAAUUUAUAAUAAAUAGAUAAAAUGCAAUCAUUCUAAAUUGAAAUGAUGAGAGGAGAGAAAUGAGAAAGAAAUGUAUGCUAGUUCAAAUUAUGUAUUUUUAAAUGUUUUAUUUUCUUUCAUUUCAUUUUUCAACUCUGCCAAUCAAUGAAUGAAAAAAUAAUAUUUUUUUUCUUUUUUCCUACCAAACACACUUAUCAAAAGAAAAAUUUUGGUUUUUAUCCUUCUAGCUUUCUACCCUUUCAAUUUUAUUUCAACUUUGAUUGAUAGGGUGGAAAGAAAAUUGAAAAGAUGGAAAAUAUAAACUUUUUUCCAUUAGUGUGCUUAGUAGGAGAUUAGAAAAAUAGAAAGAAAAAGUAAUUUUCUAUCCAUUGUUUAGUAGAGUUGAAAACAAAAAACGUUUGAAAAAUGCAUAAUUUUUUUCGAUAAAAACAGCAGCCAACUAAUGGCGAUUACAAUUCAGAGAAAUUCCUAAGUAGCAGAAAGGGACAAUGCAUCCAAGUCUCCAUAUAGCAGCGCGAGAGCUGAGUUUGAGGGUUCUUCAAAUCUCUAUAAACUAUUAAGGUUAUGAUCAGCUAGUUUAGCCAUGUGGUCAGCAAUUUUGUUGUGGUCUUUAGGAAUAUGUUGAAUUCGCACACUCCACUUGCGUUUUAGGAUUUGAUCAAUUAGUCACAGCUCUAUCAUUCUAUUAACAACAAUCCCUACAACAUUAGGAUCUGAUCAAAAUACAUAAUUUUGAACUAAUAUACACAAAUCUCUUUCAUUUCCUCUCUUCUCAUUAUUCAAAAUUAGAAAAAUUAAUCAUUAUGCAUUCCUUCCUUUAUUUUCUUUUUACUUUUUCUUUAUCCCUCAACUUUUUCACUUCUGAAAAAUAAAAUCUUGAAAGUACAAAUUAUGAGAAAAUAAUCUUUAACAUCAAAUAAAAUUAUAGAAGUUAAAUAAUAAUAAAAACAUUUCAAGGAUAUCCGCCUGGCUUACUUACCAAACAUAUUUUAGAGGACAAAAUUUGAGAUAUUGAGCAAACUUUUUUUUUUCUGUUCUGACAAUUGUAAUAAUGAAAUUAAUGAUUUCAACUUUGGUAUGUUUUUUAAGGACAAAAUUUUAAUCGUUAUAUACAUUAAAAAAACGAAAACAUUCUUAUGCAUAUGCUUUAUAAUUUUAACAUGUGAAUGACUUUUUAAAUUUUAUUAUAUAUUACAUCAUGUAUGAUUAUUCCUCUAAAAAUAUCAUUAUAUUAUAUAGAAAAUUUAAUCAAUUAUAAUCAAGAGGUUGGCUCUCUAAAAUUCAAAAUUAGAAAUUCUAACCUAUCAAAUUACAAGCUAAUAUGAAGACAAUUAUGCUUUGGUUCUCUAAAAAAGAUAAUAAUAGAAAUUAAUCCUUUAGAAAAUGAUAUACUAAUAGAUCAAUACAUGUUAAAAUUUAUAUUUGACAUCUCAAAAAUUUAUAAUUCUCUUUUGGCCCCCUAAAAUAAUUUUUGAAUUCACCCCUGAUUAUAAUAAUGUAAAAUUGAUAAUUAAGAAUCAAAUCUUAUGUAUGCAUAUAUGUAUAUGUAUUGGUGCCAUGAGUUGAAGCGACACCAUGACACCAGCUUAGUUGACAAAAAACCAAAAUGUCAAUAAUAAGUGAUAUAGAUUUUAAUAUUAAAUUUAAAUUGAACUCCAUGUGAUAGCCCGAUAGUCAAUGGUAUUCACCAUCCUAGGUCUGUCUUGGGUUCAAGUUGCACUAGUCACGUUUGUUGUUCAGGUGUCCUGUUAAUGUAAUUCAAUAAACAAAUUAAAUUUAAUAUUUUUCAUAAAGAUAAAUAAUAUUAUCAUAAGAAUAAAUAUUAAUUAAUUUUUAUAGUUCUUUUCUUCCUAUAUAAUUUUGAAAAAAAUUUAAAAUUAAAAAAUCAAAAACAAAAAUAUAAAAUAUAAAAUUGCAAUUAGGCAACGCUUUUUUUUUAGAAAUUAAAUUUAAACUAAACAAACAAACCUAGAAAAUAAUAUUUGAUAUGAAUGAAACUCUAAAAUUUGAAUCUGUAAAAAAAGAUUAAAAGCUCUUUAAAACGUAUUAAAGGAUUUGAAGUAAAACACAACCACCACACAAUUAAGCCAACAAGAAAAACUUAAGGUGUAUAUAUUCUUUGUAUAUGCCUCAAGUUCUUUCUUUCACUUAUUAAGAUAAUGUAUAUGUGUACAUAUAUAAUGGUUCAAUUUCAAUCUUUUAAUUUAUUUAUCACAUUAUAUGUAUAAAUUAUAUAAAUAAGUAAUAAAUUUUAUUAUGAAAUAAUUUAAUAUAUUUUUAUUAUAUAUAAAGAAAAGGUACGAGAGCAUAUCUGAAAACUUUUAGUUCUGAGAUAGUUUUUUGAAUUCAAAAUAUUUACUUUUUUUUAGUUAUAUUUAAUGUGGGUUCUUUUUAAAAUUAAGUUUUAAAUAUAGUUUUAUUGACAACAGAAACUCGAUGAACCUUGAAUGCAGUUUCCCUCACAUUUUACUCCAUGCAAAGUAUAAUACUCAAAUGGCCUAGGUGACCCAAAAACUCAACAUUGCAUAUUUUUGUAUAUGUAUUAACUCAAAUGCUAAACUACCCUCUUUAGUACUCUUAACAUCUUAAAACAUAUGAUCAUAUGCAUAUUUACAUCUAGACUCUUGUUUUACUAGCUUUGAUCAUGAAUAUGCAAUUAAGUAUACAUAUUGAUAUUUUCAAAACGCAACAUUCCUACCAUUUAUACCAAAAUAGACCCUAAUACCAAUCACGAUUUUAGGUACAUACCAGUUGUCAUAAACAAAACAAAACUUAUACAAAUGUGUUGAGUGGAGAAAUUGACAUUGUCUAUAAAAAAUUAUUAUAAAAUUGAACCCAAUCAAACAAUUAAUCAAUUGUGAAGAAGCAUAAAAUAAAAACAAAAUCCAAAAAAGGAAAAUCAAAGAGAGGUAUAGAGAAAAGUAAAAUAAAUAAAAAAAUUGCUACUGCCCAUGAUAAAUUAUUACAAGGUGCAGGAUGUUGGAAAAUAUGGGCAUCACACAUAUAAUAAGGGUAAUUACAUGUUAUUAUUUACUAUAAUGCUAUGUUAGCCCAAAUUAAAAUUGAUCUAAUUUGUUUAAGGUUAAUGGGGCUUUAAUUAUUAAAUAAAGUAUGGGUCGAAUAUGUUUAGAUACUCUAGUAACUAAUUUCUAAUUGAUGAUGGACUGAUUAGAAAUUAGGGCUAAUGUGUCAAAGUUAUAUAUAUUUGGGUUGUGGUCUCCAAAUUAUACACAAGGUAACUUUUCUAAUAUCCCCGUAUUUGUCGCCGAAACAAGAUUACGGAGCAUUAUCGAAGUUUACGGAUCAAACAGAUAGAAAUUUCAAAUGUUUCAUAACAUAUCAAUAUUCAUAAUAAAACUAAUCAAAAUCAUAUAUAUUCUCCUUUAUACAAGUCCUCAAGGCCCUAAAUACCCAUUAGAAACAAGUAGGGACUAAAUUGGAAACUCAGAGAACUUUCGAAAAACAUAGAAAAAUUUCAAAGCUGCAGGGGUCACACGGUUGUGUGGUCAAGCCAUGUGACUCACACGGUCGAGAGACACGCCCGUGUCUCAGACCGUGUAACUCUCUGACUUGGUCACACGGCCAAGUCACACACCCAUGUGCUAGGCCGUGUGGACAAGAAAAUGACCGCUUCCAAGCCAUUUUUUUCACCCUUUCAAGCAUAAACCUACAAGAAAUUUGUACAUGUAUACAAGGCCUUUAAACAUACUCAAAUUAUGCAAAGAAUGACUAAUCUCCAUACCAAAUGUUUAUACAACCAAUAUNNNNNNNNNNNNNNNNNNNNNNNNNNNNNNNNNNNNNNNNNNNNNNNNNNNNNNNNNNNNNNNNNNNNNNNNNNNNNNNNNNNNNNNNNNNNNNNNNNNNAUACAUACAUGAGCAUAUUUGUUCAAACGUUAACCAUACAUAUCUAAUUAAUCUCAAUAUUAUUUCCAUGUUAUAUAAAAAAUAAUCUCACUACAUUUGACCACAUUUUACCAACUGACUUGUUUCCAUACCAAUACAUAACACAAUUAACACAUACCAAUCUUACCAUAUUAGGCCUACCAUAUUUCAAUCAUGCACAUAUGUUCAAGACUUUUCCAAAACAUACCAUGUCUUGGCCAUAUUGAAAUCGAUACAAUAUAUACCAACUUUGGUUAUUUCUAAACGUGCAUCAAAUUGACCAUAACCAACAAGAUAUCAAUAGUACCUUAAGUACCUCAAAUUCAAGGCAACAUUUUAUGUUAUAAUUAUCAACCAAAAUGACAUAUAUAUAUCAAACUCAUCAAUUAAACAUUAGACAUAAUCCACUUAUACAUGCCAUUAUAACCUUAACCAAGAUAUCAAAAUCUACCGUUAUAAUUGCUAAAUAGUGUGAUAGAUCUCCGAUGAGCUUCCGACCCGAUCGAGCUUCUGAUAAUCUGUAAAGUAAGGGAUAAACAACUACGUAAGCAAUGAAUGCUUAGUAAGCUCGUACAAACUUUAAACAUAAUAUUCCAAUCCAAUAAUAAACUUUAUAUGAUAAAUAUGAAGCUAUACCAAUGCCUCAAGAUUAUCAACUACAUAACCACUAAGUCAUAAAUGAGUAAGUCUAUCAACAUCAUAUAUCUGUUCAUUCCUAACAUAAUAAGAUUUUAUAAAACGUUUUACACCAUCAUUAACAUUUUCAUAAAACUACGAAUAACUUCCUUUACUUACUUUCCAUUCCAUUUACUAAACAUAAACUUAAAUAACAACAUCAAUUAACUAAUUAAUAUAUUUAUUCAUAACAUAGGUAAGUUCAACCAUAACAUACGUAAUUUCUCAUACAUAAGUACAUUAUUCAACUCAUCAAUCCCUUUUUCAUCAUAUCACAUUUCAAUUAUGAACUUACCGUUUCAUUUGUAUAAUACCAGACAUAAGCAUAUACAUCAAUCAUAAUCUCAAGCUUGACAUAAGUCUAAUCAUCAUCAUCAAUACACAAGUUAGUGCAUUUAUGUAUAUAUCUCAUUUUCAUGUUUCAAAUCACUAUCUCAUUUUCAAUUCUCAUACAAUAUCAUCCAAUAUCAAUCAUAGUAUCGUUUUAUUUAAUUACCCCUAUUAACACGACUCGGACUCGGACUCGAACGGAUGCACGAUCCAACCAACACACCAGUUUGGCACCCAGUGCCUCAUCGGAUAAAUCCGAAGUAAUAUGCGCCCAGAGCUAUAUACAUUUGACACCCAGUGUCUCAUCGGUUACACCGAAGUAAAUUGACACCUAGUGCCUCAUCGACUCGAAGUCGAAGAAAUCCCUGAACUUUUCCUGUCCUAUGGCAUGCCAUCUAUAUCUGACUUAGCCCGAUACAAUUAAUAGGGUUUAAUUUCACUUCCAAAUACAACCAAUAUCCAAUUAUCAUAUUUGCACAUUAUCACAUUUACACAUAUAUAUAUUCCUUUCAAUUCAAAAAAUCAACACAUUCAUAAUUUAUAUAUCAAUUCAAUCCAUUUCAGUCAACUAUCAAAUGUCAACCUUUUUAAUUCAUACAUAUUAGCACAUCAUUUCAACAUCAUUUUGUACUAUACUCAAAUUGCACAUGCUAACAUCUUUUAUUUGAUUAACAAUGUCCCAAUUCACACAAUUGCUAUAUAAAUAGCUAUUCACAUAUCAAACCACAAUUGUUUAUACAUUGGCAUUAACCAUUCAAUACUCCAUUCAUGAGUACAAAACUCAUGUAUCUCAUUUAGUCACAACAUAUCUCAUUUUCAUUUAUGUUCGAGUCAAUAUUCAAUAAUUAACAAAUCUUUCAAAUUCAUUAAACAAUUUACUUUAUCGAGAUUUUUCAUACGAAGAAUGACUUACGGAUAUGAGUACAUUGUCAGUCCAACCAAACACACUAGAUGCUCACAAGAGUCAAUCCCUCCAACACACCAAAUCACGACUGUACUCUAUUCCGCGUUCAAUCCAAUUUGAGUAAUCAAAUUCAAUAUUAUAUAUCUAAUUGCCAUUAAUUAUCAAUAAUUAAAAAAAUAUAUGCAAGUUGUACCAUAUUAAUCUACUCAAAAAUUCAUAUUUAUGUUAAAUUCUAACCAUACAAACUUACCUGGCUAAAUUGCAGAAAUGUCAAGUACAAGGGCAUUUUGGUAAAUAUUCCAUUCUCCUCGAUUUUCCACUCGACCUUGAUCUAAAUUAAUAAUUUCAUUCAAUUUAUUAAUUCAGACAAUAAAAUAAUUUAUGUUAUGAAAUUUAGUAUUUUUUAAAUUUUUAAAAAUUUGCCCCUAACAUUUUACUUUUAUUCAAUUUAGUCCCUGAGUUUAACCAAUUUUAAUGCAAACUCAUGCUAGCCGAAUAUUCAUGGCAUUCAUUACAGCCCAUUUUUGCAAUAAUUUCACAACAACCCCUGUAUUUUUACUAUUUCAACAAUUUAGUCCCUACUCAAAAAAUUCAUCAAAAUUACUUAGCAAAAUACUUUUAAAUAUCAACCAACAUCUCAAAUUCAUCAUUUAAUACCUAAAAUUAUAUAGAUUCAUCAAUGGCAACUUUCACAGUCUUUAACAGUUUCAAAAUUGAAAAUACGGGCUAGUUAAACCUAAUUGUAACGAUCUCAAAAACAUAAAAAUUAUUAAAAAUAGGGCUAAAUUGAACUUACAUGCACCAUCAAAAGAAUGGUCGAAACGUGAAACUUCCAUGGUUUUUUUUUUUCAUUCAUAAAGAAGAAGUCACCCAAAUAAAUACAAACAUUUUGGUUUUAAUUUAAUUUAAUUUAAUUAUCAAAUUACCAUUUUGCUAUUGAUUAAAUAAAUAAAUAAAACACCAAAGUCAUGUCCAUAUUUUUCCAUCACAUAAAUAUAUGGCAUAAUUACCAUCAAAGGAAGGUUUAAUUUCACAACUGAUCCUUCAAUUUAAUUAAAUUCUAACUAAUUAAACUUAUUUACAAUUUAAUCCCAAACUAAUUAGGACUAAAAGAAUAAUUAAUUCAAAAGCUAGUGGAUUCAAUCAUAACACCACCACUUGAAAACUUUGACCAUGGUUUAAUUACAAUUUAAGCCCCUUUUCCUUUAUUCAAUUAACCAUUUAAUCACUCAAAUUAAAUAGUGAUUAAUUUUUACAUCUUUUACAAUGUAGUCCUUUUUAAUUAAUUAACUAUCGAAACGUUAAAAUUUUUGAACGAAACUUUAAUACCACCUUAAUGACACUCUGUAAAUAUUUAUAAAAAUAUUUACGGCUCGGUUUAUAGAAACUAGGUCCCAAUACCUCAUUUUCUAAAACCACUUGAACUUAAUUAAUCAUUCGAAUAGUAUAAAUUAUCAUAUCAAAACUCUUUUAAAAACCAUAUUUGACUCGUAAAUAUUAAAUAAUAAUAUUUAUGAACUUACUUGUGGGAUUUGGUGGCCCCGAAACCACGGUUUCUGACACCACUGAAAAAUGACUUGUUACAGAGAGUCACUUUCUCAAGAUUACUUGCGUGCUAAUUUGGAAGAUCAAAUUCCCAAGAUCCGAAAAAUUUCAAGGAAUUCAUGGAUUCAGGUACGCUUCCGCAUCUAGUUCUGUUAUCGUUUUGUUCUUGAUGAUUUGACAUGAUAGAUCCUGAUUUAUGAUUUAUUAAGUUUUAUAUCAUAUCUUGAUUUACAAUUCUCACACAGUAAGUUUUAAAAAAGAGAGAAGAAUAAGAAGGGAGAAGAGAAUGAACAAAGAAGUUUUUCAUUCACAUAAUUGCAUAAUCGUUUCCAUUUUCCUUCUCUACUUAAAAGGCAAAGAAGUAGAGUUACAUAGUUGGUUAUGGAAGUUGUUAUUAAACAGUUGUAACUGCCAACAAGAAAACUCGUUGUUUCAAUUAAAUAUAAGACUAGACCUGAUCGUGGGUCAAGCCACCUGGCCUUGCCCGAAAAUUAGGAGGGUUUAGACCAAAAUAUAAGCCCGAAAAAUAAGUUUGGAUAAAAAUUAGGCCCGUUUUCUAAUAGGGGUCGGGUCAGGUUGGGCUUGGGUUUAACUAAUAUUUUUCGAGCUGGGCUUGGUUAAAUUUUUAAGCCCAUAUUUCGAGCCAAGUCGGGUCUAAUCCUAAAAUAUGGGCCUAAAAUUUUGUUGACUCUCAGCCCAUGAUCACCUCUACAUGAAACUAACUAAAACACAUCAUUUUAUUUACUAACAUUUUCCUAAAACACAGCGUAGCAGCAACUAACUUAACAAACCGAUUCCUCCCAUAAGAAGUACUCCCUCCUUAAAAGAUCCUUAUCCUCAAGGAUCGAAUGUAGGAAAUCUUUGUUGUAGCUCCUGUAGAGGUUCCCAUGCAGAAUCCUCAGGAAAUGUGUUUGUCCAUUCCACCGAUACCUGGGUGACAGUUUUAUUUCCUUUCUUGACCAUACGCCGAUCUACUAUGCAAAUAGGUUCUUUCAGCAUAGCACCAUCAGUACUAACUACCAGUAGAGUAGAUUAAACAAGUGUCUUUCCCACAUGUUUUUAAAGUUGGGAAACAUGAAGUGGAGUGAAUACGGGAACUCAGUUGUAGAUGAAGCCUAUACACCACCUUUCUUACUCUAGCCUCGACAGUAAAGGGCCUAAAGAACUUGGGAGACAGUUUCUGCUUCAAGACUUUCCUCAUAGUGUGUUGCCUGUAAGGUUGUAACUUGAGACAAACAUAAUCACCCACUUGAAACUCUCGAUCACAUUCUCUUACGAUCUGUUGUUUGUUUCAUCCUGUUCUGAGCUCUUUUAAAAUGAAACUUGAGUAGCUACCUUGUUGUUUCUCUUUGCUAGAGACUCCUAUCAACAGUGUCUGCAGGUGACAGUCCAGCCAAAUAAGGUAAAAUUUCAAAUUUUAUUAUGUACGCUUUAAUAAUGUUGUUUAUUGAGUUGAUGUUACUAAUUAAUUCGACGCCAACUUAGAAUUAAUGACAACAUCAUAAUAAACAAUUGUAUUCAUUUAAUAUUCUUAAUAUGAUGUGUUUAUAUGUUUAAAGUUUAAUUUAUUCAAUGUUCGAUUUUUUUUUUUAAUUUUAAGAUUGUUCAUAAUUUAUGUGUUAUUAUUAAGUAAUUUCGAAUCAUAUAUUUGACAUUUCAUUAAUUAUUAUAUGUUAUUUUUAAAUACAUAUUUGUGUUCUAAAUAUGUGGUUAUUUCUAGUAUGUUUAUUUUUUGUAUAGAAUAUUAGGACACUCUCUAAUUUAUCCUGCCAGUAUCUACAAUUUUGGUUUCUGCACAUUUCGCUAUUUAAAUAUUGUUUUCUCAAAUUUAAUAUAUCUAUAAAUAUAAUUGUAAAAAGCCUUAUCACGUGGUUUCGUGGUGUAGUUGGUUAUCACGUCAGUCUAACACACUGAAGGUCUCCGGUUCGAGUCCGGGCGAAGCCAUUCAUACAAAAUAUAUUUCUGGUUUUGUACAUUUAACUAUUUACAUAUUGUUUCUCAAAACUAAUAAAUUCAUAGAAAAUAAUGUAAAAGACUCUUCAACAUGGUUUCGUGGUGUAGUUGGUUAUCACGUCAGUCUAACACACUGAAGGUCUCCGGUUCGAGUCCGGGCGAAGCCAUUCAUGCAGAAUAUAUAUUUCUGGUUUUGAACAUUUAACUAUCUACAUAUUGUUCUCAAAACUAAUAAAUUCAUAAAAAAUAAUGUUGACGACUCUCCUCAUGGUUUCGUGAUGUAGUUGGUUAUCACGUCAGUCUAACCGGUUCGAGUCCGGGGAAGCCAUUUACUCACAACAUAUUUUGUUUCAUUUUUAAACAAAAAUUUUUGGUUUCUGCACAUUUUACUAUUUACAUAUUGUUUCUCAAAAUUAUAAAAAUAUAUAGUAAUGUAGAAGAAUCUUCAACGUGGUUUCGUGGUGUAGUUGGUUAUCACGUCAGUCUAACACACUGAAGGUCUCCGGUUCGAGUCCGGGCGAAGCCAUCCACACCGGAUAUAUUUUGUUUCACAAAAGAAAAAAUUGACGCUGUUGCCGUAGAUUGAACCCUGGUCACCAGCGUGACAGGCUAUUAUAUAUCCCACUAUACUACAACGACAUUAACAUCUUAUGUUAUUUGAAAAUUAUACAAGUUAUUGAAAUCUAAUCUAUAGUAUUUCCUGGCUUACAAUCGAUAUCAACUCCCGUUGUCAAUUCUAUAUUUUGAAAAUAGGUUCUAACCAUCUGUUUAUUCAUGUCGUAUUUGUACAUUUUCUUAUUUUGUGACCAAGAAUGAGUUUAAAGUUUGGGUAAGCAAAACCUAAUUCGAUUCGAAAAAUUUAAUAAAAAAUUUAAAAUUUUUAAUUAAAUAGUUUGAGUUAUUUGACUUAAUCAAGCUAUUUGGAUCAACUUGAAUAAAAAAUGAAGUUUUUCGAUUUAACUCAAAUAUGAAUUACACAAUCCGAAUUAUCUGAAACUCCAAAUAAAAAAAAGACAAAACUACGUCGUUUUGAUAAAUGUUUACUUUUUCUAAAGUUAAAAGUCAAAACUAUCAAAUUAAAAGGAAAAAACUACAUCGUUUUCAUAAAUGUUUACUCAUUAAGUUUAAAUUCAAAACCAUUAUGUUGUUUAUGCAGUUAAAUAAUCUUGUACUUUGUCUAUUAGUUAAAUAAUCGGUCCAUGUAAAUGCAACAUUGAGUAUAAAUAAUAAGAUUUGUUAACUUGACUCGACUUGACUUGUAAUUUUUUACUCGAUUUGAUUCGAUUCGAAAAAAAUUCAAAUUGAGUUCGGUUGCUAAAAUAUGAUUCGUCAGCUCGACUAACUCAAAUUUUUUUGACUCAAUUUGACUCGACUCGAUCGAAUACUCACCCCUGGUUAAAGUAUCUAAGAAUGGGAGAAAACGGAGAAAGGGGAAAUUGAACAAAAUGUAUUAAUACAAUAGAUCAAAUCUUGCCAGCUGUCAAUAGAGAAGCUUAAAACUUGCCACAUUCGAGGGAGUUUCCACCUCCUCAUGAGAAGGUCGAUGUGUCUCCACCGCCUUAAGAGAGGCCGAUGUGUAUAGGAAAGGAUUUUUCGGCCCCCACUUAAGCCUAGUUAAGGAAUGCUUUUCAAAAGUACUUUUUAAGAAAAAAACAUUUUUCGAGAUAAGUUAAAAUUUUCAAUUUAUGAAAAAUUUGCUUUUGGACCAAUUUUUAGCUUAGGAGAAGCACUUUUUUUUCUUCUUAAAAAACAGUUUAUUUAGAAUAUUUUUGUCUCAAAAGUGCUUUUUAGAAGUAACACUAAACACACCAUUCAAAGACAAUAAAACACUUAAACGGUGGUAAUGGAUAAAAAGAAAAUAACCUAUCCAUGUUUGAAAGAAUAAAAUCACAUUUAUUACCUCACCCAUUAUAGUAGAAAAAUACUUAAAAAAAUUUUAUUUAUAUAUUUUAAUUUUAUUAUGAGUAUUUUAUUAUAUUUAUUUUAUAUUUAUACUAUUAUUUAAAUUUCUAACUGAGUUGGUCUCAUGAGUAUUAAGAACUAAUUUUGUUAUAAAAAUUACUAAAAUAUUUUUUCGUAUUUAAAAUAAAUUAUAUCAUUAAAGAUUGCUUUAAUCUUUUUAAUUUAAAGAAUAAAACUUAUGGAUAUGAAAUUUGAACCAAAGAAAAUUACAUUAAUAAAUUUUUAAAUUUAAUUUUUUAAUAAAUUUUAAUUUUAUUACGUACACUUUAAUAAUAUUGUUUAUUAGUUAGUAUUACAAAUUAACUUGACAUCAAUUUAAGAUUAAUGAUAAUACUAUAAUAAAUAAUUAUAUUUAUUUAUUAUGAUGUAUUUAUAUGUUUAAAGUUUUAUUUAUGUUUUUGUUAUUAUUAAUUAAUUUUUUAUUGGUAAAAUUUUUAUAGAAUUCUAAGAACCUCUCUAGAGGUGCUCAUGGGCCGGGCGGCCCGCCCGAAAUAUGGGAGGGUUUGGGUAAAAAUAUAGGCCCGAAAUAUGGGCUUGGGCAAAAAAAUGAGGCCCGAUUAAAAAACGGGCCGGGCCUCGGGCACCACUUUUUUUGCCCGGGCCCGGCCCGAAUAUAAUAAAUAUUUUUAUUUUUAAUUUUAAAAUAAUUUUAAAAUACUUUUAAAAUACUUUUUAAAAUUUUUAAAUUUUUAUUUUAAAAUACUUUUAAUUUUUAAUUUAAAAUAUUUUAAAAUAUAUUUUUUAAUUUUGUUUUAAUUUAAAAUAAAUUUUUGGUAUUUAUUUAAAAAACGGGCCGGGCCGAAAUUUUUUCUGGGCCCAGCCCGGCCCAUGAGCACAAACAAAAAGAAAACUUUUACGCCAUUACCAGGGAUCGAACCCGGGUCGCCCGCGUGACAGGCAGGAACACUUACCACUAUACUACAACAACCUUGACGUUUGCAUGAGCGAAUUUAAAAUAUAUGUAUAGUAUUUGUUGGCUUACAAUCGAUAUCAACUCUCGUUAUCAAUUCUACCUUUCAAAAUUAGUUUCUAUAUUUGUACAUUUUCUUAUUUUGUGACCACCUGACACGACUAUAGUUGAUAAAGCUACCGAAUGAGGUUGAGGUGAGCGAGAAUUCAACGGUUAACUGAGAGGAAGCUUAUUUCGAAGGCAUGGCUGCAGCAACUAAGCAUGGAGUUUAUUAUUCAAUGUAAUCAGGAAUAUUGUUUAGAGACAUAAAAGCUAGGAGAAGCCCUUUUUUUAAUGUCUGGUGAAAUUAUAUAUGAUUCUCGAUGUUUAGUUUAAAGAAAAAAAAAACUUUAUAAUUCAUGUAGUAAUUGAAGUUGUUCUCAACAACAUAUUUAAUCUAAAAUCGUGAUUUCUUCAGAUUGUUUAUGGUGAAUUGUAUAGUUUAAUCAAUAAAGAGAACUCAAUAAAUUUAUCAAAUAAAAUCCGUGAUUAACACAAAUUCAAUCGAAAAAAAUACAAUAAUGUCUUUUCUUUUUUAAAAUAAAUAAUGAUAUUUAAAAAUAUUUUAUAUCAAUUAUAAUUAAAAAAACCCUUAAAUUUACCAAAAUUGUUUUUAUUUAUUCAUACAUUUGAAUUUCGUUUUACUAUAUACAAUAUAUUUUCUCCAUCAAUUACAUAUUUAUAUUAUUAUUUGAAUUUUUAAUUGAAUCAAUUUCACGAAUUAGAAAACCAACUAGAUUAUAAAAUUUAUUAAAAUAAAUUAUAUUAUUCAAUAACACUUUAAUUUUUUUAAUUUAAAAAUAAUAAUAAAACUUAUGAUAUAAGCAAAUUACAUUGAUAAAAUUUCAAAUUUACCUUCAACCAAACCUUAUUUUAAUUUUAACUUUUAAAAUUAUUAUGUACACUUCAAUAAUAUUAAUUACAAAUUAACUCCAUACUAUCAUGAUUUAAUAUAAUAUAGUCAUAGGUUUAAAGUUUGAUUUACUUAGAGUUCAAUUUAUUCUUAAAUGAAUACCAAGAUCCUCUCAACUCUUUAUCCCGCUAAUAUCUAAAAUUUUGGUUUCUGUACAUUUUAUUUUUUAGAUAUUUUUUCUCAAAUCUUGUCGAUGUGGUUUUGUGGCGAAGUUUGUUAUGACGUCAGUCUAACACACUGAAGGCUUACGGUUCGAGUCCGGGCGAAGCCAUUUCUUCUAAUUUGCAUUUUGUUUAUUUUUCUUUAUUAAAAAAAAAAGAUUCCGGUUCGGGUGACCUGCGUGACAGGCGGAAAUACUAACCAUCUAUAAUAUUUGUUGGCUUAUAAUAUUUCGAUUCGGUUCCGGUUCGAAGAUGUGAAGAGUCAUUUGUUGAGUAGAGACAAACUCGAGAAUGAGUUUAGUUUGGAUAGCAAGGCAGAUAGGCAAGCUUCCGUUUUGGUAGCAUCAAAGAAACAAGACAAAAAGUGUCGCUAUUGUAAAAAGUUAGGUCACGUCAAAGCAGAUUGUUAUAAACUGUGAAAUAAAAUAGCUGCUGAGAGUAACAAGAAAGAUGUAGCUAGUGCUAAUUUGAUCGAUGAAAGCGAUGAUGAUUUCUUAUUAGUGUUAACGAGCGAUAACUCAAAGCUCACGUCCGAGUGGAUCCUAUAUUCGGGAUGUUCUUUCCACAUGUGUUCCAAUAGAGAAUGGUUCUCCACAUACAGUUCGGUUGAAGGUGGAGUUGUGCGCAUGGGAAGCGAUUCAUCUAGUAAGGUAAUUGAUAUUAGUACUGUUAAAAUUAAGAUACACGAUGAGACGAUUAGGGCACUCUCAGAUGUCAGGUAUGUACCUGAUUUACGAAAGAAUCUCAUCUCAUUGAGUAUUUUAGACUUGAAAGGAUGCAGAAUCAACAUCGAGUCGAGCGACAUUAAAGUAUCUCGUGGAGCUUUCAUUUUGUUAAAAGGUAAAAGUACUGACAGUCUUUAUAUUCUGGAAGGUUCUAUAGUGUUAGAGUUGUGUGACCCAAAUUGUAAGAGAUUGCUUACAAGUCAAGUUAAACAAAAUAUAUUUUCUUUCUAGAAGAUUUAGUAUUUAUUAGUAUAAUAUAUUUAGCAUUUAUUAGCAUAGCUUAUUUGACCUACUAAUUUAGCCUAUAAAUAUGUUUUUUACAACCUUAGAAAAUACACCCAUUAGAUUAGAACUCAUAACACAUUUGGAAGGGGUUUUCCACGUUAAAUUUGUGUGUUCAAUUUCUCAAUUUCUUCUGCUAUUUUUACUUGUUUGUUGGUUAAUCGGGUCGAUUCCUAACAAAAGCAAAUAUCAGCUCAUUGAUAUUCUAAUAUUUAAUUAAUAUUAAGCGACAUUACAUGAAUGGAUCGUAAUGUGGAAAGACAACUUAUAUUAGCAAAUAAUCUAAACACGUCCUUAGUCCAAUCGAAAUUGAGCAAAUCAAUUAAAAGACUAAUAUGACAUAUAUUAAGUCCAAUUGAUGAGGUACCUUGUAUUGAUUAUCAGCGCGGAUGAUUCCCAAAAGAUAAAUAUAUAGAUGUGAUUAACUGGAUUUACAGGAUAUUGGAUAGGACCCAAGUAAAAUAGAUCCUAAAUUAGUUUAUACAUAUAUUCACUUGUGACAUUUAUAGUGUAGUAUACCUUAAAUCUUGAUUGGAUGAUGAACUACGUAUACGUGACUUAUAUGAUUUGAUGUAAGUGAAAGCUAAAGUUCAAAUAGAUUUCUAAUAUGCGAUAACCAUUUUGCACACGAUCAAGAUCCAUUUUGUGAAAGAAACGGAAUAAAAAUCGUUUUCCUCCCAUAUUUGCAAUUUGGACCCCUCUCACUGGGUGCUAAAGAUUACCUAUAGUACUUCUCAUUGCGGGGAAGCGAAUCACACUUGCAGUAAGGAAACACCCCACCAAGCAAAGAUCAUAAUCUCCUUCAUAGGUUCAGCCUCGUUUUAGAUCUGUAAGAUAUUUUCCUCCUCAUCAUCCAAAGUAAGAUUCGUCAAAUCAGUUUCCAUACAUACCAAAAUCAAAACAAAAAGAAAUUAACAACCCCUCCUAAACUCCAUCGCUGCAAAAACCAAAUUAGAACAAAAGUCAAACCCUAAAAAUGAAACUUGCUAGAAAAGCAGACCAAGAUGUGCUAGAGUAGCAGACUCGAUCCUUAUCUUUUAAAAGCACAUAAAAGAUNNNNNNNNNNNNNNNNNNNNNNNNNNNNNNNNNNNNNNNNNNNNNNNNNNNNNNNNNNNNNNNNNNNNNNNNNNNNNNNNNNNNNNNNNNNNNNNNNNNNNNNNNNNNNNNNNNNNNNNNNNNNNNNNNNNNNNNNNNNNNNNNNNNNNNNNNNNNNNNNNNNNNNNNNNNNNNNNNNNNNNNNNNNNNNNNNNNNNNNNNNNNNNNNNNNNNNNNNNNNNNNNNNNNNNNNNNNNNNNNNNNNNNNNNNNNNNNNNNNNNNNNNNNNNNNNNNNNNNNNNNNNNNNNNNNNNNNNNNNNNNNNNNNNNNNNNNNNNNNNNNNNNNNNNNNNNNNNNNNNNNNNNNNNNNNNNNNNNNNNNNNNNNNNNNNNNNNNNNNNNNNNNNNNNNNNNNNNNNNNNNNNNNNNNNNNNNNNCGUUUUUUUUUAAUUAUUUCUAACUUCGAACUUUCUUAAUUCCCAUCCAGAUAAGAAGUUUCAUAAACUGGUCUAUUUUUAUAGUAUGUCUCUUUAAAACGAAAGUGGAGUUCACCCUUUAUUUUUUUUUUCUUUUCAAUCACUUGUAGCUUUUCUGUUUCAUCGAUUUUGCUCGGAUCCACCUCUUCCUCCGAAAAAAGAGAAAAAGAAGUAUUUUCUUCGGUCCCCUGUUUUUGGUUAGCCCCUCCCCCUUCGGAAAUAGUUUCUAUUUCUAUGUUUCUUUCUUCCUCACUUUCCCCCACUUCUUCCGUUUCAGAAAUUCCUUUCAGUUAGUUAGAAUGGGUGACGGUAUUCUUCCUAAGUAGUAAACACAUGUAAUAAAUAAUAGAAUACUAAAGAUCACAUGUAAUAAAUAACAGAAUACUAAAGAUUUGAGCCAUAGAAUUUCUAAAUUCUGAUACAAGAUACUUAUUGUUACAGUAUUCUGUUAUUUUAUUUGUAACAAGUAGAUUUCAUUUUACACAUGUCAUAUUUUAUGACAAAUUAACCAACCAACAAAACUACUUGUUACAAAUAACAUAUUGUUGCUACAUCGAAACAUAUAGAUUUUGACUAAUCUGGCUAACAUUGAACUUGGUAAAAUGAAAUGGUUGAAUAAUUGAAUAAUUGAAUAAUGAGAUUAUUCAGGAAUACACAUUGAAUGCUAAGAUUAUGCAUUGAAUUUCUGGUAGGAGGUCUAUGAUCAAAAAAGUCUUUGUGAUUGUUCCAGAAGAAAUGAAACAAAAGAUACAGUAGAGUUAGGACGGUUAUUGUAUGAGGUUUACCCAAUGUUGAAUGCAGAGGUACAUAGUAGAUUGAUAUGAACAUCAUGAGCUGGCCUGCAAUAAACCCAGUUGUUGCUGAUACUCUCUUCUCAGUUCCUUCUUCUCCUUCUUCCAUAACCCGAGCUCGUAGAAGGAAGAUAUAAGAGGGACCUAUGGAUAGUGUGGUCAGAAAUCCAUAAUAGAGUCUGAUCAUAACGACCGAAUUGAUCAUCGUCAUGUAUAAGGAUAUUCUGAUGGACUAAAUAUCUUUCAUAAGGAAUCGUAGAAAGAUGCGACGAUUUUUUCCAGGAAAACCCCAACGAAAAAUACAUAUUAUUCCCUCAUUUCUAUGAAAUCAAUCAUAACCACUGCCUACAUUCUAAAAAAUAGUGUACCACAAAUAUGAACUAAUAAAGAGGCCUGCGAUCCCAUAGAAAGACAUCACGAUCCCAUAGACAGAAAUAAAGAUAUCAAAUUCCUACCAAGAUAACUAGAAGUUCCAACUAAAUAAAACCCCUAUAGAAACCAAAAAAAAAGGAUAAAGGACCCAAGCAAGAAAUUGCUUGUUUUUCGAGAUCCCACUAUAAAUUCUAUCCAUAUAGAUUUUGAUCGCCAACUAAUACAUGCUAGAUCCAGUUGCAUUUUAUUCGAAUUGAGAGAAUAACCAAAAAAAAUUUGACUUACUUUUUUUUUUGUUUCCGAAGUAACUCUCAUCAANNNNNNNNNNNNNNNNNNNNNNNNNNNNNNNNNNNNNNNNNNNNNNNNNNNNNNNNNNNNNNNNNNNNNNNNNNNNNNNNNNNNNNNNNNNNNNNNNNNNNNNNNNNNNNNNNNNNNNNNNNNNNNNNNNNNNNNNNNNNNNNNNNNNNNNNNNNNNNNNNNNNNNNNNNNNNNNNNNNNNNNNNNNNNNNNNNNNNNNNNNNNNNNNNNNNNNNNNNNNNNNNNNNNNNNNNNNNNNNNNNNNNNNNNNNNNNNNNNNNNNNNNNNNNNNNNNNNNNNNNNNNNNNNNNNNNNNNNNNNNNNNNNNNNNNNNNNNNNNNNNNNNNNNNNNNNNNNNNNNNNNNNNNNNNNNNNNNNNNNNNNNNNNNNNNNNNNNNNNNNNNNNNNNNNNNNNNNNNNNNNNNNNNNNNNNNNNNNNNNNNNNNNNNNNNNNNNNNNNNNNNNNNNNNNNNNNNNNNNNNNNNNNNNNNNNNNNNNNNNNNNNNNNNNNNNNNNNNNNNNNNNNNNNNNNNNNNNNNNNNNNNNNNNNNNNNNNUUCUAUUGUUCUUGUCUUCUAAGUAAAAAGGGCUUUUUCAAGCCUUUCUUUUGUGUGUUGUAACAUAGUAAUUAUCUUUUCUCAAUUAGGAGACGUGACUGAGUGGACUAAAGUGUCGGAUUGCUAAUUCGUUGUGCGAGUUAUUCGUACCGAGGGUUUGAAUCCCUCUAUUUUCGUUUCGGUUUUUGGUAGUGGAAUAGAUCAAAUCCUAAUACCAUUUUUAAAAAUGAAGCAAGGAACUCUCCCUUUUUUAUUCUUCGCAUCCAGGAUUAGGUCCCGGAUCAUUAGAUAGGAAUCCGAAGAUGAAGAGAGAAAUAAAGAAUAUUACUACGGUGUAAACAAAGAGUUUAAGAGUAAGCAUUACACAAUCUCCAAAAGCAUUUUUUGGAAAAAGAAGAGAAUAGAUUCCCCGUUUUUAUACCACAUACCCUAUUUUGUUUUGAUUUUGACACCAAGAAAUAAAGUGAUUUCUAGAAUUUAUAGAAAUCAAAAAGAAUUUUCAAAAAUUUACUUGUAAUAAGAGUUGAGCUUUUCAUUUACAAAAAAAAAUCUUUCAUACCAACAAUUAUAUAUUGUGGCAGACUCUAAUCUAAAUAGGGUUCUUCGACAAAAAGGGUCAGAAUGAGGAAAUGGGAUGAUCCAGAUUUAUCAGGACUAUCCAAGAAUUUCAAUCUUAGAAUUGAGGGUUCGUUCAUAGUGUAAGACUUACCUGAACUUUUCAAUUGUUAGAUUUUUUUCUUGAAUCACUCAUGAAUUUUUCUAGGACAGUAUUAAGGAUCUCAUUGAAAACUUACAACAGCUUAGCAAACAAAGGCUAAGAGAAAAAAGAGAACAGGUAUUACUGGUGUAAAAUCUACGAUUGGAUUCAAAAAAGCAUAGGCCUCGGGAAAUUUGGCGAAUAAAAAACUACUCGUAAAAAGGGUAGAAUUAAAACAGAUACAUAUCAAGUUAAAGAUAUUAAUCAUAACAAAAUUUUGUUCUUGGAGAUAAUUUUGAUUGAUUUUGUUUAUUCAAUUUCAAUAUUAUGAGUCCUAAUUAGAAUAGGAAUUUUUAUGGUAUCAAUUUAGGGUCUAUGAUUUUUAAAAAGCUAUUCUUUAUAUAGAAUGAUUCCCAUUUCAGUCGAUUUCUUCAUUCAAUUCAAUGAUUGACCAAAAUAAACUUUUUCAUAAAUAAUAAAAUAAAUUGCAUGAACUUAGCUCAAUCAAAUACUGAUAUUGAUGUUUUAUUUAUAUGCAAUGAUUUGGUCUAAUGAAUUCGUCCAUUUAGAUUGUAUCCAUGUAAGAUAAUGCUAAAUAAAAAAUAAAAGGAAGAGACGAAUUUACAUUACAAAAAACGAUAUAAAAAUGAUUAGGAAAAAAAAGGGGGGUAAAAUUAGGUAUAUGGAAUCUAAUGGCUAUAAGACAGCUUUUGUCUAUCCUUUGAGGAAUAAUUCUAAAAUCUGAUUGAAUCUAAGACAUGAAUAGUUGGUUUACGUUAUGUAAGAAACACAUGUAUAUGGGAUAUUAGAUAUUGACUAGUUAUAUACAAACUCAAAAUAUAUCUAAUCCAACCUACUACUGUGGAUUUAGAUAGGUAUUCCAAUAGAAGAAUAAAAGUUCCUCUGUUUCGUCUUUGACUCUGAAUUGAACGAAUAAAGAGAUAAAAUAAAGACAAACGAAGAAUUCAAAGCAAAGAAUGGGUUGGAAAAAAGAAAGGGAAGAACAAAGUAUGUGCGGAUUCAAAAAAAUCUAGCGAAUAUGACCUAAAAGAAAGAUGUCGAAAUAGUUCUGACGAUUCAAUAAUCUUCUCACUUCCAUUCAGAGUUCUUAGUUACUUCGGUAGGUUGAAUCUUAGCGAUGGAAUAAUAUAAUUAAGUCAAAAUUCAUUGGAUGAGUGUAUCAUGAACCAUUUCUUUAUUUUGGUGCGAGGAACUUAUCAUGAAUCCACUGAUUUCUGCCACUUCCGUUAUUACUGCUGGGUUGGCUGUCGGGCUUGCUUCUAUUAGACUUGGAGUUGGUCAAGGUACUGUUGUGGGCCAAGCUAUAGAAGGUAUUGUGAGACAACCCGAGGCGGAGGGAAAAAUAUAAUGUACUUUAUUUCUUAGUUUGGCUUUUAUGGAAGCUUUAACAAUUUAUGGGCUGGUUGUAGCAUUGACACUCUUAUUUGCAAAUCCCUUUGUUUAAUCCUAUAAACAUGAGAAUUUUGUAUUUUUUUUCUUAUUUUAUGGCUUGGGACUUACUCCUCGCUUUUUUGAAUUCUAUUAAGAUUUCACCCCUACAAUUAAUUAUUCGUUGGGACAAUAAUCCAUGGGAAGGAUUAAUUUAAGGACAGUCAAGUGAAAUCCAUUCCACGAAAUAAUUUGAUCUAUGGACAGCAUUGUUGUGGUAAAGGUCGUAAUGCCAGAAAAAUCAUUACCGCAAGGCAUAGAGGGGGAGGUCAUAAGUGUUUAUACCGUAAAAUUGAUUUUCGACGAAAUGAAAAAGACAUAUAUGGUAGAAUCCUAACCAUAGAAUACGACCCUAAUCAAAAUGCAAACAUUUGUCUCAUAUAGUAUGGGGAUGGUGAGAAGAGAUAUAUUUUACAUCCCAGAGGGGCUAUAAUUGGAGAUACCAUUGUUUCUGGUACAAAAGUUCCUAUAAAAAUGGGAAAUGCCUUACCUUUGAGUACGGUUUGAACUAUUGAUUUACGUAAUUGGAAGGAACCAAUUAGGUUUACGAUGAAACCUAAAACUCAAUCACUGAUCCAAUUUGAGUACCUCUAUAGGAUAGACCUCAAUAGAAAACUGAAGAGUAAUGACAGCAAGUGAUUAAGUUCAGUAGUUCCUUAUAUAAAAUUAUUGACUCUAGAGAUAUAGUAAUAUGGAGAAGACAAAAUUGUUUUAAGCACCGACAGAACCAGAAGCGCCCCUUGUUUUAAAGAGAGGAGGACGGGUUAUUCACAUUUCAUUUAAUGGUCAGAAACGAAUUGGAAGCUAAGUAGUGGUAAUUCAAAAGAUUCCCCGGGGAAAAAAUAGAGAUGUCUCCUACGUUACCCAUAAUAUGUAGAAGUAUCGACAUAAUUUCAUAGAGUCAUUCGGUCUGAAUGCUACAUGAAGAACAUAAACCAGAUGACGGAACGAGAAGACCUAGGAUGUAGAAGAUCAUAACAUGAGUGGUUCGACAAAUUUGGAUUCCUAUAUAUCUACUCGUGUAGUACUUUAUUUUACAAUAUAUAUAAGAAUUAUACGAUAAGAAUUAUACGAAUCCAUAUGUAUACAUAUCAUCAUCUACAUCCAGAAAGUCGUAUGUUUUGGAAGAAGCUUGUACAAUUUGGGAAGGGGUUUUGAUUGAUCGAUCAAAAAGAAGAAUCUACUUCAACCAAUAUGCCCUUAGGCACGACCAUACAUAACAUAGAAAUCACACUUGGAAGGGGUGGACAAUUAGCUAGAGCAGCGGGUGCUGUUACGAAACUGAUUGCAAAUGAGGGAAAAUCAGCCACAUUAAAAUUACCUUCUGGGAGGUCCGUUUGAUAUCCAAAAACUGCUUAGCGACAAUCGGACCGGUGGGGAAUGUUGGGGUGAACUUGAAAAUUUUGGGUAGAGCCGGAUCUAAAUGUUAGCUAGGUAAGCGUCCUGUAGUAAGAGUAGUAGUUAUGAACCCUGUAGACCAUCCCCAUAGGGGUGGUGAAGGGAGGGCUCCAAUUGGUAAAAAAAACCCGCAACCCCUUGGGGUUAUCCUGCACUUGGAAGAAGAAGUAGAAAAAAGAAUAAAUAUAGUGAUAAUUUGAUUCUUCGUCGACAGAGUAAAUAGGAGAGAUUAUUUCUUUCUUCGUCUUUACAAAAACAAAAACAAAAAUAUAUAUUUAUUUUUAAAGUAAAAAAAUGACGCGUUCACUAAAAAAAAUCCUUUUGUAGCAAAUAAUUUUUUUUUAAAAAAUCGAAAGGCUUAAUAAAAAAGCAAAAAAAGAAAUAAUAGUAACUUGGUCCAGAGCAUCUACCAUUAUAUGUAACAGCCCGAUUUUAGGCCUAGUCGGAAUAGUGGUUUCGGGACCACAAAUUCGACGAGGAAAAAUUUAUUUUUUCUUAUAUUUUUAUGGUUUACAAUUUCACGGAAUGAUUUCGUAAAAAUUUCAUUCAAAAAUUUUGACGUUUGGGCACUCAAUUUAGACAAAAGGACUAAAUUGUAAAAAGUGCAAAAUUUGAGUUCUACAUGUUAGAUGUGUCCAAUUGUUAUGAAAUUUUAAAUUGGAGGUCCUUAAAUGGUAAUUAGACCAUUGGUUAACUUGUUGGACAAAAAUGGACAAGAGAUAAGUGAAAUAGGAUAUUUUUAAGUUGGGGGCAUUUUGGUCAUUUAGUAAUUAAAAGAAUUAAAAAUGCCAAAAUAGCCAAAAAAUUGUCCAUCUUCUCCAUGAUGAACGAAAAUAGCAAGGGGGAAGCCAUGGUUAGGGUUUUCAAGCUUCCAAGCUCCAUAGUAAGUGAUUCUAAGCCCCAUUUUUAAUGUUCUUUACGUUUUUGAAGUCUUGGUAGCUUAAUUUAGCUUAUUCUAGCAAUAAUUUAACCUAAGGUUUAUAUUUGGAAAAAUACCCAUAGGUGAAAUGUGUUUAUUUUGAUGUUUUAUGGUAGAAUAUGAAGCUUUAAAUUGUGUUAAAUAAUUUUUGCUAAGCGAUUUUCAGUGAAAACAAGUGAAACGACAUAAUCAGUAAAAAUUAUUAGUGUUCAUAAGUGCAUGUUAGAGGAAGAAUUUGAUGUUUCUAUAGAAGGGAAAAAUGUUCAACAUGUUAUAAAACAUAAGAAAAAGGAAUAAAGUUUAAUUUCUGAGCCUAGGGACAAAAUCAUAAUUUUGUGAAACUUUAGAGACAAAAAUGUAAUUUUGCAAAAAUGUGAUUUUUGGACUAGAUUGAAUAAUGUGAAUGUUAUAUAAGCUAAAUAUGUUAUUAUAAAUCGAGAAAGACGAGAAAUUAACAUUGAUUGGUAUAUAAAAAACUGAGAAAAAGUGAAAAUUCCCAGUUGAACCUUCGGAAUGAAAGAGAUACGAGUGAAGUUGCUAGGUCACGUGUGUAGUACUAUGUGCAGACUACUACGUGUACUGGAUAGGUCACAUGUAUAGUACUAUGUGCAGGCUACUAUGCAUACUGAAUAGCUUCGAUCACGUGUGUAGUACUAUGUGCAGGCUACUACGUGUAUCAGAUGAAAAUGGUCACGUGUGUAGUACUAUGUGCAGGCUACUACGUGUACUGGAAUGAUAGGUCGCAUGUGCAAUACUAUGUGCAGGCUACUAUGCGUACUAGAUAGCUUCGAUCACGUGUGUAGUACUAUGUGCAGGCUACUACGUGUAUCGGAUGAAAAUGGUCACAUGUGUAGUACUAUGUGCAGGCUACUAUGUGAACCGAGUAUCAUUUAUUAUAAGGUGGUCGCUAUGAGAGUUUUGUUUUUGUAUAGAAUAUAAAAAAAAUUCAAUUUCUACCGAUUCCACCUUGUAUCUGUUAUUAUUCCGAAGUGUUCACCGGGAAAUUGUAUACGCUUUAGGUCAACAUAUAUGUAUGUCUGCUUACAAAGCACGAAGAAUAAUUUGAUCAGAUUCGUGGACGUUCCUACGAAGAAACACUUAUGAUACUAGAACUCAUGCCUUACAGCAUGUUAUCCCAUUUUAAAAUUGAUUUAUUCUGUAGCAGUAAAUGCUCAUCACAAUAGGGGUUUCAAUGAAGCGAGUUUAAUCAUUAGUAAGUCGCAGUAAAUGAGAGAACUACUUUGAAAAGACUAAACCUCGAGCUCGAUGACAAAAUUAUCUGAUAAAAAGACCCACUUGUAAUAUAACUAUUGCAUUGAAAGAUCUUGAAUUUUAAUCACGAUUUAUGCUCAGUAAAUCAUUCAUUUUAAUCGCCACUCUAUUCGAUAUAGAAAUAAAUUAGAUAAAUUCAAUCUAUUAUAUAAAUAUUUAUUAGAAAUAAAUAGAUAUUAUAAAAAGAAACUAGAUUAUAUUAAUAAUACAAAGUAUAAGAUCAGUGAUUGGUUUAACAUAAACAUAAAAAAAGGAAUUUUAAUUUUUUUAAAAAUACAUACUUUUAAUGGACAUGGACCAUAUUGACAAAAAAACUAUAAAUGUGAGGCCAAAAUAAGUUUUAAAAGUUUAAAAAUUAAUAGACCUGUGAACUUAUACAAAAUAGUUAAAAAUUCAUUUGAACUGGAAAUUGAAUUAAUUUUUAUAAUUUUUUUUUAUUUUUGAUAAUUUAUUUUCUUUGAAUUGGUUGGACCGAUCACUUUCAAAAUCAAUUGGUUAGACUAAUUCGAAAUUGAAUCAACUGUCGGUUCAACUAUUUUUUAGCUCGAUUCAACUAGUUUGUACUAGUUUGUAGGUUAACCAACUUUUUAUCUUUCACCGAACUGAUACUCCAACCAAUUCCCAACUCAACUGGCCAACUUGAUUCGGUUUAGAUAACAUUAAAUUUUGAAUUUUUGUUUAUAUUUUUGAAAUAUUUUUAUUUUUUAUUUUUAAAAUUUUAAAAGUUUUUAUUUUUUUCCAAAAGUUUUAUUUUAAAAAAAUAUAUUUUUAAUUUUAAAAAGUUAUAAUUUUUAAAAUUUUUUAUUUAAAAUAUGAAAAAAAUAAUUUCAAAUUUUUUUUAUGUAUUUUUAAAACAAAAUUAACAAAAGAUUAUAAAUAUUAAGAGUUAAAAAAGUAUUUUAAUAUUGUUAAGUUUAAUAAAAAAAUUAAAGAAAGAACUACAAUUUUAAAAUAAAAAAAAAACAUAAACUUAAUAUCUCAAAAUUAAAAUUAAAACUUGAAAGGUUAGAAAACCUUUUGACAUAUUUUUUUCUGAAAAUGAUUAUUCAUUUUUGGCAUCCGGUAUCAAACCCGGGUCGAAUGACUAAAGGUUUUUUUUUUUGAAGUAUUAUCUUUUUUUUUUCUUUGGGCUGUAUCUGCUUCAUACAAAACUGAGUUAUCUUUCGUUUCUUCCCCUUGCAAAAUCCCCAGCCUACCCAACACAGAAAAAAGACCAAAAGAUUUUUUAUGGCCGUUGUUUCAAGUGCUCAUUCAACUAUCUUCUCUAAAACCUCCCUUUUUCACCACAUAAAUGGUUUCAAACGCUUCUCUUUUUGCUUACCCUUUUCUUCCUCUGCCGUUGCUUCUCUUUCUUCUAAGAAAAAAUGGAGACAACCCGUGGCUUCCUCCAUGUUAGAGCUUGGUGGAAUCAAAAUUGCCAAAGAUGGUACCCAAAUGCUACUUUUUAUGUACUUUUUUCUUUUAUGUUUUUCUGCACUGUUAUUGAACUGGGUCGUUUCAAUAUUUGCUGAUAUUGAAUUUUAACUAGGCGAGCUUCUCUAUUCUUGCAUUUUCUUUCUCUAAUACCGGUAAAUGUUUAUGGGUAAUGGGUAGUUUUCUCUUAGUUUAAUCUGAUUUGAAGUUUCCAAAAUAUGCCCUUUGUGUGUUCAAGUUGUAUUUUGAUAGGGAAUUUAAAUUCAUGGAGUUUUGGUGCAAUAUGUUUUGUCAUGGAAGUUAGGUAUAAGCUUUUUAGGUGGAAUACACCCUUUUUGGUGUAAUGUUAAAUGAUUGAAAAUUUUCUGCAAUGGGAACCAACUUUUCUGGUUUGGAUAUGCUUUGAAAAUUUUUAAUUGGUGAAUUUUGAUUCAUGAUUUUAUGUGUUUUCAUAGUUUAUGAAUGAUUUAGUAUUUUAUUGGAUGGUGGGAAUUGUAGAUGUGGUGAGGGAUGACCCGACAAACAAUGUUCCGGACACAAUAUUUUCGAAACUGGGCUUGCAGCUACACAGAAGGAAUAACCAUCCUCUUGGGAUUCUAAAGAAUGGAAUAUAUGAAUAUUUUGAUACUAAUUUCCCAAAUAUGUUCCAUAAGUUUGAUGAUCUCUGCCCAGUUGUUUCAGUAAAACAGGUACAAUGUGGUCCACUGCUCUGUGAAUUCUCUUUUCCUCUUUUAUGUUUCAUAUGAUUGGAUCGAAAAGGAAUAGCUUUUGAGUUUAGAUAUUUCUGAAAAUUCAAUCCUAUGCUCUGCUUUGGAAUUCCUGGGAAAUUUGUAUCUCUAUGGAUUUGAUCAGAUUACAGUUGUUUGUAUGCUUCUGUAUUACCUUAUUGAUAUCAUAUGUUACCAUGUACGCUUGAACCUCUGUGUAUGUGUUUGGCUGUGGAUUAGCGAGUGAGAGAAUAAUUUUGGAUUGCAUAUUUUUAGGUUAUGGGCCUUUUUUCUCCAUAUGUAUCAUCUAUGGCCAUAUUAAGCAUGUUUGUUUGAAAAAUACGUGGCUCUCUAGUCAACUUCUUAAAUUGAGCAUGUGAGUUUUUCAGUAUUAUUAAAUCUCUCCAAUGCAAAAAGGUUCUGUAUUGCUGUUUUUGAGCUCUGCAAGAAGUAUGACCGAGCAGUAAUGUUCUUGUUUUUGGUUUUGUAGUAAUUGAUUUCUGAAGUGAUGGAAUGAUGAAUACAGGAAUUUGCAUGCAUACAUGCAACACUGAUUUCCUUAAAAACUGAACUUAAAAUGUUUCAAAAUUUUUCAUGCCUAUCUAAGCUCAUAUAUACUCAGCAGAAUUGUUUAAAGUUGUACUUUACAGAUUCUAGAACUCUAUGUUUUUUCUUGGGGGGAUAAAUUUGAUUUUAUUACCCAAAAUAAGCAGAACUAUGCUACAAGAAAACAACUGCUGAUAGAAUAGCUGCAAAUAGGAUUACAACUCUAUACAAUCAGUUAUUUGCAUCCAGUAUACCCCAAUCUAUCCAAAGUUGAAGAUUUACACUAUCAGUUCUAUCGAUACUCCUCCCUAACAAUCUUAGCCAUACAAUUUCUUUGAUGCUUCGCAGUAAUUCUUGUUUACUUACCUGCUUCUCUUCAAAUUACCUUCUAUUCUUUUCCUUCCAGAUCAUGUAUAUAUAUGCACUACAAGCGAGCUUCAAAACAAGGGUAAUCAGUGACUUUCCCUUCAACCUCCUGACAGCCCAUUGUAACUCUUGGUGCCAAGACAUGGCACCUCUAUGUAUCUGGUAUAAUUUCAGAACAUCGCCACACUUUCCUUGAGUACCCACACUCAAAGAACAAGUGAUUAUGAGAUUCCAUCCCUCCCUCGCAUAAUUUGCAGCAUCCCUCUACAUUAAAUCCCCAUGAAAUACGCCUAUAUUUUGUAGGCAACUUGUCCCUUACAGCCAUCCAAGCAAUAAGAGAUGGCAUAGGAAUAUGCAGGGAAAGCCAAAUAAGUCUACUUCAAGUAAAUCUGUCCUUUAUCCUUAUUUAAUUCCAGAUUGUGGUCACGGACAAUUUGUUGUUUACUGCAGCAGGUGAUUUAAGGAUUGAAGCAGCAUCUACUCGCAACUUUAAUAACUUUUUCCGGUUCUAGCUGUUUCCAAUAUUUAAAGAUACCUUCCAAAUAGAUUCAUUCUUUAGGAAAGUUAUUGUGCUCUAUGUUUUGUCCAGCAUUAUGUGCUCAAAGUUGGAUGAUGAUGGGUAAGCAGUUAUUGUGCUCCCCUGAAAUGAAGAUACAAUUUGUCAUCUGUUUGAUAAUUAAUUUUAUUGUCUUAGUUAUGUUACAAUAUAUGUUGGAUAAUUUUAUCAAAUUUGGAUUCUUGGACAAUGGUUUUUAAGAACAUUUAUUUGUUUAUGACAGUAAAUAAUUAUUUUUUUCCAGAAUUUUGAUGAUGUCCUGGUGCCUGCCGAUCAUGUAAGCCGGAGUUAUAAUGAUACAUAUUAUGUUGACUCUCAAACUGUGCUGAGGUGUCAUACAAGUGCUCAUCAAGCAGAGCUGUUGAGAAGGGGACACACUCAUUUCCUUGUAACUGGCGAUGUUUACCGUAGAGAUUCUAUAGAUUCCACCCAUUACCCUGUGUUUCAUCAGGUUUCGUUUUGUUGAAAGCAUCUUCAAUUUUGUCUAGCUUUUUAGAAUUCUCUUCUCGUAGGUAUUCUGCUAAGUCUACAUGUGAUGCUCAACCAUUUAUUGGGCCCUACCAUGGCAUCCUUUGUGGGUCGACAUGAUGAAGUGCUUUGAUUUGACAUGUAACAUUUGUCUAAUAUGGUUAUGUUGAUAAUUCAGGGUCAACUAUUUUUCUCCCCUUUGCAUUGCAGAUGGAAGGGGUUCGUGUUUUUACUCCAGCUAAUUGGGAGGCAUCAGGUUUGGAUCCAACAUCAUAUGCAGCUGAGGACUUAAAGAAAAGUCUAGAAGGCCUAGCUCGUCACUUAUUUGGUAAAUUUUAGAUUCAAAGCUUAAUUGAGGGAUUACAAGUUUGCAAAAAGAUUAUGCAUAUCUGCUACAAUGAGUUUACUAUUUGGCUUCGGAAAAAAUCAUAUUCCAUAUUGAAUCAAGAUCUUUUUUUACAUCAUAAAUGCAAUAUUGGUUUUGACAAGAAGUGGGAACUUUUGUGAAAAUAAAUCAUAGCAUAUUUGCGUCUUUUUUCUUUUAGUUACGAUGGAGAUGUAUAUAUUAGCGUUGUGCAAUGUAUAACUUAUUUUAUGGAGAGAAGUAUCUAACUAGCUGCUAUAAAUUGUGAUCACUUUUAUGGAAUUAGUCAUCAAAGGUUUGCAUUGUAAAGACUGCAAAACACCAAGCCUCAAUCUGUUAACAUUCCAGGUGCUGUGGAGAUGCGUUGGAUUGAUGCCUAUUUUCCAUUUACCAAUCCUUCCUAUGAACUUGAGAUCUAUUUUCAGGUAUUUUCUUUGUUUUUUAUAAAAAUAGUUUUAGUGUUUUCUUUAAGCUUGAGUUUUUGGUUGAGGGUUUUUAGUAGCUUUUUUCUUUUUUUCCUGCUUCAUUUAUUAGUGGGUGAACCCUAUGCUUAUUGUUGCAAUCUUCAAUUUGAUUAAGCUAAAUUAUGAUAUGGAUAUUUCCAAUACCUUUAACUACAUGUUUGUAAUCUGGUUUGUAGUCCUCACUUCUACUUUGAUUGUUGUUCUAUCUGAAUUAUUUUAAGUUAAUUUGGUAACUUUAGCUCUGAGUAUAACUUACCGGCAAACUACAACAACUUUCAGGGGAAAUGGAUGGAGGUUUUGGGUUGUGGGGUGAUGGAGCAAGAAAUAUUGAAAAGUAAUGGUAGAUCAAACAGUGUUGCUUGGGCCUUUGGACUUGGAUUGGAGCGGCUAGCAAUGGUUUUAUUUGACAUUCCAGAUAUCCGGCUUUUUUGGUCAACUGAUGAGCGAUUCACCUCGCAGGUAGCUUCUGAAUGUAGCUCCAUGAUUUGAAAGCUGAAUUCUUGGAAUCCUAAUUUAGUUUCUACACCUAAGUCUGGCUAAACUAUUUGAACGCAGUUUUCCGAAGGCCAAAUGGGAGUGAAGUUUAAACCCUUUUCGAAGGUAUAAGUUAAGCAAAUGGUUUCUUUUAACUGUUUAAUAACUAUUACAAAAGCAUGACUGGACACCUCAAUUGUUUUUGCAGUAUCCUCCCUGUUACAAAGACAUGAGUUUUUGGAUCAAUGAUUCAUUUACAGAGAACAACUUAUGUGAAGUUAUAAGAGGAAUAGCUGGGGAUCUUGUUGAAGAGGUAUGCAAUUUAAAUUUUGGCCAGAUAUCUUUUGAGGACAUGAAACAUGUUCAUCUAUAUCAUUAUGUGUUUAAGCUUCUUAACUGAAUGUUCUACAGAGUAUAAAUAUUAUCAGCUUAUAAGUAUUAUAAAUUAUCGAAAUAAUGGAAAAGGUGUCAAUUGAGGGGUAAGCAUGUUUGAUUGGCUUCCAUCAUCUCAUCCUUUAUAGACAUCAAAACACAAAUAACUGAUUUAAUGGAGCUUAUGUACGUAAUUUCUGAUUUCUAGUUUUCAUUCUUAAUAUGACAUGUAGGUAGGCAGUUGCCAAAAGAUUUUUUCGCCUAUAUCCUGUCUCAGAGUCUAUGAUAGCAAUUAUAAGUAUUUAAAAUCCCUUGCAUAUCAAAGGCAGUUGCGGGUACUAGUGUGUCUAUGAAGAUGUCUUAUUGAUUCACUAAGCGUAUUUUAAAUUUAAUACGGAAAGGUAUUAAUGCAAUGAUGACCUAAAGUCUUUCAACAAUCAUAAAUACGAAGCAUUUGAGGGUCUUACUUGAUAGGUGUUUGAUAGAUAAUUUUUUGUUUCAUCACAUUCAGGUGAGCUUGAUAGAUAACUUUACCAACAAGAAAGGAAUGACAAGCCAUUGUUAUCGGAUUGCAUAUCGAUCCAUGGAGCGUUCACUCACAGAUGAGGAGAUUAACGACCUGCAGGUACCGCUAUGCCUUACUUAUGUCGUAAUUAUGAUUGAUGUUACUAUAGUUUUAAUUUUGAAGUGUUGUUUGAUGGUAAAAUAUGUGGGUUUUUCAAUUGUGAAUGCAGUGGCAGGUGCGAGAACAGGUGCAGAACAAGUUAAAUGUUGUUCUAAGAUGAGUAGCCUAAACUUGUUUUUUGUCCAUUGGAGUUAUAGGCGUUGCAUCUUAAAUUACCAUACUAUAUAGGUUUCAGUUAUUUGCAAGCUUUUAUGUUGGUUAAUUCAUGGGUAAUAGGUUUAAUACAUUUUUUUCCUUGUCUAAUGUGGUACUUGUAUUUGGUAAAAGCUAUACAUUUUUAUGCGUUCUUAAAUUUUUAGCGUUUAAUUCAAGUUUUAGAGUUGAUUAGAUGAAAAUUCAUAAAUUACUAAUAAAAUUAACAAUUAUAUGAAAUACUAAAUGAUAUAUUAAGCUUGAAAAAUAGGCUAAAAUUAUGUAAUUUUACCCUAUGUGUUCGUUGAUAAUUAGUUUCGUUCCAUCAUCUAAAAAUAUUGUAUGUAAUGCAUACAUUAAUCUGUUAUUAUCAUCAAAUUUAGCUUCACCACAUGACUAGUUUUAUUUAAUUAUUUUAGAAUAUUAAUUUUGGUUUAUAGAAUUUACAAGUAGUUAAUAUAUAAUUUUGAGGUAAAAUAAUCUAUCCAUUUAUGCUGUUUUAUUUUAGGUCUAAAUUAAUUUUAGUGUUACUUAUUUUAUACAUUUAUAUUGCUCAGGGCGUAAAAAACUUCUUUGCUAAAACAUCAAUUAAGCUAUUAUGCGAAGAAGGCUUUCAAUUUAUCUCUCAAAUGUUAGAACUUUAUCAAUUAGACUUUAUGGUUAAUGGUUUUUGGCAUUGAUUGUUAAAUUAAUAAUGUUACUCUUAAAGGUUGAUUUAAUUUUUAUUACAUUUACAUUCAAAAAAUAAAAAAUAAAAAAUUUAAGUUCGAAAUGAAAUGAACAAAUGGUUAUCUAAGUUUAUUUAAAUUUGGUCAAUUAUUUGUUCAAAUUCUUUCUAGAUACUUAUUAAAGAUUAUAAAUGUGAAGUAAAGAUUAAAAAAUAAAAAUAUUAAGAAUUAUUUUUAAAGAAAUUGUCUAAAAUGGAUUUAGAUGACGAUUCUCAUGUUCAAGAUGUAAAGUUUUAAAUUAUAAAAAAAUAUAAUUUUUUUUUAAAAACAUUAUUAAAAAUUAUAAAAUUAGUAUGAAUAUCUUAUUAAGUGGAUGCCCAUCAUGAUCAAGAUAAAGUUUUGAUGUAUUUUAAAUUCUAAUAAUUAUUAAAAUUAGAUCUCUACUUCUUUUAUACUUCUUAUGUUUAUAAAUAUAGACUCUGAUGAAAUAUUAUAAUCAUUCUAUUUAUCAAUAAAAUACAUUCUCUAUUGCUUCCCAUAUUUUCUUUGUUCUUUAGUUUCUUUAUCGCUCUUUAUUUAUAACACGCUAUCUGCACGAUAUUGCUCAAAGUGAUAGUUCUUUUUAUCUUUGAUAUCCUCCAUGAUUUUCAAUAUUUUUGAUGGCAAGAAGUUUCUUUUAUUUAAUGUUUCAUAUCUGAUUAUUAUUUUUCAUUCUUCUUUCAUUAUAAAUUAUCAUUGUAUUGAUUAACUUAUUUUACUUUUUGUUCUGAAGGAUGGUGAAAGAUUUGAUAUUGUUAUCUACAUGAAAUCGAGAAAUAAGAUACACUCUCAAAGUUUGCUUUUUGAUAUUUGCUUGAGGAUGAUCUUUUUCUCUUCAUUACAAAGGAUGUUUAUAAUCACUAUUUCUUAUUCAUGGUAACGUAAGUCAAUCUAAUCAACUUCUUUUGAAAUUUGAUUUGAUUUCUAUUAAAAAGUUCAAUAUAUAUAAUUCACUAUCCGUAUCUCUAUGAAUUUAUAAAACCCUUCACAAAUUUAGUUAUUAGGAUUUUUAUGUGGAGAUAAAUAUUUUUUAAUAGAAUUUAUUGAUUUAAUUUUGAUUAAGAAUAUGAUUAUUACGGAAUGCGAGUAAAAAUACUUAUCAUGAUCUUUGAGAUAUUUGCCCUGUUUGUGAUAAUUUCAUAUCAUUGUAAAAUUUGAAGUGAAAUUAUGUCAUAAGAGGUGGAAGUUAGAAAAUGUUUAUGUUUAAACCUUUAUAGUUCUAAAGUUAUUUUAAUUUGACAUUAUAAUAUUUUAUAUUUUUUUGUGUUAUGAUAUAUAAAAUAUAUAUAUUAUCUAACCAUAAUGAUUUAUUAGUAACAUGAAUUUAUUAUUUGUUAUGUUUAAUAUAUGUUUUAUUUAUACCUAUUCAUUUUAUAUAAAUAAAUAAAAUUUUAGAAGAUCAGUAAAUUUUUUUUAUCAUUCAUGUAAAAAAAAAAAAGCUCUUUAAGAGCUAAUAUUUUACCUCCUUGUGAUGCGAAAUUUUGUAAAAUAGAAUAUUGUUUUUCAGAUCAAGAAGAUAUAUGUUGAAUAAAACCGUCAUGUGUUUUACAUUAAAACCAUAUAUAGAAAUAACAUGAGAUACUCAUGUAUUUGUAUUAUAUAUAUUUCCCGAAAGAAUACAUUGUACUAUAUAAUUGAAAUAUCUAAUGUGCUCUUGCAGUAGCAAUAUUGUGAAAGUGACUUUAAAAGUAUUUUCGAACGAUCUCAUACAUUCUAGUGGCUAAGCAAAAUAAUAAGUUACUAAUGAAAAAACUAUGAAAUUCUUCUCACUAGUUUUGCUUCAUUCCCCGAAGUGAAUGUAACAGUACAUAACAAUUAUGAAAAAUAAAAAUAUAGAGAUCAUGAUUGUUGUUGUAAUUGCGAAUAUGGUUGGAGAUGUACUAAUAACCAUUAUCAAGGUCGUUAUAAUAGUAGUGGUACUUCUAACCACUAGAAAAAGAAUAAUAAUGAAAAACAAGAAAAUUGUAGUCAAAAUAUUUGAAGAUUUUGACAUAUCCUGAAGUGAAUAUUGCAAAUAAUUGUUUACAAAUUAUAUUUAUUUUAUUGAGUUAAUAACAUUAUGUACUUCACAUUGAUGUAGACAUUUCUAAAAAUAAAUGUCACAAUAUUGCUUAUAUGUGAAUACAAAAUAAAAAGAAUGUCUAUAAAGUUAUUAAUUGUCAAAAUUUAUAUUUACAUUAUUAGUACAAUUGAAAAACAUGAUUAAGUAAACCAGAAGUUUACUGAUACAAAUACAUUUACUAUUUAGCGUGAUCAGUUAGACCAUCAUGGAUUAUAUAUGAUUAUAUAUGAUGCGAAAAUUAAUUUAGAAUUUAUAUAGACAUUUAUUAAAGAACCAGAAGAUUUUUUAAUUUUAAGAAUUCUCAUGUGUUGCUUGUUCUCAAUGAUAAUUGUUUAUUACAAACUCACUGGUUAAAGUUGAGAUUUAAUGUUUUGCAUUUCUGCAAUGAAUAUGGGCCUAUUCAUCCGCCAUGUGGAUGAUUUUGACAUUAUAUGGUUUUGGUAGAUGCAUCUACAAAACAAUCACAUGCAUUAUCAACUCGCAACCUGUCGUUUGCGAGAUUGUUUGUUUAAAUGAUUAAUUUCAUAUUAUGCAAUUAAAACAAUUCACCUUGCUUAUGUUGGUGAGUUUAUGUCCUAAGCUUUCAAUAGUUAUUGUAUGUCAAUAAGAUAAAAGUUGAACAUCCUAUAGCUCAUGUUCACACAUAAAGCGAUAUAGUUGAAUCAUUUAUCAAAUGCCACAAACUAAUAGCUAAACCAUUACUUAUGAGAACAAAACUUCCUAUUUCAACAUGAGAUUGUAUUGAUUAAAUGUUGUACGCAUCAAGCCAAUAAAUUAUAAAUAUUUUCCAUUACAAUUGAUUUUUGGUCAAGAGUCAAAUAUUUCCCACCUUACAAUUUUAGGGUGUGCGAUAUAUGUUCCAAUUACUCCACCACAACGCAUAAAGAUGGGUCAUUAUAAGAGAUUGAGAAUGUAUAUGAGUCUCCUUAUAAUAUUUUUGAGCUUCUAGAUUUAGUUAUGACAUGAGUUGUCAGUUUUCCCAACAUUAGGGGGAGAGAAUAAAAAGCUAGAUUAAUAAAGUACUCAAAAUUAAUUAUCAAUGUCUAAGAUCCUCGUACAAAGCAAUGUGAAUCAGAAGUUCAAAAGAUAAUUCAUUUUAUAAAUCAACUGCCAGAUUCAUUAAAUCCCACAUGCCAACUAAAAAUGCUCCAAUACAAAUUGAUGUCUUAAUAGGGCAAACUGUUAGUGCAAAAGAAAGUAAUCCAUGCCUGAAAGUGUGGAAGACCGAUCAGUUCCAAAGAUAAAAAUCCUUGUAAAAGAAAAGGAUCAAACAUUCAAGAUGGUUAUAUAGUGGAGGUAAGGGUUCUUGAAGAGACUCAUGACGUAACUAAUUAUAAAACUCAAGAAGAGAUUCAGGUACCUAAAAGUGAAAAUGAAAAUGAUGAAAAUAAAGAGAUCUAGAUAAGUUAUGUCAAUAUGAGAAAAAUAUGGAACCAAAAAAAAAAAAAUGUAGUUGUUGACAACAAUUUUGCUUAUAAUAUUGCUAUUGAAAUAACAAAAGAAAAUAAGGAUCCUGAGCCUAAAUCUAAUGUAAAAAUAAAAAAGAUUGGCCAAUAUGGAAAGAUGCAAUUCAAGCAGAAUUGAAUUCACUUUCUAAACGUGAAGUUUUUUGGACUUGUAGCCCAAACACCUAAAGGUAUAAAGUCAGUAGGAUAUAAAUGGGUAUUUGUGCAAAAAUGAAAUGAAAAAAAAUGAAGUCGUAAGAUAUAAAGAACGACUUGUAGCACAAGGAUUUUCGCAAAGGCCCGGCAUUGAUUAUGAAGAGACAUAUUCUCCUGUGGUGGAUGCAAUCACAUUUAGAUAUCAUAUUAGUCUGGCAGUAUGUGAAAAACUUGACAUACAUCUAAUGGAUGUUGUUACAACCUAUUUAUAUGGUACACUUGAUAGUGAAAUUUAUAUGAAAAUCAUUGAAGGAUUUAAAAUCCCAUAAGGAUAUAGAGUUUCUCGGGAAAAUUGCUCAAUCAGAUUAAAGAAAAGUUUAUAUGGAUUAAAACAAUCUAGACGUAUGUCGUGCAAUUGUCUUAGUGAAUACUUGUUAAAAGAAGGUUACAAAAAGAUCCAAUUUGUCCACGUGUCUUUAUAAAAAAAGGUUUUUAUUAGAUUUUGUGAUAAUUUUUGUUUAUGUUGAUGAUCUAAAUAUUAUUGGAACUCCUAAAGAGUUUCAAAAUAUAGUAAAUUAUUUAAAGAAAGAAUUUGAGAUGAAAGAUCCUGAAAAAACAAAGUUUUGUCUUGGCUUACAAAUCGAGCAUUUAAAAAAUGGAAUUAAUGUUCAUCAAUCAACUUAUACGAAAAAGACAUUAAAUAAAUUUUACAUGGAUAAAGCACACGAUGUGAAUAAAGAUCAAUUUCGUCCUUGCGAGAAUGAUGAAGAGUUUCUUGGUCCUAAAGUACCAUAUCUAAGUGCCAUAGGGGCAUUGAUGCAUCUUGCAAACAACACAAGACCUAAUAUAGCUUUCGCUGUAAACUUGCUAGCAAGAUUUAGUUCUUCUCCAACACGUAGACAUUGGAAUGAAAUUAAACAUGUAUUUAGAUAUCUCAGAGGGACUAUUGAUAUGGGGUUAUUUUAUUCAAAUAAUUCAAAAUCCCUAUUAGUCGGCUACGCUGAUGCUGAAUACUUAUCAGAUCUACAUAAAGGUCGAUCUCAAAUAAAAUAUUUAUUUACAUGUAGAAUAUGGGGUUUGUAUUUGUAUUAAUUUUUCUCUGUUUUUUUAUUCGUGUUCGUAAGGUAGAAGCCAAAAUACAGGAAUCGGAGCCCCUUUUUAUAUCCAAAAAUAUCCUCUUUUUUUUUCUAUUUUUCUAUUUUCUCUUAUUUUUUACACUGUUAUUAGAUUCUUCUCGUUCAUUCAUUUUGUAGGUACAAAGCCGUUGGCCAGCUGGCGUACAGAGGCGUACGUGGGGAGGUGGCUGGAGGUGCGGCGGCUGAAAGCUGUUUAGCUAGGGUUUUUUUUGUUUUUUGUUUUUGAAAAUGUAAUUGGUUUGAGCUUGUAUUGGGCUAGGGUCUUGGGUUUUUUAGUUUGUAAAUGGACUGUUUGGUUCUUGGACUUUUUAUUGGGUUAGUUUUAUUUGGUAUUUUUUUUGUUUGGUUUAUUUUUAGUGGGUCAGGCGAAUCGGGCCUGUUACAAGGAUGAAGAGGUAUCGGUCAGAUUGGGAGAGGACAAAGUAGACUUCGGAGAAAAUUUCAACUUGUGCUUGGUUGGAAGGGUUUUGAUAGAAAGUUUGGUGCACUUUCUGUCUAUGAAGAACACACUCACAAAUUUGUGGCAUCCGUUAGGAGGUACCUCAAUCACUGAUAUUGGUGAAAAAAUGGUGUUUUUUUUUUGUUUGUUUCUAUAGCCAGAUCAAUCUAAGAAGAGUAAUGAAUGAUAUGCCAUGGUUUUUUAGUAGACAUCUCAUUUUCUUUCGUAAGAUGGAAAAAAUGGGAGGAUCCACUAUAGGUCCCGUUGUUUUAUACCCCAUUAUGGGUUCAAAUUUAUAACCUACCAAUAGGAUUUAUUUCAGAAGGCAUGGCACAACAGUUUGGAAAUUUUAUUGGACAGUUUGUGAAGUAUGACGCAUCAAUAACUACAAGAGGUGUAAAAAUGUUUAUAAAGGUUAGCGUAAUUUGGAUGUUUAUUUUCCAUUAAAAAGGAAAAAGAAAAUUAUCAUUAAUCAAAGUAGCUCUACUUAUGCUCAAUUUCAAUAUGAAAAGCUUCUACUAUUCUAUUUUAUUUUUGGGAGGAUGAGGCAUGUUUAAGGUUUUUGCCCGUUAAGGCUAACGCUGGGAGAUCAAGAGGUGGAGUUUGGUUGGGAAAGUUCAUUAAAGGCAGAGCCAAAAAGGAUAAUGCUACAAGUCCGUGGUUAAGGGAGGAGCCAAAAGAAGGGAUCAAAGUUGGGGGAAGAUCGAAUAGGGAUCGUUGAGGUGGCUAUAUUGUAGAAGUUAGAAUUAUGGUUGUUAAUGAAGCAAAUAAGGGAAGAAUAUCAUGUAUUCAAGGACAGCCCAAGUCAAUAUCCGUACAAUUUAGAACAAGAUUUUUAAUGCACUUAGCUCUGAAAGAGGAUCCAUCAAAGGUAAGAAGGUAGUUUAAGAGGAGCAGGAUAGACCAAUGGAAUUUAGGGAAGGGAAGAAAUGACAAAGAACCCUAUGUGAAGACCAAACUGUGGUAAUCAUUUGUGAAGAUCAAGCAAUGGAAGGAAGUUCUGAAAUCUUGCUGACUACUAGAAUGCAAUCUAGUUAGUCGUAAUGAAAACUUUAAGUUGGAACGUUCGCGGGUUGGGGCACCCGCGGACAGUUCGUUAUCUCAAGAACAUGUUGAGACAGGUUUGGACCCAAUGUUUGCUUCUGAUUGAAACAAAAGUAAGCAUAAAAGGAUGGAGACAGUAAGGAAGAAUUUUGGUUUCAAGUAUGGAAUUGAUGUUGGUGCAGAUGGAUCGAAAGGAGGCUUAUCUUUAGGUUGGAAAGAGGAGGUAGAUGCAAUUUACAAAGUUUUUCUUCUUUAUAUAUUUAUGUAAUAGUGAAAGAAGAGAGAGAAGUGUCAGCAUGGAGGUUCACCGAAUUUUAUGGUGCACUGGUUGAGGGGUUGCGAAAAGAAUCAUUGAAUUUGUUAAGAUGUUUAGGAAGAGGAUGUGAUAUCCCUUGAGUAAUUAUGGGUGAUUUUAAUGAGAUCAUGUUCUCUUUCGAGAAAAAAAGGAGGGAGGAUGAGAGAGGAGAGGCAGAUGAGUGCCUUUCGAGAGGUGCUUAAGGAGUGUGAUUUAAGUGAUUUAGGUUUUUCAGGACAAUGGUUUACGUGGGAAAGGGUAAAGCUUCCAGACAGUAAUAUUAGAGAAAGGUUGGAUAGGGGGUGGCCAAUACUGAAUGGUGGGAAUUAUUCCCAGACUAUUCAGUUGAACACCUUCAUCACAUUAUUUCAGAUCACUGUCCACUCUUGUUGAACACGAUUGGGCGAAGAGGGGGACAAACGCUAGCAAGAACAUUUUGGUUUCAAUUUAAUGCAGAUUGGGCAUUGGAAGAAGACUUUAAGGAGCAAGUAGUAGUGAGUUAGGGAUCAGAUGGAAGGGAUGUGCCAGAAAAGUUAUCAUCGCUCGAAUCUAAAUUGAGUAGAUGGGCUAGUGCAAAUAAAGUUAAAAGAGAAGGAAAAAAAGCAAGAUUUAUAGGCCAGGUUAAGAAAGCUAGGUGAAAAAGAACCCAUUGAUGAGAUUUUAGCCAAAAUUAUGGAUGUAAAGCUUGCAUUAAAUCUAGGGGCAGGCAAAGAAGAAAUUUUUUGGGAACAAUAGGCAAGGGUGAUCUGGCUCAAGUUGGGAGACGAAAUACGUCCUUUUUCCAUGUAGUUGCAAAUAGUCGUAAAAGAAAAAAAAAGGAUUUGCGGACUCAAUGAUGAAAAUGGAAGAUGGGUAGAAGAGGAUAGGGAGCUUGUCGAAGUAGCGUAAAAAUACUGUCAAGAACUAUUUCAUUCAACGAUAAGAGGUAAUUGCAAUAGGAUUUUAGACGGUAUCAAGCCAUGCAUUACAGCAUGAAUGAAUGAGGAAUUAAUAGCUAAUUUACAAACUGAUAAUAAGGGCAAAAAAUGAGGGUUUUAUCAGAGGGGUAAAAAUAGGAAGGAUUGCUUUGGCAAUUACACAUUUAUUUCUUUUGCAAAUGAUAGUAUCUUAUUUGGUGAAGUGAUAGAAGUAGGGGCAAGAACAGUAAAUAAGGUAGUUUUAAACUAUGAAAAGUCGUCAGGCUAGUUAGUUAAUUAUGACAAGUCAUUAAUUUAUUUUAGCAAUAACACAAGUGUCGGUAAUAGAGAACAAGUAGCAAGAGUUUUUGGGGUUAGGAUUGCUAAUAACCCAAAAAAGUAUAUUGGGCUACUGACAAUGGUUGAGAGACGUAAGAGGCAUGCUUUUGUUGGGAUUAAAGAACGCAUGGUGAGGAAAGAAAGCUGGAAAACACUGCUAAAUAUCGAGCAUUAGCGGUGCUUUAUGGAAAACGCCGCUAAAAAAAGCAUUAGCGGCGUUUUCCAAAAAGCGCCGUAAAAAACCUAUGCCCAACGACGCUGUUUUCUGAGCUUUCGGGGUUUUAGCGGCGUUUUUUGAGAAAGCGCCGCUAAUGCUCAGGGCUUUACCGACGUUUUUGGGAAAGCGCCGCUAAUGAUCAGGCCUUUAGCGGCAUUUUUGAAAAAGCGCCGCUAAUGAUCAGGGCUUUAGCGGCGUUUUUGGAAAAGCGCUGCUAAUGAUCAGGGAUUUAGUGGCGUUUUUGGGAAAGCGCAGCUAAUGAUCAGGGAUUUAGCGGCGUUUUUGAGGAAGCACCGCUAAUACUCAGGGCUUUAGCGGCGUUUUUGAAGUAGCGCCGCUAAUUCUAUAUUUUUAGUGGCGUUUUUAAAAAAGCGCCGCUAAUGCUUAGGGAUUUAAUAUAAUCUAAAAUAUUUGUUAAAAAUGGAAAACUUAAAAUACUGUAAGUUCUUUUAAACAGAAUAUAUGGCAUAACCUUAUAUAUGGAAUAAAAGGCGGCAUCACGGGUUAAACUAAUUCAAUUAUUAUUUAAAAAUUUAUAUAAAUAAAAUAGACAUAUGAUUUAUUUAUCCUUCUAACGUUACAAAAAAUCAUUACAAUCCUUUAUUUAAUUUUUAUCUUUUCAACCCUUAAAUUUAUAUUAUUUAUUAAAUCAGCUCAAAAUAGAUGGGAAAAAUUAUUCUUUAUUAACUUUACUAAACAUUGAAGCCAAAGGCCCUGAAAUGAAAACAAUUUUCACCUAAGCGUUUUUAUAACUUAUACACUUUUAAAUUAAUAAUGGUAAAAUUACAUGUUAAUCUCAUAAAAAUGAUAAAAAAUUUAUUUAAUCCUUAUAAAAAUAUAAUUAAAAUGGUAAAAUUACAUUUUUAACUAUCCUAAAAUAAACAAUUUAAAUCCAUCUCCUCCAAAAAAAUAAAAAUAAAAGAAAAACAUUACCGUUAAUCCAGUUCAUAGGAGGCUGAAAGUGAUACCCGAUUCGAUGAAGUUGUUUUACAGUAAGUGCAGUUUUAGAUUGUAAAUGAGGAUGGACCUUAUGAAAUGCUUCAACGACGCCAUUCUUACUUAUUAUCUCACAAAACACCCAAUUAUUAAAUAAACUAACAAAAUAUUUUCUGUAAACUCCAUUAAAAUUUCGAAAGCCAAAUGUUGAAACAGGAUGGUGAUUCAUUUAUAUAGGACUGAAAUUUAACAAUUUCAAUAUAUAUAUUUUAAAAUGUUUAGAUAAGAUAGAUUUUUAUUUGAAUUUACCAGUAAUUUAUAAUAUCAACAUUAAAUCUACAAUUCUUGAUUUUUCUUUUUUUUAAAUAAUUAAAAUUUUAUUCUUAUAGUAUUUAAAUAAUUAGGGAUUAUGAAUUAAGGUUUAUGGUUUAGGGGUUAGGGGUUAGGGGUUUAGGGUUUAUGUUUUAUAAUUUAGGGUUUAGGAGAUAGGGGUUAGGGGUUUAGGGUUUAGAUUAAUUAGUAUUUUUUAAUUUAUAUAUUAAAUAAUUUCUUAUAUAAUUGUAAAAGAUAUAAUAUUAAUUUUAAUAUAUUAAAAUUAUGAUUAUAGUUUAAAUUAUUUAAGAGAUAAUAGAUAAACUUUAUAUAUAAUAAAUGGUUUAAGAUUUAACGUUUACUUGAGAUUUGUUAAAUGACACGUAGAGAAUAUUUAAAAGUAAAAACAUAGAAAAAUAUAUGUUAAAAAUGGGAAAAAAUUAAAAUAAUAUUAUUUAAAAUAAUUUUAAAGUGUUUUGGGUAUAUGACCGAUUAGGUUUUUUAAUUUAUAUAUUAAACAAUUUAUUAUAUAAUUGUAAAAGAGAUAAUAUGAAUUUUAAUUUAUUAAAAUUAUCAUUAAUAUAGUUUUUUAAUGUUUUUUUUCUCUUUGCUUUAAAAUUUUUUGUUUUUGUUUUUGUUUUCUUACAUAAAAAAUUAUAUAAAAUUUUAAAAUUUAUCUAAUUCUUUUUAAUAUUACUUAAAAUUUCAAAAUUUAUUUAUUUAAAAUUGAUAUGAAUUAUAUAAUAAUUAAAUAUAAAAUUGUGAAAAAAAUUAAUCAUUAGCGGGUUUAUGAGAAAAACGCGCAAAAGGUAAGCAAUAGCGGCGUUUGGACGAAAAACGCCGCAAAUAUGUAUUAAAUUUUUUCAAAACGUGCCGUUUCACUACAUAAAUUUAAUUUUUUAGUGGCGUUUUUUUCUAAAAGCGCCGCAAAAUCCAUAAUCAAUUGUAAAGAAAAGGGGGGAAAGAUGAGGGGGGAAGAUAUUUCAACAAAAAUAAUUAAAAUUAAAUCAACCAAAGAAAUCCCUAGAAGCCUAAAGAAAAGGGGGCGAAGAUGGGGCCGACGCCGAUGGAAUUCGUGAGGGACGCAGACGACCAAGGUUCAGCCAUGGAAGUCGACGGUGUUGACACACCGGAGAUCUUCGGCGAAGGCGUCAUCGCUUCCGACAACAAGCUCGCCUAUGCAGAUUUCUUCAACAACUUCGAAGACGAUUUUGAUGACUCCGAUAUUGACUAAAAAAAUAAAGAAGAAUCGUUUGUACGUCUCUUCUUUUCUCUGUCUGUCUUUCUUUCUCUUCUUUGGCUUAGCCAUGUCUCUGCUUUCUCUAUACUUUCCUUAGCAAAGAAGAGAAAGCAAAGAAAUCAAAGUAAACAAAUGAAAACCCACCAAAAAAUUCAAAUCUNNNNNNNNNNNNNNNNNNNNNNNNNNNNNNNNNNNNNNNNNNNNNNNNNNNNNNNNNNNNNNNNNNNNNNNNNNNNNNNNNNNNNNNNNNNNNNNNNNNNNNNNNNNNNNNAAAUAAUUUUGAUUUGUGGAAAAAAGAUGCCUUCUUUUCUGCAGCAGAAGAGGUUCAAGAAUCUGCUGAUAUGUAUGUUAUUUUUUUAAUUUUUAAAUUUUAUGUCCUUUUUUUAAAUUUACUGGGGUUUGGUUGGUGACAUGGGUUUUAUUUGUGCUUCUUAGAUGUUUGUUUAAUUUCAUAUAAUUGACUGUUCAAUUAUUUAGUUUUUUUUUGGGGCGGGUUUAAAGGUUCCUUUUUUGUUGUUGGGUUUCUACUAAAUGUGCUAUAUUUCCUAGUUUUCUUGCUGAUAUGUAUGCUCAUGCUUAUGUAUAUAUAUAUAUAUAUCUGUUGAACCAGGGAAAAACAUAUAAUUAAAGGUUCCAUUUUUUGGUGGAAGGUUAUAUGCUUGUGAUUUGAAAACUUCAACGAAAAUUUUGUAAUGCUUAAUGUUAUGAAUCAACCACUCAAUAAGGUUUUUGUAUAUAUAAACAAGUUUAAGCUUCAAACAUAUAUUUUUUAGAAUAAUUAUUUCAUGAAGUCUUUGAAGUAAUUUAAUGGCUUCUGCUGCCCUUGUCCACCAUGGAUAUUUGUUGACAGGUGACCUGUAAUGGAACCAUGAACUUUCUAUAAAGCNNNNNNNNNNNNNNNNNNNNNNNNNNNNNNNNNNNNNNNNNNNNNNNNNNNNNNNNNNNNNNNNNNNNNNNNNNNNNNNNNNNNNNNNNNNNNNNNNNNNNNNNNNNNNNNNNNNNNNNNNNNNNNNNNNNNNNNNNNNNNNNNNNNNNNNNNNNNNNNNNNNNNNNNNNNNNNNNNNNNNNNNNNNNNNNNNNNNNNNNNNNNNNNNNNNNNNNNNNNNNNNNNNNNNNNNNNNNNNNNNNNNNNNNNNNNNNNNNNNNNNNNNNNNNNNNNNNNNNNNNNNNNNNNNNNNNNNNNNNNNNNNNNNNNNNNNNNNNNNNNNNNNNNNNNNNNNNNNNNNNNNNNNNNNNNNNNNNNNNNNNNNNNNNNNNNNNNNNNNNNNNNNNNNNNNNNNNNNNNNNNNNNNNNNNNNNNNNNNNNNNNNNNNNNNNNNNNNNNNNNNNNNNNNNNNNNNNNNNNNNNNNNNNNNNNNNNNNNNNNNNNNNNNNNNNNNNNNNNNNNNNNNNNNNNNNNNNNNNNNNNNNNNNNNNNNNNNNNNNNNNNNNNNNNNNNNNNNNNNNNNNNNNNNNNNNNNNNNNNNNNNNNNNNNNNNNNNNNNNNNNNNNNNNNNNNNNNNNNNNNNNNNNNNNNNNNNNNNNNNNNNNNNNNNNNNNNNNNNNNNNNNNNNNNNNNNNNNNNNNNNNNNNNNNNNNNNNNNNNNNNNNNNNNNNNNNNNNNNNNNNNNNNNNNNNNNNNNNNNNNNNNNNNNNNNNNNNNNNNNNNNNNNNNNNNNNNNNNNNNNNNNNNNNNNNNNNNNNNNNNNNNNNNNNNNNNNNNNNNNNNNNNNNNNNNNNNNNNNNNNNNNNNNNNNNNNNNNNNNNNNNNNNNNNNNNNNNNNNNNNNNNNNNNNNNNNNNNNNNNNNNNNNNNNNNNNNNNNNNNNNNNNNNNNNNNNNNNNNNNNNNNNNNNNNNNNNNNNNNNNNNNNNNNNNNNNNNNNNNNNNNNNNNNNNNNNNNNNNNNNNNNNNNNNNNNNNNNNNNNNNNNNNNNNNNNNNNNNNNNNNNNNNNNNNNNNNNNNNNNNNNNNNNNNNNNNNNNNNNNNNNNNNNNNNNNNNNNNNNNNNNNNNNNNNNNNNNNNNNNNNNNNNNNNNNNNNNNNNNNNNNNNNNNNNNNNUUAGAAUUUGUACUAACUGAAUUCCUUGCAAUGAUCUCUUGUACUUUUAGCUAAUACAAGUUGUGCCCAUUUGGUAGAGAGAUGCUUGAUUUUCUUGUUUGUAUGUUUUUGCAGAGGUUCGGUGUCAAGCAAAAGGUUCCAAGAUUUGACAUGCUUAUUCUGUUUCUUUCACCUACAGAAUGAAAUAAUGAAAUUAUAAAUUAAUACAUAAUAAACUUUUAUUUUGAUUUAUGAAAAAAUUAUACAUAAUCAGUGAAGCUCAGUUCCUUUGUUUGAAUUCUUAUGCUUUAGGUAGAUAAGGGUUUCUCUGUACUGCCUGAAAAUAUUUUGUACUUCAAAAAAUAAUAUGCCACAUGAAAAUAAAAUAUUUUACCAAUAAAAUAAAAUAAAAUAAAAUAAAAAAACAAGAAUCAAAUAUAAAAAAAUUUGACCAUAGAAGAAGUUUAAUCAAUUUGCUUGCAAAAACUCUUCAAGGUCUAUCUCUUUUCAUCUUCUAGGUAUGUGCUUUCUUGGUUUUUUUAUAUAUAUUCUUUUCUUUUGACAAAGAACUUGAGGUUUAAUUAAAUUUGACAAAGGACUUGGGGUUGAACUAAUUUGAUUCUUGUUUUUUAUUUUAUUUUAUUUUAUUGGCAAGAAAGAUAAAAUAUUUUAUUUAUCAAAUAAUCUAAAAGAUUUUGAAUUCUUAUGCUUUAGGUAGAUAAGAGUUGUUUUUUAGUUGUUUUCUUAAAUUAUUUAUGAUUAUAUUAGUUGCAAUAAUGAAAAAAUAAUUUCAUUUAUGUACUAGUAGGUUAAAUGGUAAAUUCUUUUAUAUAGCUGCUUUGGCUCGUAAGCUUACCUGGUUACGUGGUAACUUGCACAGAUUCUAGUUUUUCUUUUUCUGGGAAUAGGUAGACCGUUUUACAUUAGUCAAUUAUGUAUGCCCCUGGGUAGUUUUACCUUAAUGAUUUGUUUUAUUUGUAGUCCAUUACUUGAAAUCAGUUUUUGAGCUAGUUUUCUUAUUUUCAGGUCAGCAACACGGAUCUUGAAGAAAAAAAAGCUGAAGAUCAAUGUUCAUAGGCCUGUGUGGACAAGGGUUGUCUUUGAUGAGGAAGGCAACACACAGGCUCCACCUGUGUAAAAUUAAUUAUUAUAGAAUAAGUAACUCCAAAAAAAAGACGGGCUUUAUACUGAUGAGAUAUGAAGACGAACGUAUAAAUUCCGAAAAUAGGCUUUUAGCGGCACUUUUUUAGGCCUUUAGCGUGUUUACCAAAGUGCCGGAAAAAACGCUGCUAAAGACUGCGUCGCUAACUUUAGCGGCGUUUUUACCUUUAGCGGCGCUUUUCUCACAGACGUCGCUAAAGACCAGGACCUUUAGUGGCGUUUUUCCCACAAAAUGCCGCUAAAGACUAGGACCUUUAGCGGCGCUUUUCCCACAAACGCCGCUAAAGACCAAGACCUUUAGCGGCGCUUUCUCCAAAAAUGCCGCUAAAGAAGAAGACCUUUAGCGGCGCUUUCCCCAAAAAUUGCCGCUAAAGAACAAGACCUUUAGCGACACUUUUUCCACAAACGCCGCUAUAACAUUAACUUUUAGCGACGCUUUUUUACAGACGCCACUAAAGGCAUAACUUUUUUUAUAAAAAAUUAAGUAAAUAAUAUUUAUUUCUAUAAUAAAUAUUUUAUUUUAUUUUAUUUUUGAAAUUUAAACUUUAAACUAUAUAAUUUUAAGGAUAAAAAAUUUAAUUAAAUUAAAUUUUCUAUUAAAAUUUUAACUUUAAAAGUAAAUAUAAAAAUUAAUGAAUUUAAAUUUAGAAUUAAAAUAUUAUGCCUUGGGAAUUUAAAUUUUAAACAUUAGCUAGUUACUUGCUAUGUUGGCUGACACCGUGUAAGUGCCUUGGGAAUUUAUACGUUCAUCUUCCUGCUUUUGUUUCAUUUUCUUUUCUCCCUCUCCCUCUUCUUUGGUAACUUCGAAGAAGAGAUAAUUACUAGAACCUCUUCAUGGACGAAUGAUUAUGGAGUUUAAGUCGAAAAAUUAGUAAAUUUAGUAAGUUGGUAAGGUUCUCAGUCCUUCAGUGUUUGUAAAUUUAAGAAAAAAUAAUUUAGACUUUUCAGAACCUUUGAAGGGUUCUGCAUGUUUGUGGAAAAUUAAGUUUUAAAUUGAAAUUACUGAGUUUAACUCGAGAUUUUUGUUAUAAUGUUUAGCUGCUAGGAAAAUGGAAGUUCUGGCGUUUGGAAAAGCUAAGCUUGGGAGACAAGAGACAUCAGGUGAGUUUCUAUAUUCCAUCCCUAGAAAUGUUAAAUGGCUGGAAUGAUUAUGUACUCUACUGAUUGUGAAUGCUAAGUACAAGUGGCUCAUUACGGAGGGAUUACAAUCGAUAGCAGGAAACCCCACUUCAAAUCAAAAUGAACUACAAGACUACUAUACAAAAUCGUCGAAACUAAAACUACCAAGCAAAAUAUGAAUAGAUAUGUGGAAAAUUACAAAUGGCUUUAUUCCAACACUUUACAACUUAAAGUAGAAAGGCCUGGUAAGAAACGAUCGAUGCCCGAUGUGCAAGGAGAGGGAGGAAUCAGUGGAACAUAUAUUUCGGGAUUGUACCGUCACAGCAAAGAUCGUGCAAUAAUUGGGUGUGGCAGACUCAACCACCAAUAGAAACCAGGGUUAGAAAAAAUGGUUAGCAAUUUUCUUUCUAAACAACAAUCAUACACAAUUCAAACUGUUAGCCAUGACAUAUUGGUCCUUUUGGUUUAACAGAAAUAAAAUGUACCACGAACACAUUAAACCCAAUAAAACAGAGUUGAUAUCAUUCAUCAGGGCAUAUAUUAUAGAAAAUGAAAUGUUGAAUGGUUUGCUGAUAAUAAAAUCAGUAGACAAAAAUAUAAAAUGGGAACCACCCAAUGCAGAUACUAUCAAAAUAAACUUCGAUGCUUCAUUUCAACAAAAUUAGAACAACUCAAAGUCAGGUAUUAUCACAAGAAAUAACGAGGGACUGGUAAUGGGUGCAUUUAUUUACCGAUGUAGACACAUCGCGAUCCCAACAACGGCGGAGGCAUGGGCGUGCUUGCAUGCAAUCACUUUCGGGGAAGAGUUAGGAUUCCGAGAAAUAUGUUUCGAGGAGGACUCAUUAAUGGUAAUAAGGGGAAUAGAAAUUUCAAAAGUGGCAGAUCAGAUAUUAGCGCAAUAUUAAAAGAAAUAAAAAAGAAAAUCCCUAAUUUCACAAGGAUCACUUUUCGGUACAUACCCAGAACAGCUAACGGUGUGACACAAGCAUUAGCAAGAGAGGGUCGAUGUCAUGAGCUGCCACGAUACUGGAUAGAGGAGGUCCCAGAUUCAUUAGAAGAAGCUGUCAAAUAUGACCGAGAAGGAAGUGAGAGGACAGUUUGAAAAAAGGCGUUGUGAGACCGGAAAAGGUAAAAGGCUAUUACGAGUACUUAGUUCCAUAAGAUGUGAGAAUGAUCACACGAGCUUACAUUGACUGAUAGUGGACACAAGUGAUUCUAUCUGGCACUGGUGCAGGUGUUUAUUUUGGCGAAGAAGAAGAUAGGUAGUGAAAUGGGGAGAUCUGGGUGAUUGCUUAGGUUUUAGAAAGUUCUGUUUUUGUUAGGGUUUGAUUUCAUUAGUACACCGUUUGGGUGCCCAAUAGAAAAUUAGGUUAGUAAAUGCGUGAGGUGGAGAUAUUAUGAGGCACUAUUUGGGUGGCCAUUAGGAGAAUUACAGCUGCUAAAGCUGUUAUUUAGGUUAUGACCUGCUUCAUUUUAUCCCUCAUCAAUGCACCAGUUCAGUUUAUACUAAUGAGAUCUGAAGAUGAACGUAUAAAUUCCCAAGGCACUCACACGAUCUCACAAACAGCCACUUCAGUUACGCUUAUGUUGAUUUUAACCAUGGUUUCUCAAUGCUUCAUUGUAGUUGUCACACCUGAUUUUCAUUAAAUCUUAAAAUUAGGAACAAUUAGAGGUUAAAUUAGAAAAAUCGUAAGUUGAUGACCUCUACUGAAAAAUUAGGAAAAGUUAGUACCUGGUUUAAACAUGAU
rnacentral:lncRNA from 1 species